ACCAUCAUCCAUCCUUCACACACCUAGAGCACAAAUCAGCAAAUCCAAGUACGUAGUAGUUAACGCAAAUCGACCAUGAAGACCUUAAUCAUCCUGACGAUCCUUGCGAUGGCAAUAACCAUCAGCACCGCCAAUAUGCAGGUCGACCCUAGCGGCCAAAUACAAUGGUCACAACAACAACUAGUCCCCCAGCCCCAAGAGCCAUUAUCCUAGCAACCACAACAAGCAUUUCCCCAACCCCAACAAACAUUCCCCCAUCAACCACAACAACAAGUUCCCCAGCCUCAGCAACCACAACAACCAUUUCUCCAGCCCCAACAAGCAUUCCCCCAACAACCACAACAACCAUUCCCCCAGACUCAACAACCACAACAACCAUUUUCCCAGCAACCACAACAACCAUUUCCCCAGACUCAACAGCCACAACAACCAUUUCCCCAGCAACCACAACAACUAUUCCCCCAGACUCAACAACCACAACAACCAUUUCCCCAGCAACCACAACAACCAUUCCCCCAGACUCAACAACCACAACAACCAUUUCCCCAGUUCCAGCAACCACAACAACCUUUUCCCCAGCCCCAACAACAAUUCCCGCAGCCCCAACAACCGCAACGAUCAUUCCCCCAGCAACAAAGACCGUCCUUUCAGCCAUCUCUACAACAACGGUUGAACCCAUAAAAGAAUAUCCUCUUGCAACAAUGCAAACCUGCAUCAUUGGUGUCAUCCCUUUGGUCGAUAAUCUGGCCACAAAAUGAUUGCCAAGUGAUGCAGCAACAAUGCUGCCAAGAACUAGCACAAAUUCCUCAGCAGCUCCAGUGUGCAGCCAUCCAUAGCGUCGUGCAUUCCAUCAUCAUGCAGCAACAAGAACAAGAACAAGAACAACAACAACAACAACAACAACAACAACAGCAAGGCAUGCGUAUCUUUUUUCCACUAUCUCGACAACAACAUGUGGGUCAAGGUACUCUCGUCCAAGGCCAGGGCAUCAUCCAACCUCAACAACCAGCUCAAUUGGAGGCGAUCAGGUCAUUGGUGUUGCAAACUCUUCCAACCAUCUGCAAUGUGUAUGUCCCACCUGAGUGCUCCAACAUCAGGGCACCAUUUGCCAGCAUAGUCGCGGGGAUUGGUGGCCAAUGAAAAAAGCAAGAGCUAUACUAAUAGAUAGAUGGAUCCUCGUUGCUUAGCAGAUGCACCAAUCGAUGUAACGAUGACAAAUAAAGUGGCACGUACCAUCAUGUGUGACCCCGACCAGUGCUAGUUCAAGCUUGGGAAUAAAAGACAAACAAAGUUCUUGUUUGCCAGCAUUGAUUGUCAUUGUUCCAUUCACUGUGUAUUUAGUUGUUCAUCCCUAACCGCAGUUCUAGGCUUACACAUCAAUGGCUAUUUGCUCGUGCCGGCAGGUUCCUAUGUAAUCUACCGACUAAUGGUCGGCCUAUUGACCCAGUUUAUAGGCCGAUUGAUAUAUUAAUUGCUGCUCCCAAACUGACCGACCAGCUAUUAGUUACCAUUUUGCUGAACAUUGCACACAAUAAUAACUCAACAUAUUUUAAUGUCUAGAAGUAAAAGGGCCAUUUUAGCAGCAAAACAAGCGCCUGAUUAGGAACCAUCCAGCACUUUAAAUGUUCACCUAGAUAUUUCUACGUUGAUGCAAUUUUGAGAUUGGUGGCACCGAAACAUUCCUCAAAGCAAUUCUUUAUGGGACUCCAAAGAGGUGAAAAUAAAGUAAAGUUGCCACAUGGUAAAAUAUAAAUCAUGCGGCGAGCAAGAGCAAAUAUUGAGUCAUGAUAGCAAGCGCCAAACAUGCCAUUAAACUCUUCAUAUGGUUCCGUGCAGAGAAGGGGGAAAAUUGUUGGGGAACGUAGUCAUUUCAAAAAAAAUCCUACGCACACGCAAGAUCAUGGUGAUGCAUAGCAAUGAGAGGGGAGAGCAUCGUCCACCUACCCUCGUAGACCGUAAGCGGAAGCGUUAUGACAACGCGGUUGAUGUAGUCGUACAUCUAUAUGAUCGACCGAUCCUAGUACCGAACGUACGGCACCUCCGCAAUCUGCACACGUUCAGCUCGGUGACGUCCCAUGAACUCACGAUCGAGUAGAUCUUCAAGGGAGAGUUCCGUCAGCACGACGGCGUGAUGACGGUGUUGAUGAAGCUACCGACGCAGGGCUUCGCUUAUGCACUACUAUGAUAUGACCGAGGUGGAUUAUGGUGGAGGGGGCACCGCACACGGCUAAAGAUCAAUGAUCAACUUGUGUGUCUUGGGGUGCCCCCUGCCCCCGUAUAUAAAGGAGAAAGGGGGGAGGCGGCCGGCCAAGGAGGAGGGCGCGCCAAGGGGGGAGUCCUACUUAGGACUCCUCUUUCCUAUUAGGAGUAGGAGAAGGGGGAAAGGAAGGAGAGGAGGAGAAGGAAGGACGGGGCACCGCCCCUUCCCCUAGUCCAAUUCAGACUAGGCUUGGGGGGGGGGGCGGCCCAGCCCUAGCCAGCCCCUCUCUCUCCCUCUCUCUCCCUGAAGCCCAUUAACGCCCAUAAGAUCCCCGGGGGGUUCCGGUAACCUCUCGGUACUGUGGUAUUUAUCCGGUGUCCGAAUAUAACCUUCCAAUAUAUCAAUCUUUAUGUCUCGACCAUUUUAAGACUCCUCGUCAUGUCCGUGAUCAUAUCUGGGACUCCGAACUACCUUCGGUACAUCAAAACACAUAAACUCAUAAUACCGAUCGUCACCGAACGUUAAGCGUGCGGACCCUAUGGGUCCGAGAACUAUGUAGACAUGACCGAGACACGUCUCCGGGUUUAACCAAUAGCGGAACCUGGAUGCUCAUAUUGGCUCCUACAUAUGUUGGGGAACGUUGCAUAAAAUAAACUUUUUCCUAUGUUCACCAAGAUCAAUCUAUGAGUUCAUCUAGCAACGAGAGAGGGGAGUGCAUCUACAUACCCUUGUAGAUCACGAGCGGAAGCGUUCAAGAGAACGGGGUUGAGGGAGUCGUACUCGUCGUGAUCCAAAUCACCGGAGAUCCUAGCGCCGAACGAAUGGCACCUCCGCGUUCAACACACGUACGGUUAGCGUGACGUCUCCUCCUUCUUGAUCCAGCAAGGGGGAAGGAGAGGUUGAUGAAGAUCCAGCAGCACGACGACGCGGUGGAGGAUGCAGCAGAGUUCCGGCAGGGCUUCGCCAAGCGACUACGGGAGGAGGAGGUGUAGCAAGGGGGGAGGGAGGCGCCAAGACUUCAGGGUGCAGCUGCCCUCCCCUCCCCCUCCUUUAUAUAGGCCCCCUGGAGGGUGGCGCCGGCCCUGGAGAUGGGAUCUCCCAAGGGGGCGGCGGCUAGGGGGGUGGAGUGCCCCCCAAGGCAAGUGGAGGCGCCCCCCCCCCCCACCCUAGGGUUUCCAACCCUAGGCGCAGGGGGGCCCAAGGGGGUCGCACCAGCCCACCAGGGGCUGGUCCCCUCCCCACUUCAGCCCACGGGGCCCUCCGGGAUAGGUGGCCCCACCCGGUGGACCCCCGGGACCCUUCCGGUGGUCCCGGUACAAUACCGGUGACCCCCGAAACUCUCCCGAUCACCGAAACUGCACUUCCUAUAUAUAAUUCUUUAUCUUCGGACCAUUCCGGAACUCCUCGUGACGUCCGGGAUCUCAUCCGGGACUCCGAACAACUUUCGGUUUGCUGCAUACUCAUAUCUCUACAACCCUAGUGUCACCGAACCUUAAGUGUGUAGACCCUACGGGUUCGGGAGACACAUAGACAUGACCUAGAUGGCUCUCCGGUCAAUAACCAACAGCGGGAUCUGGAUACCCAUGUUGGCUCCCACAUGCUCCUCGAUGAUCUCAUCGGAUGAACCAUGAUGUUGAGGAUUCAAGCAACCCCGUAUUCAAUUCCCUUUGUCAAUCGGUAUUUUACUUGCCUGAGAUUCGAUCAUCGGUAUCCCAAUACCUCGUUCAAUCUCGUUACCGGCAAGUCACUUUACUCGUACCGUAAUGCAUGAUCCUGUGACCAGACACUUGGUCACUUUGAGCUCAUUAUGAUGAUGCACUACCGAGUGGGCCCAGAGAUACCUCUCCGUCAUACGGAGUGACAAAUCCCAGUCUCGAUCCGUGUCAACCCAACAGACACUUUCAGAGAUACCUGUAGUGCACCUUUAUAGUCACCCAGUUACGUUGUGACGUUUGGUACACCCAAAGCACUCCUACGGUAUCCGGGAGUUACACGAUCUCAUGGUCUAAGGAGAAGAUACUUGACAUUGGAAAAGCUCUAGCAAACGAACUACACGAUCUUGUGCUAUGCUUAUGAUUGGGUCUUGUCCAUCACAUCAUUCUCCUAAUGAUGUGAUCCCGUUAUCAAUGACAUCUAAUGUCCAUAGUCAGGAAACCAUGACUAUCUAUUGAUCAACGAGCUAGUCAACUAGAUGCUCACUAGGGACAUAUUAUGGUCUAUGUAUUCACACGUGUAUUACGAUUUCCGGAUAAUACAAUUAUAGCAUGAAUAAAGACAAUUAUCAUGAACAAGGAAAUAUAAUAAUGAUCCUUUUAUUAUUGCCUCUAGGGCAUAUUUCCAAAAGUCUCCCACUUGCACUAGAGUCAAUAAUCUACUUACAUUGUGAUGAAUCGAACACCCAUAGAGUUCUGGUGUUCAUCAUGUUUUGCUUGCGGAAGAGGUUUAGUCAACGGAUCUGCGACAUUCAGAUCCAUAUGUACUUUGCAAAUAUCUAUGUCUCCAUCUUGAACAGUUUCACGGAUGGAGUUGAAACGAUGCUUGACGUGCCUGGUCUUCUUGUGAAACCUGGGCUCCUUGGCAAGGGCAAUAGCUCCAGUGUUGUCACAGAAGAGAGUGAUUGGCCCCGACGCAUUGGGUAUGACUCCUAGGUCGGUGAUGAACUCCUUCAUCCAUAUUGAUUCAUGCGCUGCCUCCGAGGCUGCCAUGUACUCCGCUUCACAUGUAGAUCCCGCCACGACGCUCUGCUUGCAACUGCACCAGCUUACUGCUCCACGAUUCACCAUAUACACGUAUCCGGUUUGUGACUUAGAGUCAUCCACAUCUGUGUCGAAGCUAGCAUCGACGUAACCCUUUAUGACGAGCUCUUCGUCACCUCCAUAAACAAGAAACAUGUCCUUUAUCCUUUUCAGGUACUUCAGGAUAUUCUUGACCGCUAUCCAGUGUUCCUUGCCGGGAUUACUUUGGUACCUUCCUACCAAACUUACGGCAAGGUUUACAUCAGGUCUGGUGCACAGCAUGGCAUACAUAAUAGAUCCUAUGGCUGAGGCAUAGGGGAUGACACUCAUCUCUUCUUUAUCUUCUGCCGUGGUCGGGCAUUGAGCCGAGCUCAACUUCACACCUUGCAAUACAGGCAAGAACCCUUUCUUGGACUGAUCCAUUUUGAACUUCUUCAAUAUCUUAUCAAGGUAUGUGCUUUGUGAAAGACCUAUGAGGCGUCUCGAUCUACCCCUAUAGAUCUUGAUGCCUAAUAUGUAAGCAGCUUCUCCAAGGUCCUUCUUUGAAAAACACUUAUUCAAGUAGGCCUUAAUGCUGUCCAAAAGUUCUAUAUCAUUUCCCAUCAAAAGUAUGUCAUCUACAUAUAAUAUGAGAAAUGCUACAAAGCUCCCACUCACUUCCUUGUAAACGCAGGCUUCUCCAUAAGUCUGCAUAAACCCAAACGCUUUGAUCAUCUCAUCAAAGCGAAUGUUCCAACUCCGAGAUGCUUGCACCAGCCCAUAAAUGGAUCGCUGGAGCUUUCAUACCUUGUUAGCAUUCUUAGGAUCGACAAAACCCUCCGGCUGCAUCAUAUACAGUUCUUCCUUAAGAUGUCCGUUAAGGAAUGCCGUUUUGACGUCCAUCUUCCAUAUCUCAUAAUCAUAGUAUGCGGCAAUUGCUAACAUGAUUCGGACGGACUUCAGCUUCGCUACGGGAGAGAAAGUCUCAUCAUAGUCAACCCCUUGAACUUGUCGAUAACCCUUAGCGACAAGUCAAGCUUUAUAGAUGGUAACAUUACCAUCCGCGUCUGUCUUCUUCUUAAAGAUCCAUUUGUUUUCUAUCGCUCACCGAUCAUCGGGCAAGUCUGUCAAAGUCCAUACUUUGUUUUCAUCCAUGGAUUCUAUCUCCGAUUGCAUGGCUUCAAGCCAUUUGUUGGAAUCUGGGCCUGCCAUCGCUUCUUCAUAGUUCGAAGGUUCACCGUUGUCUAACAACAUGAUUUCCAGGACAGGGUUGCCAUACCACUUUGGUGUGGAACAUGUCCUUGUGGACCUAUGAAGUUCAGUAGCAACUUGAUCCGAAGUACUUUGAUCAUCAUCAUUAAUUUCCUCUCCAGUCGGUGUAGGCACCACAGCAACAUUUUCCUGAGCUGCACUACUUUCCGGUUCAAGAGGUAGUACUUCAUCGAGUUCUACUUUCCUCCCACUUACUCCUUUCGAGAGAAACUCUUUUUCCAGAAAGGAUCCGUUCUUGGCAACAAAGAUCUUGCCCUCGGAUCUUAAGUAGAAGGUAUACCCAAUGGUUUCCUUAGGGUAUCCUAUGAAGACGCAUUUUUCCGACUUGGGUUCGAGCUUUUCAGGUUGAAGUUUCUUGACAUAAGCAUCGCAUCCCCAAACUUUUAGAAACGACAGCUUAGGUUUCUUCCCAAACCAUAAUUCAUACGGUGUCGUCUCAACGGAUUAAGACGGAGCCCUGUUUAAAGUGAAUGUAGCUGUCUCUAGAGCGUAUCCCCAAAAUGAUAACAGUAAAUCGGUAAGAGACAUCAUAGAUCGCACCAUAUCCAAUAGAGUGCGAUUACGAUGUUCGGACACACCGUUACGCUGAGGUGUUCCAGGCGGCGUGAGUUGUGGAAUGAUUCCACAUUUCCUUAAGUGCGUACCAAAUUCGUGACUUAAAUAUUCUCCUCCACGAUCUGAUCGUAGGAACUUUAUCUUUCGGUCACGUUGAUUCUCUACCUCAUUCUGAAAUUCCUUAAACUUUUCAAAGGUCUCAGACUUGUGUUUCAUCAAGUAGACAUACCCAUAUCUACUCAAGUCAUCAGUGAGAGUGAAAACAUAAUGAUAUCCUCCGCGAGCCUCAACGCUCAUUGGACCACACACAUCAGUAUGUAUGAUUUCCAAUAAGUUGGUUGCUCGCUCCAUUGUUCUGGAGAACAGAGUCUUGGUCAUUUUGCCCAUGAGGCAUGGUUCGCAUGUGUCAAAUGAUUCAUAAUCGAGAGACUCUAAAAGUCCAUCAUCAUGGAGCUUCUUCAUGCGCUUGACACCAAUGUGACCAAGGUGGCAGUGCCACACGUAUGUGGGACUAUCGUUACCAACUUUACAUCUUUUGGUAUUCACACUAUGAAUAUGUGUAACAUUACGUUCGAGAUUCAUUAAGAAUAAACCAUUGACCAUCGGGGCAUGACCAUAAAAUAUAUCUCUCAUAUAAAUAGAACAACCAUUAUUCUCGGAUUUAAAUGAGUAGCCAUCUCGUAUUAAACGAGAUCCAGAUACAAUGUUCAUGCUCAAACUUGGCACUAAAUAACAAUUAUUGAGGUUUAAAACUAAUCACGUGGGUAAAUGUAGAGGCAGCGUGCCGACGGCGAUCACAUCGACCUUGGAACCAUUCCCGACGCGCAUCGUCACCUCGUCCUUCGCCAGUCUCCGCUUAUUCCACAGCUCCUACUAUGAGUUACAAAUAUGAGCAAUGGCACCGGUAUCAAAUACCCAGGAGUUACUAUGAGUACUGGUAAGGUACACAUCAAUUACAUGUAUAUCACAUAUACCUUUAGUGUUUUCGGCCUUCUUGUCCGCUAAGUAUUUGGGGCAGUUCCGCUUCCAGUGACCCUUCCCUUUGCAAUAAAAGCACUCAGUCUCAGGCUUGGGUCCAUUCUUUGACUUCUUCCCGGCAACUGGCCUACCGGGUGCGGCAACAUCCUUGUCGUCCUUCUUGAAGUUCUUCUUACCCUUCCCUUCUUGAACUUGGUGGUUUUAUUGACCAUCAACACUUGAUGUUCUUUCUUGAUUUCUACUUCUGUUGACUUUAGCAUUGAAAAUACUUCAGGAAUAGUUUUCACCAUCCCCUGCAUAUUGUAGUUCAUCACAAAGCUCUUGUAGCUUGGUGGGAGCGACUGAAGGAUUCUGUCAGUGACCGCCUUGUCCGGGAGGUUGAUGUCCAGCUGGGACAGGCAGUUGUGCAACCCAGACAUUUUGAGUAUGUGCUCACUGACAGAACUAUUUUCCUCCAUCUUACAACUAUAGAACAUGUCGGAGACUUCAUAUCUUUCGACCCGGGCAUGAGCUUGGAAAACCAGUUUCAGCUCCUUGAACAUCUCAUAUGCUCCGUGUUGGUCAAAAUGCUUUUGGAUCCUCGGUUCUAAGCUGUAAAGCAUGCCGCACUGAACGAGGGAGUAAUCAUCAGCACGUGACUGCCAAGCGUUCAUAAUGUCUUGGUUCUCUGGGAUGGGUGCAUCACCUAGUGGUCCUUCUAGGACAUAUGCUUUCUUAGCAGCUAUGAGGAUGAUCCUCAGGUUCUGGACCUAGUCCGUAUAGUUGCUUCCAUCAUCUUUCAGCUUGCUUUCUCUAGGAACGCGUUGAAGUUCAUGUUGACAUGAGCGUUGGCCAUUUGAUCUACAAGACAUUUUUGCAAAGAUUUUAGACUAAGUUCAUGAUAAUUAAGUUCAUCUAAUCAAAUUAUUUAAUGAACUCCCACUCAGAUUUGACAUCCCUCUAGUCAUCUAAGUGUUACACGAUCCGAGUCGACUAGGCCGUGUUCGAUCAUCACGUGAGACAGACUAGUCAUCAUCGGUGAACAUCUCGAUGUUGAUCGUAUCUUCCAUACGACUCAUGUUCGACCUUUCGGUCUCUGUGUUCCGAGGCCAUGUCUGUACAUGCUAGGCUCGUCAAGUUUAACCUAAGUGUUUUGCAUGUGUAAAACUGUCUUACACCCGUUGUAUGUGAACGUAGGAAUCUAUCACACCGGAUCAUCACGUGGUGCUUCGAAAUGACGAACUUUAGCAACGACGCACAGUUAGGGAGAACACUUUCUUGAAAUUAUUAUAAGGGAUCAUCUUAUUUACUACCGUCGUUCUAAGUAAACAAGAUGCAUAAACAUAAUAAACAUCACAUGCAAUUAUAUAGUAGUGACAUGAUAUGGCCAAUAUCAUAUAGCUCCUUUGAUCUCAAUCUUCGGGGCUCCAUGAUCAUCUUUGUCACCGGCAUGACACCAUGAUCUCCAUCAUCAUGAUCUCCAUCAUCGUGUCUCCAUGAAGUUGCUCGCCAACUAUUACUUCUACCACUAUGGCUAACGGUUUAGCAAUAAAGUAAAGUAAUUACAUGGCGUUAAAUCAUUGACACACAGGUCAUACAAUAAUUAAGACAACUCCUAUGGAUCCUGCCGGUUGUCAUAUUCAUCGACAUGCAAGUCGUGAUUCCUAUUACAAGAACAUGAUCUCAUACAUCACAAUAUAUCAUUCAUCAUUCAUCACAACUUUUGGCCAUAUCACAUCACAAGGCAAUUGCUGCAAAAACAAGUUAGACGUCCUCUAAUAGUUGUUGCAUCUUUUACGUCGCUGCAAUAGGGUUCUAGCAAGAACGUUUUCUUACCUACGAAAAAGCCACAACGUGAUUUGUCAACUUCUAUUUACCCUUCAUAAGGACCCUUUUCAUCGAAUCCGCUCCAACUAAAGUGGGAGAAACAGACACCCGCUAGCCACCUUAUGCAAGUAGUGCAUGUCAGUCGGUGAAACCUGUCUCAUGUAAGCGUACGUGUAAGGUCGGUCCGGGCCGCUUCAUCCCACAAUACCCUGAAGCAAAAUAAGACUAGUAGCGGUAAGAAAGUUGACAACAUCUACGCCCACAACAGAUUUGUGUUCUACUCGUGCAAUAGAGAACUACGCAUAGACCUAGCUCAUGAAGCCACUGUUGGGGAACGUUGCAUAAAAUAAAAAAUUUCCAACGUUCACCAAGAUCAAUCUAUGAGUUCAUCUAGCAACAAGAGAGGGAGUGCAUCUACAUACCCUUGUAGAUCGCGAGUGGAAGCGUACAAGAGAAUGGGGUUGAGGGAGUCAUACUCGUCGUGAUCCAAAUCACCGGAGAUUCUAGCGCCGAACGGACGGCACCUCCGCGUUCAACACACGUAUGGUCAGCGUGACGUCUCCUCCUUCUUUAUCCAGCAAGGGGAAAGGAGAGGUUGAUGAAGAUCCGGCAACACGACGGCGUGGUGGUGGAUGCAGCAGAGUUCCGGCAGGGCUUCGCCUAGUGACUACGGGAGGAGGAGGUGUAGAAAGGGGGGAGGGAGGCGCCAAGACUUCAGGGUGCGGCUGCCCUCCCCUCCCCCUCCUUUAUAUAGGCCCCUUGGGGGGGAGCCGGCCCUGGAGAUGGGAUAUCCAAAGGGGGCGGCGGCCAGGGGGGUGGAGUGCCCCCCAAGGCAAGUGGAGGCGCCCCCCCACCCUAGGGUUUCCAACCAUAGGCGCAGAGGGGGGCCAAGGGGGCACACCAGCCCACCAGGGGCUGGUCCCCUCCCCACUUCAGUCCACGGGGCCCUCCAGGAUAGGUGGCCCCACCCGGUGGACCCCCGGGACCCUUCCGGUGGUCCCGAUACAAUACCGGUGACCCCCGAAACUCUCCCGAUGGCCGAAACUGGACUUCCUAUAUAUAAUUUUAUCUUUGGACCAUUCCGGAACUCCUCGUGACGUCCGGGAUCUCAUCCGGGACUCCGAAAAACUUUCGGUUUGCUGCAUACUCAUAUCUCUACAACCCUAGUGUCACCGAACCUUAAGUGUGUAGACCCUACGGGUUCGGGAGACACGUAGACAUGACCGAGACGGCUCUUCGGUCAAUAACCAACAUCGGGAUCUGGAUACCCAUGUUGGCUCCCACAUGCUCCUCGAUGAUCUCAUCGGAUGAACCAUGAUGUCGAGGAUUCAAGCAACCCCGUAUUCAAUUCCCUUUGUCAAUCGAUAUUUUACUUGCCCGAGAUUCGAUCGUCGGUAUCCCAAUACCUCAUUCAAUCUCGUUACCGGCAAGUCACUUUAAUCGUACCAUAAUGCAUGAUCCCGUGACCAGACACUUGGUCACUUUGAGCUCAUUAUGAUGAUGCACUACCGAGUGGGCCCAGAGAUACCUCUCUGUCAUACGGAGUGACAAAUCCCAGUCUCGAUCCGUGUCAACCCAACAGACACUUUCGGAGAUACCUAUAGUGCACCUUUAUAGUCACCCAGUUACGUUAUGACCUUUGGUACACCCAAAGCUAUCAGGACCCCGACUCAAUGCCACAUCGAUCUAGCAUGUAACACCUCAUAUCACUUUGCGGCCUCACGCACGGUAUUCCCACGGGUGUCGUCUUACCUUUGCCCGGGACCGUUUGCACCUUUUGGCACACGUAUAUGAUAGUGUUGCUGGCAUCCAUAUGGUAAGGAGCCCGGGCUGACAUGGCUAGUCGUAAACCCAAAGUGGCACAGACUUACAGGGACAGGCAUCCAUGACCCAGCAUCGAACGUGUCGGUCAUCAGCAAGUGAAUCCGGGCUUUAGCACCGGGCUAGCAGGACUCCGGUAAACCGUGCUGCAGCGGGCUAACAGGACUCCGGUAUUCAUCGCAUGACAUUUCGCCGAAGGGACAGACACAGGAACGAAGAAGGCACAUGCCGGCCAGCCUAAGUGUUCCGGAGCAGUAGCAAGCUACCAUGGCUCAGUGGAAGCACUAGGAGACAUUUCCCGGUAAGAGAGGCUACUAAGGAUAAACAACUAGAUAGUCAGAUCCCACACAUACCAAGCAUUUCAAUCAUACACACAAUAUGCUCGAUAUGUGCAAAUACAACAAGGCAUCACAACAUGACUCUACAACACAAGUACUUUAUUUAAAGGCUCAGAGAGCCAUACAUAGUAUACACACAAGUACGGGUCACAUGACCCACAUUCAAGUAAUACAAGCAUACAAGCCAACAGCGGAAGUAACUUGUCUGAGUAGAGACAACUAGUAAAAUAAAAGAGGCCUGGGUAAGCCUAGCUAUACUACAUGGUCCUUCACAAGCUCAGGAUCACCACCUGGGCCUCAGUCUACUCAUCGAUGUCAACGUCUACGAAGAACCUGUCAGAAGGGGUUGUAGCAUCUUCUGUAAAAUGUAAAUUAGAGCAACAUGAGUACAAAGGUACUCAGCAAGACUUACAUCAGAUCCUACAUACAUGCACAUUAUCAAGAAGGGUUGGUGGGGUUAUUGCAGCAAGCCAGCUUCGACUCUUGGCUAAGCUAUCCUAUGAGACUCCAACUUGAAAUGGUUUUGCACACACGAGUCCACUACUCACCACUUCAAUACACAACCGAGGAUUCACCUCCGUCUUCCUACGGAAGAGCCAUCCUCGGCACUCACAAUUAUCUUGAGGCUUUUAGUAGUUUCCAUUUACUUGUCUAUGAACUGUUAUAGGCAACACAGAAGUCCUUUACCGCGGACACGGCUAUUCGAAUAGAUCAUUUAUAACCCUGCAGGGGUGUACUUCUUCAUACAUGUUUCCACCACUUAGCAUCUGCACACGACAUGUGCUCGGCAGACUUCAAGCGAAAGCGAAAGCCUAAACACUCAAGUCUCUAGUCCAGGUUUAUCGCCUAUUCAGGUUCCAUCCGCAGGGAGUCCGUCCGAGGUUUCCACAUACGGCCCCGAACGAUGUGUAUAGGGUUCCGUGACACCAAACAGGCGCCCGGUAUACCCGGCCACGUGCCUACCGCAUCACAGCCCACCCCUUCGAUCAGCGUUGCGCACGACCUCCAGCAUACUACAAACACCAGAAACUACUUGCAACUCCUGGACAGAGGACAAGGGUGAUUAAGAAGUCGAGCAGGGUCAUAUUUCAGGGCCCAAUGCAUGGUAGUAGCUGAACCAUGGAUCACAAACACAGAACUCAGUUCCUGAGGACGGCUUCAAUGAGACAAUCCACCAUGUACUCCUACAUGGCCUCUCAUAGCUACCUUUACCAAAUCCUGUUCACACACUUAGCUCACACUCAGUAGAAUAUGUUCACGCACCUCUGAUUCAUCCCCGAUGAAUCAGACCUGACUCAACUCUAAGCAAUAGCAGGCAUGACAAACAAACAUGAAUGAGUAGGCACAACAGGGCUCAAACAACUCCUACUCAUGCUAGUGGGUUUCAUCUAUUUACUGUGGCAAUGAUAGGUCCUGCAGAGGAUAAAGGGGUUCAGCUACCGCAGCAAGUAACAGAUGAAUCAUUGCUGUCCUAAUGCAGUAAAAGAGAGCAGGAGCGAGAGAGUAGGAUUGUAUCGAAAUGAACAAGGGGGUUUUGCUUGCCUGGCACUUCUGAAGAUAGUAUACUUCUUCAUCGGUGUCAGCGAUCACAACGUCGGUACAACGUCUACCGAGGGGGAACAACACUGGCAAACAGAGAAGAAACACGAUCAAUGCAAUGCACAAUAUGAUGCCUGCUAUGACAUGGCAAUAUGAAUGUGUUUUGGGCUAAUGCAAGCUAGAACAGAUUGAGAUGAGUCCAUUUGAACCAAAGAUUCAAAUGCAAACCCAUUUUAAGAGGUCAUAAUAGUGUAUUAACUUGUUUCACCUAAACAGCAAGGUUAAUGUGUUCUAACAUGCAUGAAACCAGUGCAGAUGGAUAGAUUGGAUUUUUUUGAUCAUUUUUCAUAUAUAAAUUAUUUCAUUCUAAGUUACGGUUAAAUUUCUAUGAAUUUUAGAAGUUUAGAGCAUUUUCUGGAAUUUCCUGUAUAAAAAUAAAUCUAGAAAAUACUUAUUGCGUCAGCAUUGCGUCACUCUGACGUCAGCAGUCAACGAGGCCGGUCCAGGUCAAACCUGACGUGUGGGGUCCACACAUCAGUGACACGGUUAACCAACAGGGUUAAUUAAAAUUAAACUAAACCUAAUCUAGUUUAGUUAAGGCCUGGGCCCACAUGUCAGAGGCUAACCUAACUAACUAAGUUAAUUACCGCUCAUUAAUCUAUCGCUUAAUUAAGCAGGGGCCUGGCCCACACGUCAAUGAGUCAGGGGGAAGUCAAACCCCGGUCAAACCCGCCGGACCUGGUCCACGGCUCGUCGCCGGCGACGACAGAGACAACGAGGCGGCUCGGGAAUGCUCUACAGGGCACCGUUUUACUCGUGGUUUGCGGCUACGGCUAGCUAGCAAUGCGGCGCAUCUAAUGGAGCGAAUGGGUGGAGCUGGGGUGGCCUGAGCCGACGGCGGCGAGCUCCAAGGCGGCGGCCGGAGUUCGGGCAAUGACGGGUUUGGCGCCACAGUGCAUGGGAGGAGGAGCUGGUGGGCGCUACGGGCUCUUGGGGGUGCACUGGGUGUAGUGACGCGCUCGGUUUGGACGGAGGUGAACUAAAAUGACGACAGCGACAAGUCUGGCACCAGUGAGGUUUCGGUCUCGACGGAAACGAGGGCUACGAUGAGCUAAUGGACAUGUGAGUAGGGGGGUCAGUAAAGGAGCUUACGGCGAGUGCAGAGGUGGCCUCGGCGUGCUCGGGGAAGCACUGGAGCGAGCGGUGCGGCGAGAGGGAUCUCCGGCGGCCGGUGACGAAGAUGAUCAAGAUGGCGUCAAUCCAGGGCCUCCGGCGAUGCGUGGCUAGACGGAGAGGACGAGGGAGGCGUGGCGAUGCUCGUGGACACGUCGGAGAGGCUCGGGGUUGGCUGCGGCUGCGGCUAUGGCGAACGGCGGCGGCGGUGGCGUUCGGUGGUGAGAGGGAGAGAGAGUAGAGGAGGGGGAGGAGCAUGGGGAGAGUGAGAGAGAGCCACAGGGGUUGCGUGUCGACGUCCAUGGCAUCCAGAGGGACGUCGGGAGGCGGUGGAAAGCUGGAGGUGGCCGAGGGGCGUGGGCGUGAAUGGCGGCCACACGCCUCUCAUCCUACUGGCGAGAGGUGGGAGAUGACUGGCAGAUGGGCCUGGUGGGCUGCUACAGUGCCAGGCCGGCCAGGUAAGCGCCAGGUAUUCUCUCUCUCUCUCUCUUUUGUUAAUGUUUUUCUAUUUUUCUGUAACUUCAGGGCUUUAUUAAAAAUGCCAGGGCAUUUCCAAAAAUCAUGAAACUAAUCAUGGCUACUGUUUAGAAUAUAUCCAACAGUAAACAUUUUAGUUUAUGAUUAUUUGAGCAUUUAAAAUAUUUUAUAGCACUUAAAUGCCCAAAUGCAAAUACUAUAGGAUUUAAUUUAGAAAUCCAGAAUGGCCUAGAAAUAUGUGCAUGACAUUUGGCAGAGGUUUUCACCUUUGACCGAAAUCAUGAACUUUUCUAAAGGGCAUUUGGGAUCACUAAAAAUAUUAUUUUUUUGAACCUAGUUGAAUUCAUUUGGUGCUAGGGUUUCAACAAUCCCCAUUUCAAGUUUCAUGAAAUUUAAACAUGAUGCAUGGAUGCAAAGUCACUAGUUACGAGCAAACUCUAGGGCUGUGAUAACUCACCCCCACUAAACAAGAAUCUCGUCUUGAGAUUCAAGACGUGAGGUAAGAAGACAAAGGGGGCACAAAACCAACACAAUCUUCAUGAUCCAGGUUGCACCUCAUAAGGUUGUUGAUUCGUUGCAUACAUUGAUCUUGACAUCCUCGCUUUUGAGAUCUUCAUCCAUGCGAUGACGACGGAAAGGAACUCUACUAGGAUUGAUCUUCUCAAAGACCGAAUUAUACAAUCUCAACUCGCGGAGUGAGAUGUUGAAACACCUUGAGUUGAGACACAAAACACAUCGAGAGGGAUGGAAGAACAAACGACGGGGUUUGAUUUGGUGGGAAACAAUUCCACGCUUAGAAAGAUGGUGGAUGGUGUCAAGGUGGCGAGGAAAUAAUUGCCAUGAUCCCGUAACGGGGCACCUUAGGGAAGGUGACUCGUAGGUUUGUUACCUUAAGUGGCAAAAGGAAUUAUUUUUGAUUCAGAGAUCAUUGAAACUCUUUAUACCAGCCUAAGGCAAUUCACAACAAUCGUUUGGCAGAGUACAAAGGGAUGGCAUACCCGGACUAGAAUGGAUGAUGUGGACUACCUUGUUGAAGACAACGUAAUGAAUGCUUUUUGCUUAUCAUCGGAGGUGGAGGGGACCCAUGGUAGGACCACUUCUAAAGAUGAUCCUGAACAACAAUUGCUGAGAAGGGCAGUCCAAGGAGGAUUGGCACAAGGCGGUGCAAGCUGGGAACGAAAUGCAAAUGUCGGGAAUGUUCCAACCAUCAUAUCUGCCUGAGAUUCAGAUUUGGUUGGUGUUAGGACAUUCCAGACUCAUCAAGUCUAGGAAGAAAAAUGAAAGUUUGCAACACAAAUCGAUGAGAUGACGUCGCGAGAUUCUCGGGAGAUAAACUACGAUAGCAAGCUCCAAAACAUGAGCUGGUUCUGCUAAACAUGUGUGAACACGCUGUCCCAGACAAACAUGACCACAUAGUAGUCUUAAUAUAAAACACUACCGAGUUCAGGUGGGGAACCAUCAUUGCGGAUAACGAAGUCCUUGCAUAAGUCAUGAUUCUUAAGAAGGAGCUUCUUCUCCCUGAACAAAUCAAUCAGUGGCUUGGUGUGCUAGGGAUACGUAAGCAAUGAAGAUGAUCAGUCUAUCAGACCAUAGAAUACUUCGCACAUGCAUGACUGACUUGGGAUGAUCCCGGAGGGAACAAAACUAACUUUCUCAAAUUCACGGCGGCAACUUGCACCUAAUGCGCGUGAACUUGGAGAGAGUCACUUCUUACAUCCAAGCAUAUUCUUCAUGAACGAAACACGAAGAUAAUGCUUAUAUAGUUUCCAAUACUAGCUGAAGGUUCAACACGAAUCAUGGAAGAGAUAAAAAUGUUGCUGAUGGGCUCAACAACAAUUCAUCUAGGUUUCCAUAUAAGUGGAAUUCCACAAUUAUGUGAACAAGGCGAUAGCAUCGGUCAGACCAAAGGAUAUAACGGUGUAUGCCCGAGGAAACAACCACGGGUAAGACAACAUUACGAAUAUCGUUGGUUCUGAUUUGACUUGACAAUAGCCCAUGCUCAAAUCAGAGAUUGGUUACGAUAAUAGAUCCAACAACUGAUCACAGGGACCAAUCGAUGAAGAUAUCAUCUUUCUUCAACAUACAUACAAGAUAUCACUUAACAUGAACUAAGUCGGACAAGCUUUUAUCUUCCAACUCUCCAAGUUGAUGUAUAGCUUAACCAACUAGCUCAGGGGUAUCCAACACGGAUUCUUGGAGAAAGGGUGGUUUACAAGAAUAAACCAACUUGAUCAUGAACUCAACAUAGCGGUCAGGUGACGACCUAGUGAUACUUCCGAGAAGAUAAUCAGAAAAUCAGGAACCACCGGUAUGUUACUAAGCUCGAGAGAAAUCUUGCUUUUCAGGGCAAGACGAUAUGAUCAAAUGAGCAAGGGAUUGACAAAAUCCUAACUCAACGACCGAAGAGUGCACCGGAAAUAGGGACUAGAUAGCACAAUCAACCUUAGGGUGACGAUUCAAUAAUCAACACGCUAAGAAUGAGGUUAGCGUCCAUUUAACUACCAAGCAACGGAGUUGCUAGCAGUAUUGAUUUCACACACCAUGAUUCACUUGUCAGUAUUCCGGUUGCAACAACACGGAACCGAGGAGCGAAUGAUGAUGGCAAGAAGUAUCACUACUUCAAGAAUCCAUAAGGGAAGGUGCAAUUCUCAUGACGUUCCUGACAUAAAGUGGGUAAUACUUCAGGGUAGAACAGAACAAAAGCUGAAUUAGUAUUUGAUCUGCGAUUUACAACUGCUUUGACCCGAUCCUGGAUAUGGAUGAGGUACGGGAGUUUGUUUCUCCUAGUCAUUCUAGAAUAGAAUGGCUUGACAUACCACUAGAGUAAUAGGCAUCAAUGAACGAAUGCACGCAUACUCUUGACUAUCAAUUGAUAGAUGGGGUCGGAAUACAACUAAGGAGGGACAACCCAAACGAACUUACGAUCUUCUGAGUUGUGGAUGCACAUAUUAGUAUGUCGAGCAAAGAUCAACAUUUUUCUUCCGGAUAACCCAUGCGGAGAAGGUAGGACUGGCAGAUUCACAAUAUAGAAUCGAGAACGCAUCAAGAGCACUCUGGUUGUGAUCUUUCGGUUAAACGAGGAACUUCUGCCAUAAGUAGUUCAUGGUAUUUGGAAGAAGGAAAUACCACGGACCUCGAGGACUAAUGCAAAGGUUACUAAUUUCCUAAAGGAACUAGCAAACACUAUCAUCAUGAGUAAGUGGGGUGAAUCUCGGUUCAAGAACCCAGGAAUAGAAUACCUACUACUAAGUGGCAUCACGGGAUGCUUUCGAGAAUAAAGGCCAGAAUUAUCACACCGGGAACAAAUCAUGGCUAGAUUACUAGAUGAUCCCCUAGGACACCUAGGGUCAUAAUAAUAAUUCCAACAUAUAUGUCGAGGCAAUAGAAUACUUCAACUCAGCAAUUAGUGUGAUUAACCUGGCUCAAAGGAACAUCAAAACCAGAGGGAAAUGAUUUGCAAGUGCAUCAGAUUGUUUAGAAACCUGGGAUGACUCGGACAACAUAACGGCUGUAAAUGCUCAAAAGGAAUUUUGAGACAUUUUGCAAAGAGUUGCAUAGACACUCAACAAUAUCAUAUCAAGGUUCUGGGUCCAACUUAGCAACAUAAUAGGGUAGUAGAACUGAACUAGGCUUAUAAUCAUCAAACCAAUAAGGUACUACUGAUUAGUAACACGUGAACCUGAUAGAGAGAAAAGAUCCUAAUCCUUAACCCCCGGUGGAAGAAUGGACUGACUCAGAUCAGAAUGCCAUGAGGUAAAGAAGUAAAAAGAGCCUUACGUACCAUCCCACAAUCAAUUCCCCUACAUAUAACUAAAGCAUUUCUAGACUCAACAUCGACCAGUUUGGCUUGGUAAUCCUACAGGCAGUCAGGCUCUUAUACCAAAGCUGUCAGGUCCUGAACGAUGUGUACAGGGUUCCGUGACACCAAACGGGCGCCCGGUAUACCCGGCCACGUGCCUACCGCAUCACAGCCCACCCCUCCGGUCAGCGUUGCGCACGGCCUCCAGCAUACUACAAACACCAGAAACUACUUGCAACUCCUGGACAGAGGACAAGGGUGAUUAAGAAGUCGAGCGGGGUCAUAUUUCAGGGCCCAAUGCAUGGUAGUAGCUGAAUCAUGGAUCACAAACACAUAACUCAGUUCCUGAGGGCGGCUUCAAUGAGACAACCCACCAUGUACUCCUACAUGGACUCUCACCGCUACCUUUACCAAAUCGUGUUCACACACUUAGCUCACACUCAGUAGAAUAUGUUCACGCACCUCUGAUUCAUCCCCGGUGAAUCCGACUUAACUCAACUCUAAGCAAUAGCAGGCAUGACAAACAAACAUGAAUGAGUAGGCACAACAGGGCUCAAACAACUCCUACUCAUGCUAGUGGGUUUCAUCAAUUUACUAUGGCAAUGACAGGUCAUGCAGAGGAUAAAGGGGUUCAGCUACCGCAGCAAGUAAUAGAUGAAUCGUUGUUGUCCUAAUGCAGUGAAAGAGAACAGGAGCGAUAGAGUAGCAUUGUAUCGGAAUGAACAAGGGGGUUUUGCUUGCCUAGCACUUCUGAAGAUAGUAUACUUCUUCAUCGGUGUCAUCGAUCACAACAUCGGUACAACGUCUACCGAGGGGGAACAACACCGGCAAACAGAGAAGCAACAUGAUCAAUGCAAUGCACAAUAUGAUGCAUGCUAUGACAUGGCAAUAUGAAUGUGUUUUGGGCUAAUGCAAGCUAGAACAGAUUGAGAUGAGUCCAUUUGAACCAAAGAUUCAAAUGCAAACCCAUUUUAAGAGGUCAUAAUAGUGUAUUAACUUGUUUCACCUAAACAGCAAGGUUAAUGUGUUCUAACAUGCAUGAAACCAGUGCAGAUGGAUAGAUUGGAUUUGUUUGAUCAUUUUUCAUAUAUAAAUUAUUUCAUUCUGAGUUACGGUUAAAUUUCUAUGAAUUUUAGAAGUUUAGAGCAUUUUCUGGAAUUUCCUGUAUAAAAAUAAAUCCAGAAAAUACUUAUUGCGUCAGCAUUGCAUCGCUCUGACGUCAACAGUGAACGAGGCCAGUCCAGGUCAAACCUGACGUGUGGGGUCCACACGUCAGUGACACGGUUAACCAACAGGGUUAAUUAAAAUUAAACUAAACCUAAUCUAGUUUAGUUAAGGCCUGGGCCAACAUGUCAGAGGCUAACCUAACUAAGUUAAUUACAGCUAAUUAAUCUAUCGCUUAAUUAAGCAGGGGCCUGGCCCACACGUCAGUGAGUCAGGGGGAAGUCAAACCCCGGUCAAACGGGGUCAAACCCGCCGGACCUGGUCCACGGCUCAUCGCCGGCGACGACAGAGACGAUGGGGCGGCUCGUGAAUGCUCUACAGGGCACCGUUUUACUCAUGGUUUGUGGCUACGGCUAGCUAGCAAUGCGGCGCAUCUAAUUGAGCGAACGGGAGGAGCUAGGGUGUCCUGAGCCGACGGCGGCGAGCUCCAAGGCGGCGGCCGGAGUUCGGGCAACGACGGGUUCGGUGCCAUAGUGCAUGGGAGGAGGAGCCGGUGGGCGCUACGGGCUCCUGGGGGUGCACUGGGUGUAGUGACGCGCUCGGUUUGGACGGAGGCGAACUAAAAUGACGACGGCAACAAGUCCGGCGCCGGUGAGGUUUCGGUCUCGACGGAAACGAGGGCUACGAUGAGCUAAUGGACAUGUGAGUAGGGGGGUUAGUAGAGGAGCUUACGACGAGUGCAUAGGUGGCCUAGGCGUGCUCGGGGAAGCACCGGAGCGAGCGGUGCAGCGAGAGGGAUCUCCGGCAGCCGGCGACGAAGAUGAUGAAGAUGGCGUCGAUCCAGGGCCUCCGGCGAUGCGUUGCUGUGCGGAGAGGACUAGGGAGGCGUGGCGAUGCUCGUGGACACGUCGGAGAGGCUCGGAGUUGGCUGCGGCUGCGGCUAUGGCGAACGGCGGCGGCGGUGGCGUUCGGUGGUGAGAGGGAGAGAGAGUAGAGGAGGGGGAGGAGCAUGGGGAGAGUGAGAGAGAGCCACAGGGGUUGCGUGUCGACGUCCAGGGCAUCCAGAGCGACGUCGGGAGGCGGUGGAAAGCUGGAGGUGGCCGAGGCGCGUGGGCGUGAAUGGCGGCCACACGCCUCUCGUCCUACUGGCGAGAGGUGGGAGAUGACUGGCAGAUGGGCCUGGUGGGCUGCUACAGUGCCAGGCCGGCCAGGUAAGCGCCAGAUAUUCUCUCUCUCUCUUUUGUUAAUGUUUUUUUAUUUUUCUGUAACUUCAGGGCUUUAUUAAGAAUGCCAGGGCAUUUCCAAAAAUCAUGAAACUAAUCAUGGCUACUGUUUAGAAUAUAUCCAACAGUAAACAUUUUAGUUUAUGAUUAUUUGAGCAUUUAAAAUAUUUUAUAGCACUUAAAUGCCCAAAUGCAAAUACUAUAGGAUUUAAUUUAGAAAUCCAGAAUGGCCUAGAAAUAUGUGCAUGACAUUUGGCAGAGGUUUUCACCGUUGACAGAAAUCAUGAAAUUUUCUAAAGGGCAUUUGGGAUCACUGAAAAUAUAUAUUUUUUGAACCUAGUUGAAUUCAUUUGGUGCUAGGGUUUCAACAAUCCCCAUUUCAAGUUUCAUGAAAUUUAAACAUGAUGCAUGGAUGCAAAGCCACUAGUUACAAGCAAACUCUGGGGCUAUGACAAAAGCACUCCUACGGUAUCGGUAUCCGGGAGUUACACGAUCUCAUGGUCUAAGGAGAAGAUACUUGACACUGGAAAAGCUCUAGCAAACGAACUACACGAUCUUGUGCUAUGCUUAGGAUUGGGUCUUGUCCAUCACAUCAUUUUCCUAAUGAUGUGAUCCCGUUAUCAACGACAUCUAAUGUCCAUAGUCAGGAAACCAUGACUAUCUGUUGAUCAACGAGCUAGUCAACUAGAGGCUCACUAGGGACAUAUUAUGGUCUAUGUAUUCACACGUGUAUUACGAUUUCCGGAUAAUACAAUUAUAGCAUGAAUAAAGACAAUUAUCAUGAACAAGGAAAUAUAAUAAUAAUCCUUUUAUUAUUGCCUCUAGGGCAUAUUUCCAACAACAUAUUCUACGAAGAUCUUUAUCGGUCAAACCACAUAACAACAUAGGUUCUUCCCUUUGUCAUCGGUAUGUUACUUGCCUGAGAUUCGAUCGUCGGUAUCUCAAUACCUAGUUCAAUCUCGUUACCGGCAAGUAUGUUUACUCAUUCCAUAAUGCAUGAUCCCGCAACUAACUCAUUAGUCACAUUGCUUGCAAGGCUUAUAGUGAUGUGCAUUACCGAGAGGGCCCAGUGAUACCUCUCCGACAAUCGGAGUGACAAAUCCUAACCUCGAUCUAUGCCAACUCAACAAGUACCAUCGGAGACACCUGUAGAGCACCUUUAUAAUCCCCCAGUUACGUUGUGACGUUUGGUAGCACACAAAGUGUUCCUCUGGUAUUUGGGAGUUGCAUAAUCUCAUAGUCAUAGGAACACGUAUAAGUCAUGAAGAAAGCAAUAGCAACAAACUAAACGAUCAAGUGCUAAGCUAACGAAAUGGGUCAAGUCAAUCACAUCAUUCUCUAAUGAUGUGAUCCCGUUAAUCAAAUGACAACUGUCUAUGGUUAGGAAACACAACCAUCUUUGAUUCAACGAGCUAGUCAAGUAGAGGCAUACUAGUGACACUUUGUUUGUCUAUGUAUUCACACAUGUACUAAGUUUCCGGUUAGUACUAUUCUAGCAUGAAUAAUAAACAUUUAUCAUGAUAUAUGGAAAUAUAAAUAACAACUUUAUUAUUGCCUCUAGGGCAUAUUUCCUUCAAAAUUUAGAGAUGACAAACAAAGCUUAAGUAGCAUCUGUUCUACUUGAUUGUAGAAAUUUCUUUUACCUGUAGAAUAACUCGGUUGUUAUUUCUUUAAACAUGAAGUGUGAUAUUAACUUAUCUCAAUCUAGGAACACAAAGCAAAUAUUACAUGUGCUUCUAUGGACUCCAAGCAGAUGAGAAAUCAUUUUGUCUAGAAGUUCCUUAGAAGGAUAUAAUAGUUUUGACCUAAACAAAUUUACUAUUGUACUCGUGUCUUACAAAGUUAAAGCUGAAAAUCAACAUAACCAUUGGACCCUUUGAAAGACAAGUGUAGGAAAUAAAUAGUAGGAUAUAAAUUUGAGCAGAAUGUUUGAUCAAAUACUGAACAAAUAACCCAGCAAACUACUAAAACUCGUCUAUUCUACCUUAUAUGAACUGUCACGAUGAUAAAGCUAUGAUUUUUUUUGGCAAAUAAGUAUCCUAGAACUAAUACAAGUUCAAACAAAUCAGCCACAGAUCCCCGAGCCCAUCCAACCAGAUAGCUGAAACUGAAAGAAGCAUUAGCUCGAUUAGAGCACCUACAGCGGAACUUGACAAAUUUGACCCCUGAAACGCCCGCGGACACGCGUGUUAGUAGACAUAAACCAAUCUUUAAGCAGAGCACGUCCGGCAGUCGGAUGCUCCCCAAAGUGUUGGUCCAGUCGCCGGCAAGGUAGAGUAGGGCAUGGGAUACAAGGCGGCUCACGGGACUCGAGGCGCCACCGUCCCCCAUUCCCAACUCUUCUCAGUCGGAACCCGGACAGUGCCGGUGGACGUCAGAUCGAUGAUGGAUCCUUCCUGGGACGAGCCAGCAACAUCCACCACCACGUGGUUGUGCAGCCCGAACUAGUGCACAAUAUGGGGAGCCGGAAAAUACGACUCCGCCUCCGCAACGCCCACCACCGCGAGGGCUGUCGCUGCCUCCCGCACCCGCUGCAUUGCAUGGCAGGAGCGCCGAACUAUGUUUUGCAUCGGGCGACGCCCAUGGUGCGUCCAUGGCCUCAGUGCGCCAAUGGAGGGGCUGCGCGUCCGCCACCCAUUCAAACGCCAGAUGGACCGCACCACCUUUGUGUUGGAAAUAUGCCCUAGAGGAAAUAAUAAAAGGAUUAUUAUUGUAUUUCCUUGUUCAUGAUAAUUAUCUUUAUUCAUGCUAUAAUUGUAUUAUCCAGAAAUCGUAAUAGACGUGUGAAUACAUAGACCAUAAUAUGUCCCUAGUGAGCCUCUAGUUGACUAGCUCGUUGAUCAACAGAUAGUCAUGGUUUCCUGACUAUGGACAUUAGAUGUCGUUGAUAAUGGGAUCACAUCAUUAAGAUAAUGAUGUGAUGGACAAGACCCAAUCCUAAGCAUAGCACAAGAUCGUGUAGUUCGUUUGCUAGAGCUUUUCCAAUGUCAAGUAUCUUCUCCUUAGACCAUGAGAUCGUGUAACUCCCGGAUACCGUAGGAGUCCUUUGGGUGUACCAAACGUCACAACGUAACUGGGUGACUAUAAAGGUGCACUACAGGUAUCUCCGAAAGUGUUUGUUGGGUUGACACCGAUCGAGACUGGGAUUUGUCACUCCGUAUGACGGAGAGGUAUCGCUGGGCCCACUCGGUAGUGCAUCAUCAUAAUGAGCUCAAAGUGACCAAGUGUCUGGUCACGGGAUCAUGCAUUACGGUACGAGUAAAGUGAAUUGCCGGUAACGAGAUUGAACGAGGUAUUGGGAUACCGACGAUCGAAUCUCGGGCAAUUAAAAUACCGAUUGACAAAGGGAAUUGAAUACGUGGUUGCUUGAAUCCUCGACAUCGUGGUUCAUCCGAUGAGAUCAUCGAGGAGCAUGUGGGAGCCAACAUGGGUAUCCAGAUCCCGCCGUUGGUUAUUGACUGGAGAGCCGUCUCAGUCAUGUCUACGUGUCUCCCGAAUCCGUAGGGUCUACACACUUAAGGUUCGGUGACGCUAGGGUUGUAGAGAUAUGAGUAUGCAGCAAACCGAAAGUUGUUCGGAGUCCCGGAUGAGAUCCCGGACAUCACGAGGAGUUCCGAAUGGUCCGGAGAUAAAGAAUUAUAUAUAGGAAGUGCAUUUUCAGCGAUCGGGAGAGUUUCGGGGGUCACCGGUAUUGUACCGGGACCACCGGAAGGGUCCCGGGGGUCCACUGGGUGGGGCCACCUAUCCCGGAGGGCCCCGUGGGCUGAAGUGGGGAGGGGACCAGCCCAUAGUGGGCUGGUGCGACCCCCUUGCCCCACCUACGCCUAGGGUUGGAAACCCUAGGGUGGGGGGCGCCUCCACUUGCCUUGGGGGGCACUCCACCCCCCUGGCCGCCGCCCCCUUGGGAGAUCCCAUCUCCAGGGCCGGCGCCCCCCCAGGGGGCCUAUAUAAAGGAGGGGGAGGGGAGGGCAGCCGCACCCUGAAGUCUUGGCGCCUCCCUCCCCCCUUGCUACACCUCCUCCUCCCGUAGUCGCUUGGCGAAGCCCUGCCGGAACUCUGCUGUAUCCACCACCACGCCGUCGUGCUGCUGGAUCUUCAUCAACCUCUCCUUCCCCCUUGCUGGAUCAAGAAGGAGGAGACGUCACGCUGACCGUACGUGCGUUGAACGCGGAGGUGCCGUCCGUUCGACGCUAGGAUCUCUGGUGAUUUGGAUCACGACGAGUACGACUCCCUCAACCCCGUUCUCUUGAACGCUUCCGCUCGCGAUCUACAAGGGUAUGUAGAUGCACUCCCCUCUCUCGUUGCUAGAUGAACUCAUAGAUUGAUCUUGGUGAACGUAGGAAAUUUUUUAUUUUAUGCAACGUUCCCCAACAGUGGCAUCAUGAGCUAGGUCUAUGCGUAGUUCUCUAUUGCACGAGUAGAACACAAAUCUGUUGUGGGCGUAGAUGUUGUCAACUUUCUUGCCACUACUAGUCUUAUUUUGCUUCAGCGGUAUUGUGGGAUGAAGUGGCCCGGACCGACCUUACACGUACGCUUACGUGACACAGGUUCCACCGACUGACAUGCACUAGUUGCAUAAGGUGGCUAGCGGGUGUCUGUCUCUCCCACUUUAGUUGGAGCGGAUUCGAUGAAAAGGGUCCUUAUGAAGGGUAAAUAGAAGUUGACAACUCACGUUGUGGCUUUUUUGUUGGUAAGAAAACAUUCUUGCUAGAACCCUAUUGCAGCCACGUAAAAGAUGCAACAACAAUUAGAGGACGUCUAACUUGUUUUUGAAGCAAUUGCCUUGUGAUGUGAUAUGGCCAAAAGUUGUGAUGAAUGAUGAAUGAUAUAUUGUGAUGUAUGAGAUCAUGUUCUUGUAAUAGGAAUCACGACUUGCAUGUCGAUGAGUAUGAAAACCGGCAGGAGCCAUAGGAGUGGUCUUAAUUAUUGUAUGACCUGCGUGUCAAUGAUUUAACGCCAUGUAAUUACUUUACUUUAUUGCUAAACCGUUAGCCAUAGUAGUAGAAGUAAUAGUUGGCGAGCAACUUCAUGGAGGCACGAUGAUGGAGAUCAUGAUGAUGGAGAUCAUGGUGUCAUGCCGGUGACAAAGAUGAUCAUGGAGCCCCGAAGAUGGAGAUCAAAGGAGCUAUAUGAUAUUGGCCAUAUCAUGUCACUACUAUAUAAUUGCAUGUGAUGUUUAUUAUGUUUAUGCAUCUUCUUUACUUAGAACGACUGUAGUAAAUAAGAUGAUCCCUUAUAAUAAUUUCAAGAAAGUGUUCUCCCUAACUGUGCGUCGUUGCUAAAGUUCGUCGUUUCGAAGCACCACGUGAUGAUCGGGUGUGAUAGAUUCCUACGUUCACAUACAACGGGUGUAAGACAGUUUUACACAUGCAAAACACUUAGGUUAAACUUGACGAGCCUAGCAUGUAUAUACAUGGCCUCAGAACACAGAGACCGAAAGGUCGAACAUGAGUCAUAUGGAAGAUACGAUCAACAUGGAGAUGUUCACCAAUGAUGACUAGUCCGUCUCACGUGAUGAUCGGACACGUCCUAGUCGACUCGGAUCGUGUAACACUUAGAUGACUAGAGGGAUGUCAAAUCUGAGUGGGAGUUCACUAAAUUAGAUGAACUUAAUUAUCAUGAACUUAGUCUAAAAUCUUUGCAAAAAUGUCUUGUAGAUCAAAUGGCCAACGCUCAUGUCAACAUGAACUUCAACGAGUUCCUAGAGAAAACCAAGCUGAAAGAUGAUGGCAGCAACUAUAUGGACUGGGUCCAGAACCUGAGGAUCAUCCUCAUAGCUUCCAAGAAAGCAUAUGUCCUAGAAGGACCACUAGGUGAUGCACCCAUCCCAGAGAACCAAGAUGUUAUGAACGCUUGGCAGUCACGUGCUGAUGAUUACUCCCUCGUUCAGUGCGGCAUGCUUUACAGCUUAGAACCGGGUCUCCAAAAGCGUUUUGAGAAACACGGAGCAUAUGAAAUGUUCGAGGAGCUGAAAAUGGUUUUCCAAGCUCAUGCCCGGGUCGAGAGAUAUGAAGUCUCCGACAUGUUCUAUAGUUGUAAGAUGGAGGAAAAUAGUUCUGUCAGUGAGCACAUACUCAAAAUGUCUGGGUUGCACAACUGCCUAACCCAGCUGGACAUCAACCUCCCGGACGAGGCGGUCAUUGACAGAAUCCUUCAGUCGCUCCCACCAAGCUACAAGAGAUUUGUGAUGAACUACAAUAUGCAGGGGAUGGUGAAAACUAUUCCUGAAGUAUUUUCAAUACUGAAGUCUGCAGAGGUAGAAAUCAAGAAAGAACAUCAAGUGUUGAUGGUCAAUAAAACCACCAAGUUCAAGAAGGGCAAGGGUAAGAAAAACUUCAAGACGGACGGCAAGGAUGUUGCCGCACCCGGUAGGCCAGUUGCCGGGAAGAAGUCAAAGAAUGGACCCAAGCCUGAGACUGAGUGCUUUUAUUGCAAAAGGAAGGGUCACUGGAAGCGGAACUGCCCCAAAUAGUUAGCGGACAAGAAGGCCGGCAACACUAAAGGUAUAUGUGAUAUACAUGUAAUUGAUGUGUACCUUACCAGUACUCGUAGUAACUCCUGGGUAUUUGAUACCGGUGCCGUUGCUCAUAUUUGUAACUCACAGUAGGAGCUGCGGAAUAAGCGGAGACUGGCGAAGGACGAGGUGACGAUGCGCGUCGGGAAUGGUUCCAAGGUCGAUGUGAUUGCCGUCGGCACGCUGCCUCUACAUUUACCCACGGGAUUAGUUUUAAACCUCAAUAAUUGUUAUUUAGUGCCAAGUUUGAGCAUGAACAUUGUAUCUGGAUCUCGUUUAAUACGAGAUGGCUACUCAUUUAAAUCCGAGAAUAAUGGUUGUUCUAUUUAUAUGAGAGAUAUGUUUUAUGGUCAUGCCCCGAUGGUCAAUGGUUUAUUCUUAAUGAAUCUCGAACGUAAUGUUACACAUAUUCAUAGUGUGAAUACCAAAAGAUGUAAAGUUGAUAACGAUAGUCCCACAUACUUGUGGCACUGCCGCCUUGGUCAUAUUGGUGUCAAGCGCAUGAAGAAGCUCCAUGAUGAUGGACUUUUAGAGUCUGUCGAUUAUGAAUCAUUUGACACAUGCGAACCAUGCCUCAUGGGCAAAAUGACCAAGACUCCGUUCUCCGGAACAAUGGAGCGAGCAACCAACUUAUUGGAAAUCAUACAUACUGAUGUGUGUGGUCCAAUGAGCGUUGAGGCUCGCGGAGGAUAUCAUUAUGUUCUCACUCUCACUGAUGACUUGAGUAGAUAUGGGUAUGUCUACUUGAUGAAACACAAGUCUGAGACCUUUGAAAAGUUCAAGGAAUUUCAGAAUGAGGUAGAGAAUCAACAUGACCGAAAGAUAAAGUUCCUACGAUCAGAUCGUGGAGGAGAAUAUUUAAGUCACGAAUUUGGUACGCACUUAAGGAAAUGUGGAAUCAUUCCACAACUCACGCCGCCUGGAACACCUCAGCGUAACGGUGUGUCCGAAUGUCGUAAUCGCACUCUAUUGGAUAUGGUGCGAUCUAUGAUGUCUCCUACCGAUUUACUGCUAUCAUUUUGGGGAUACGCUCUAGAGACAGCUACAUUCACUUUAAACAGGGCUCCGUCUAAAUCCGUUGAGACGACACCGUAUGAAUUAUGGUUUGGGAAGAAACCUAAGCUAUCGUCUCUAAAAGUUUGGGGAUGCGAUGCUUAUGUCAAGAAACUUCAACCUGAAAAGCUCGAACCCAAGUCGGAAAAAUGCGUCUUCAUAGGAUACCCUAAGGAAACCAUUGGGUAUACCUUCUACUUAAGAUCCGAGGGCAAGAUCUUUGUAGCCAAGAACGGAUCCUUUCUGGAAAAAGAGUUUCUCUCGAAAGGAGUAAGUGGGAGGAAAGUAGAACUCGAUGAAGUAGUACCUCUUGAACCGGAAAGUAGUGGAGCUCAGGAAAAUGUUCCUGUGGUGCCUACACCGACUAGAGAGGAAAUUAAUGAUGAUGAUCACAGUACUUUGGAUCAAGUUGCUACUGAACUUCGUAGGUCCACAGGGACACAUUCCAAACCAGAGUGGUAUGGCAACCCUGUCCUGGAAAUCAUGUUUUUAGACAACGGUGAACCUUCGAACUAUGAAGAAGCGAUGGCGGGCCCAGAUUCCAACAAAUGGCUUGAAGGCAUGCAAUCCGAGAUAGAAUCCAUGUAUGAAAACAAAGUAUGGACUUUGACAGACUUGCCCGAUGAUCAGCGAGCGAUAGGAAACAAAUGGAUCUUUAAGAAGAAGACAGACGCGGAUGGUAAUGUUACCAUCUAUAAAGCUCGACUUGUCGCUAAGGGUUAUCGGCAAGUUCAAGGGGUUGACUACGAUGAAACUUUCUCUCCCGUAGCAAAGCUGAAGUCCGUCUGAAUCAUGUUAGCAAUUGUCGCAUACUAUGAUUAUGAGUUAUGGAAGAUGGACGACAAAACGGCAUUCCUUAACGGGCAUCUUAAGGAAGAACUGUAUAUGAUGCAGCCGGAGGGUUUUGUCGAUCCUAAGAAUGAUAAUAAGGUAUGCAAGCUCCAGCAAUCCAUUUAUGGGCUGGUGCAAGCAUCUCGGAGUUGGAACAUUCGCUUUGAUGAGAUUUUCAAAGCGUUUGGGUUUAUGAAGACUUAUGGAGAAGCCUGCGUUUACAAGAAAGUGAGUGGGAGCUCUGUAGCAUUUCUCAUAUUAUAUGUAGAUGACAUACUUUUGAUGGGAAAUGAUAUAAAACUUUUGGACAGCAUUAAGGCCUACUUGAAUAAGUGUUUUUCAAUGAAGGACCUUGGAGAAGCUGCUUACAUAUUAGGCAUCAAGAUCUAUAGGGAUAGAUCGAGACGCCUCAUAGGUCUUUCACAAAGCACAUACCUUAAUAAAAUAUUGAAGAAGUUUAAAAUGGAUCAGUCCAAGAAAGGGUUCUUGCCUGUAUUGCAAGGUGUGAAGUUGAGCUUGGCUCAAUGCCCGACCACGGCAGAAGAUAAAGAAGAGAUGAGUGUCAUCCCCUAUGCCUCAACCAUAGGAUCUAUUAUGUAUGCCAUGUUGUGCACCAGACCUGAUGUAAACCUUGCCGUAAGUUUGGUAGGAAGGUACCAAAGUAAUCCCGGCAAGGAACACUGGACAGCGGUCAAGAAUAUCCCGAAGUACCACAAAAGGACAAAGGACAUGUUUCUCGUUUAUGGAGGUGACAAAGAGCUCGUCGUAAAGGGUUACGUCGAUGCUAGCUUCGACACAGAUCUGGAUGACUCUAAGUCACAAACCGGAUACGUGUAUAUGUUGAAUCGUGGAGCAGUAAGCUGGUGCAGUUGCAAGCAGAGCGUCGUGGCGGGAUCUACAUGUGAAGCGGAGUACAUGGCAGCCUCGGAGGUAGCGCAUGAAGCAAUAUGGAUGAAGGAGUUCAUCACCGACCUAGGAGUCAUACCCAAUGCGUCGGGGCCAAUCACUCUCUUCUGUGACAACACUGGAGCUAUUGCCCUUGCCAAGGAGCCCAGGUUUCACAAGAAGACCAGGCACAUCAAGCGUCGUUUCAACUCCAUUCGUGAAAAUGUUCAAGAUGGAUACAUAGAUAUUUGCAAAGUACAUACGGAUCUGAAUAUCGCAGAUCCGUUGACUAAACCUCUUCUGCGAGCAAAACAUGAUCAACACCAGAACUCUAUGGGUGUUCGAUUCAUCACAAUGUAACUAGAUUAUUGACUAUAGUGCAAGUGGGAGACUGUUGGAAAUAUGCCCUAGAGGCAAUAAUAAAAGGAUUAUUAUUAUAUUUCCUUGUUCAUGAUAAUUGUCUUUAUUCAUGCUAUAAUUGUAUUAUCCGGAAAUCGUAAUACACGUGUGAAUACAUAGACCAUAAUAUGUCCCUAGUGAGCCUCUACUUGACUAGCUCGUUGAUCAACAUAUAGUCAUGGUUUCCUGACUAUGGACAUUAGAUGUCGUUGAUAAUGGGAUCACAUCAUUAGGAGAAUGAUGUGAUGGACAAGACCCAAUCCUAAGCAUAGCACAAGAUCGUGUAGUUCGUUUGCUAGAGCUUUUCCAAUGUCAAGUAUCUUCUCCUUAGACCAUGAGAUCGUGUAACUCCCGGAUACCGUAGGAGUGCUUUGGGUGUACCAAACGUCACAACGUAACUGGGUGACUAUAAAGGUGCACUACAGGUAUCUCCGAAAGUGUAUGUUGGGUUGACACGGAUCGAGACUGGGAUUUGUCACUCCGUAUGACGUAGAGGUAUCUCUGGGUCCACUCGGUAGUGCAUCAUCAUAAUGAGCUCAAAGUGACCAAGUGUCUGGUCACGGGAUCAUGCAUUACGGUACGAGUAAAGCGACUUGCCGGUAAAGAGAUUGAACAAGGAAUUGGGAUACCGAUGAUCGAAUCUCGGGCAAGUAAAAUACCGAUUGACAAAGGGAAUUGAAUACGGGGUUGCCUGAAUCCUCGACAUCGUGGUUCAUCCGAUGAGAUCAUCGAGGAGCAUGUGGGAGCCAACAUGGGUAUCUAGAUCCCGCUGUUGGUUAUUGACCGGAGAGCCAUCUCGGUCAUGUCUACGUGUCUCCCGAACCCGUAGGGUCUACACACUUAAGGUUCGGUGACGCUAGGGUUGUAUAGAUAUGAGUAUGCAGCAAACUGAAAGUUGUUCGGAGUCCCGGAUGAGAUCCCGGACGUCACGAGGGGUUCCGGAAUGGUCCGGAGAUAAAGAAUUAUAUAUAGGAAGUGCAGUUUCGGCCAUCGGGAGAGUUUCGGGGGUCACCGGUAUUGUACCGGGACCACCGGAAGGGUCCCUGGGGUCCACCGGGUGGGGCCACCAAUCCCGGAGGGCCCCGUGGGCUGAAGUGGGGAGGGGACCAGCCCCUGGUGGGCUGGUGCGCCCCCCUUGGGCCCCCCCUCCCGCGCCUAGGGUUGGAAACCCUAGGGUGGGGGGGGCGCCUCCACUUGCCUUGGAGGGCACUCCACCCCCUGGCCGCCGUCCCCUUGGGAGAUCCCAUCUCUAGGGCCGGCUCCCCCCCAGGGGUCCUAUAUAAAGGAGGGGGAGGGGAGGGCAGCCGCACCCUGAAGUCUUGGCGCCUCCCUCCCCCCUUGCUACACCUCCUCCUCCCGUAGUCGCUUGGCGAAGCCCUGCCGGAACUCUGCUGCAUCCACCACCACGUCGUCGUGCUGCUGGAUCUUCAUCAACCUCUCCUCCCCCCUUGCUGGAUCAAGAAGGAGGAGACGUCACACUGACCGUACGUGUGUUGAACGCGGAGGUGCCGUCCGUUCGGCGCUAGGAUCUCCGGUGAUUUGGAUCAUGACGAGUACGACUCCCUCAACCCCAUUCUCUUAAACGCUUCCGCUCGCGAUCUACAAGGGUAUGUAGAUGCACUCCCCUCUCUUGUUGCUAGAUGAACUCAUAGAUUGAUCUUGGUGAACGUAGGAAAUUUUUAUUUUAUGCAACGUUCCCCAACACUUUGGUGAGGCGGUGAUGGUACACCUAGCGCCGGAUCCAUGCAUCAUUUGGGCGGACGCAUUGGAUUCCCCGCGGAAGGAGUUCGAGUGUUGCCGUUGCCAUCGGGCAGCCUCCUCCCGGGAGCGGUGGAGCGCAAGCUGGAUGGCCAGCUCCUCCUAGGAGCCGCGUGGGAUGAGUUCGGGGUUGACGGAUCUGGAGGUGUAACACUGGGAUCCGCCUCCUGCCAUGCCGAAGAAGGCCAUAAGAUCGUCGAACGGGAGCUUGGGUGGCGGCAUAGAGUGGAGUAAAGUGGCUAGGGUUUGGUCCGGCAAGCGGAUGGGGAGGAAUAUAUGUGGGGUCGGGUGGGCCAGCGUGGACCGGGACCGACAUGGCGGACGCGCCUGGGCGCCGCAUAUUCUUCCUAGAUUUGGGCUGGAUAUCAGGGGUGCUGGUUAGCUUGGGCGUUUGAGGCCCAUCUGGAUAGUUUUUCUGUGACCUGACCGUUCGUCCGGGCGUUUGAGGUGGGUUUGGGACGCCCAGGUGUAAAUGCUCUUAGACCAUGUAGUACCUUGAGGAGGAUGGUGGGUCCAUGGAACAACUACAGCCUCUCCAUUUUGUUUGGGCGCAGGGCGAUAACGGAGUUAUCUCUACUCCUAAAGAGGGAGUCGUUAGUCUCCCUUCCACGGUUUUUUUGUCUUACCUCCCAUCUUUGUUUCAUUUUUUCCGUCUCUUUUUCCACCACCGUCUGUUUUUUCUCAUCUCCACCUGGCAUGUAACGAAAAAAAAUCUGUUUCAUAGGUCGAUUGUCAAGGUCCGAGAGCCGCCGCCACCUUCAUUGCGGACCUCUAGGUCGCCGUCCGGACACACCGCCGAGGUCCGCAAUCACCGACGUUGAGGUCCGAGAGGAGCUGCCGCCCCCUUCAUUCUGGGCCUGGACGCUUCAUGGUCCUCCUACCUCUCCCUUUCCUCUCCCCUUCUCUCCCGCUUCCAUCCUCACUCGCCGCCCCUGCCUCUCNNNNNNNNNNNNNNNNNNNNNNNNNNNNNNNNNNNNNNNNNNNNNNNNNNNNNNNNNNNNNNNNNNNNNNNNNNNNNNNNNNNNNNNNNNNNNNNNNNNNNNNNNNNNNNNNNNNNNNNNNNNNNNNNNNNNNNNNNNNNNNNNNNNNNNNNNNNNNNNNNNNNNNNNNNNNNNNNNNNNNNNNNNNNNNNNNNNNNNNNNNNNNNNNNNNNNNNNNNNNNNNNNNNNNNNNNNNNNNNNNNNNNNNNNNNNNNNNNNNNNNNNNNNNNNNNNNNNNNNNNNNNNNNNNNNNNNNNNNNNNNNNNNNNNNNNNNNNNNNNNNNNNNNNUCUCUCUCUCUCUCUCUCUCUCUCUUGUUUCCUACCCCACUGGUUCUACAAUGCUGGUCGUCGCCUUGGGUUGGCGAACCUAGCUACUGUGGGUUGGGAUUCAAAUGCCACAUCAUCUUUGGGACGCGGCCGUGACGGCUUGGCCUGAUGCCUGCGAAGUAGGGCGAGCAGAGACAACAUGAGACUGCGCCGCUGUGCUGUUCGCCGUGACGCGCUGUCACGCUGUGUAGAUGGAGGAUGCGUGCCCAAGCCUUGUUGUGCCUGUCUUCCCGUGCGGUAGUCGGGAUCUGGACUGGAUCGGGGUUGAGUUCGACACCACCGAACCCCGGCUUCCAGGAGACCAGGCGCCUCCUCUCCUCAUCACCCGUCUCACCAGAGGCAUGUGCAGAAUUCCGUACACCAUCUGCGCAAACAUGGUGGUCGACGACGCUCUGGAUGUGGUCUACGUGAGGACUAGGUUCCAUCAUUAACAUGUACCCUGGCAAGGUAUGUGCUAUGGGAUGUAAACUCUCGAUUUUAUCUUCAUUUUAGUUGCCUUCAUCUCAUGCUUUGUUCGUUCCAUAGGCAUUUGUCAUGAAUCUAUUUUCAGGAGGGUGAUGUUAACGAUUUCAAAAACUUGAUAGCAGGGUAUGGCUAUAGUUAUUGGUCAUGCAUUAUCGCGAGGCUUGACAAGCAUACCAUAAAAUGGUUUUUAUUUAUGCUCUCGUAGGUUAAACCAAUCUCUGUCAUUAUGAAAUUGGCAUAGCUGAACAUGAUCAGGACUUCAGCAGGGCAGGGUCAUUACUUUGGAGUUUCAGCACUCAUAGUUGGUGAGUGCUUAUGUCCUAAAAUUUUGGAUGUGACUAAACAUAGGCUGGUAUGGCUAAUCUUUUUUGCUUUUCUGUCCUUGCUCUUCACGGAAUCUUCAGGUUUACGGAUUGAUAAUUGUGAUCUAUGUUUCAACCACUUCCCAAUGUUUUACUUGAUGAGAAGGUUCUAAUUUUAUUUUAUUUUAUUUCACUUGAUGAGAAGGGUCCAUGUUUCACCGACUUUGUACAAGUGUGUUUGCUUAGCUAGAUUUCUGCCCUUAUUUUCUAUUUGACAUCCCUCAAUCAUUUUCUGCAGAUUCACUUCGUUCGUAUUCUAUAUUGUUGUAAGUGCACCUAGGGAUAUUAUAGUAGUUCUUAUCUGCAGUUUACUACAACUGGUGACCACAUCUCCAUAUUAUUAUCUUUAAAAUGUACUUUCAAAAAGUAAACUAAUUAACGUUAACCUUCCGCUCUGUAGAAACCACAUAAUUUCAACUCAUUAAUCAUUUUUUAGCGGAAAGGCAGUAAUCAAUGAUGGCGAUUUAAACUGUACUCCUUAUAGUAUUGAUAUUCCCCAUGCACCGGUAUGUUCUCGUACAUCCGUGAAACUUCUGAGUCAAAAUGUUAUAUCCUUAUGUAUACAGUUCAUCAUUGGUUGUUACAGAAUUUCCCAGUGGGCACAACCUCAACCCACACCUCCCACCAGGAUCUUCUCUCUGCCGGAGCCAUCCUACCUGCAGCCAGCUCCCCCUCGUACGCCCUGAUCUCCACCUUGUGUGCUGGUCCAUUCAUCAUAGCUAGAAGGUAAUGACUAAUGAGCAUGUCAUCUCUGCCCCUCUCAAUUUCAUCCUUGUGUUGUUUAUUUUUCAGAGAAUGUGGUAUUAUGUAGCCCCUCUCUGUUGAUGAAUUGAAUGUAUAGAUUAUAUACUAGCAAAAGAGCCCGUGCGUUGCAACGGGAUAAUAAAACCGACGAAUUGUACUCGUGUGACUUGAGCUUUGGUUGGUUUCACACGCUUAUACUUCUUAGUUUUCUUGUAAAAUAAUAUGGCGGUAUUUAUACUAUUCAGGGUUGGUUAUCCAUCCGUCAGGUUAUUCAGGGCGUAAAUUUACGGAAAGAAGCAUAUUGUGACGGUGAAUGCGACGGAGUCAAUCCGUGCUUUAUUAUUUGGAAAAGAGAAAUAUGCCUAUGCAUUGCUACGGCUCUAGAAUAAACCUAUACAUGGUCAAAAUACAGGACAGCAACAUGUCUUCUUUUAGUUUUUUUCAAACCAUUAGAAAUAUGUUAGAUUUUACUUAAGUUUAGUUCCCUUAUUCCACCAUAAAGCAUUCCGGUUGAAAAGGAGAUGGCGUCUGUCAUUUACUUUCUAGAAAAACAUAGAGUCGAUAAACUUUCCUGUAUCUUCAGCCAUAGGUCCUUUACUCAUAUUUAAAAAAUUGUAAUAUUUAAUCCAAGCAAAAUUAUAUGAAUUACAGGAAAAAUUGUACUCAUGUGACUUGAGCUUUGGUUGGUUUCACACGCUCAUACUUCUUAGUUUUUUUGUAAAAUAAUACGGCGGUAUUUAUACUAUUCAGGGUUGGUUAUCCAUCCGUCAGGUUAUUCUUGAAGCUAGCUAGUAAUCACCAUGAGUUCAGUUGGCGUUCCAAGUAAUCACCAAGCCAAUCGACCGUGAGCAUCCGGACGUUAGCUGCGAAUGACAGACGGCUGGAUGGGCUAAUGAAGAUUAAACCUCAAUUUUGUACGCGGUAGUGCUGCAGACCUUCUGCAGUGAGACUUCGAUCAGAAGGACUUACCAGACAGGGGCACGGAGGAUUUAGAUAUCCUACUGCAGCUGCCGCUGCUCACCAAGGAGUUGCUCCCGUGCCGCUCGAAGGUCGCCAGCUCGGGGCAGAGCAGGAGCUUAAAGGCCAUGGACACGCCAGACCUGAAGGACGGCAGUGGCAAGGGUGGCGCAGGUGGGCGACGUUGCUCGCGCUCGGGGCGGACGCCGGCGGCGCUCGAUCUUGCCUAGAGCACGGAGGGGACAGGGGAGCAGGGGAAGAGGUAGGCAGUAAACCAGAUAGGAAUGGCACAUGUAUCGCAUCUGCCCUCGGCGGAGCUCCGCUCUGUCGUCAACAUCCGCGACGGACCCCACGAAGCCCAUCAUGUCGGCGUCCUUGAGGAACCGCCCCUGCUUGCCGCGGCCGACCGCAAUUUCGGAGAAAUUGGAGAUGGGGGAUCGUCCGCGGUUCGGCAACGGGUACGGGGAGGAGUCCGGGGCAAAGACUGUUCCGCUCGACCGGCCGGAGGAGCGCAGCCGCUCCGGUGGCCAGAGAUCGAGGGGGUGGCGGCGGUGUCCAACCCCCAACAGGCUGUGUUCUUUUUCUGACGGGACGAAAAAGGGGAAUCCCUUCUCUGGAACCGCUGUCGUUGCUCGACUGUGCUCCAAGCCGCCGCCGCCACCGCCGUCGCCUGAUUGCUCUCUCCCCGUCAACCCCCCCUCUCUCUCGAUCCAGCGACGCGUGUUUAGAUCGAAGCCCCCUGAAUUCCACGACCGAUCUGAUUCUAUCGAUCGAGGCAGCUCUGUUUCGAUUUGUAUAUGUACUUUUUAGGAGGAGUGUCCCGUGUUUGUUUCUGAUAGCCAUCUAUUUGUUUUAUGCUCAACAGGCCCAUUAGCCCUUGAUCUGGCCCAGGGAGUCUAGCGACCCAGGGAGUCUAGCGGGGAAGAGAGCGGGUGCGACCGAUUGGAUGCACACGACGUGGUUGGCCAUCUGAAUUAGUACCACCUUGAAUAUAUUUUAAAAUUAAAAUUGAAAACGUAAAAUCACGGAAAGAAGCGCAUUGUGACGGUGAAUCCGGAGACCCAAUCCAUGCUUUAUUAUUAGGGAGAGAUUACUAAAGAAAUCCGCCUUAAAAGGCGUUCCACUAAAAACGCAGUAGGAUCCUAUUUCAAGUUCCUUGCACUUAAACCGCAAAAGGGAAAGGCAAUUUUCCUAACUUUUCCCGUUAACGCAGAGCAGUCAGAUGAAUAACAGUAGGAUUGUUCAGUUUGUAUGCUCGUCCACUACUUCGGUUUAUUCAGGUUGCAUGAUACAGUAAUUUUGCAAAUGUGUCAGACUAUCUAUUUAGAUUAGCUAAUAGAAUUUAUUUCCACUAUGUGUUGUGCGGAGGAUAGAUCAGCAGGACUAAACAAUAUGUGUCUAACACCAUUUGCACAAUUCCCUUAAACUGCCCGCAGUAGCUGACCAAGUACCACCAAUGUUGUCAUCAGUCUUGAAGGGGAUUCAAAACCCGGUAGGAUCGCACACCGUAUGGCUUGGACAUCGGAAGAAGAUGCAAGAUUGGUAAUGAGAUUACUUGCCUCAGUGCUCAAUUUAUGAUCCUAUUCAUUUGAACUGAUUUACUUGUUUGUCUCAGCUAAUCUAUCCUCAAACGCAGACAACCAUUUGGUCGAAAACCUCAAAUGUUUCCAUCGAGAUAAUAACAAGAAGAACAUCAAGUACUGGGAUGACAUUGUUGUUACAACAAUAGUAAUAGGCCAAGUCACCGGAAGGGAGAUGCUCGUCGUGUAUGAUGGACAUGGUGGCUCGGAGGUGAGGUUAUCUUCUCUUGAAAAUCUUGACCUAGACAAAAGAAAUUAACCUUGAGGCCAUGGGAAGCAGGAAAGCGAAGGUCACGAAUGGCCGCACAAUUUGGUGGUGUUUGUGUGUUGUGCGGUCAAGCCUUUCUACGGGCUCCAUGGUGAUGCAGCAGCAUCACCUUCUUACGGAGAUGAGAUGAUGGGAUGAGGCCGCAUGGUGUUACCUAUUGUUGUUGUGUUAGCUUUGCUGUGUAUGUGUGCGUGUGAGAGAGAUCAGCGGCUGAUUGGGGAUGGUUAUGUUGUUGCUAGAUUAUAAAACAUGUCGUUUAAGUGAAUAUCAACUGUCGGAAAGAAAGCAAUGGUACUGUGAUUCUACUGUUUUAUGCUAGACGUUAAAGAAUACUACUUGCAAGCAGUUAGCGACGAACUGAGGGUUUGCAAGUAGUACUUUUUCCCAGUUGUGCUUCUACUUGCCUGAAUUUAAGUAGGAGAAAUUACCAGUUGUGUUUUUUUGAAAUAAUCUUGAUUUAACUAUGAUUUUCAGAAACUGGUACAGCUUUAACACGGUUCCUUGCUCACUGUGGUACAUUAAAACAAUAAAUUGAGGAGUUUAGAGCCUGCCUAGAGACCUCACAUAGCACCGCCUCAUUUGGCAGCGACAUCAUGAUGAUCUUGUCUGGUCUACUCCAAGUCUCCGCUUGUGGUUUGUGUUGGAAAUAUGAGCAAUUUACCGAAUGAUUUUAUUAACAAAAAUACUAGAUAAAGCAUGACUAAAAUAGGAAAUAUAAAGAAAGUCAUGCAGUCUGACAGAGAGAAGGUAAACAUCGUCUGCAUAAAUGAACUUGAGCUAAACACAUCUAGAACAGACAAUAGAUGAAGUUGCUCAUACGAAACAGAACCUAACAUACGUAGGGCAGAAACUAGAGCCAAGAACUGUAGCAGGACUUCUAACAGAAAGGAGAAGAACACGUACGGCAUAGCAGCAGCAGAAGAGCUGGACUUGGGGUCAGUGUCCUCGCCUGCCAUGUCGUCGAGGAGGUCGUGGACGUCGGGGAAGAAGUCGUCGUCGGGGAAGUAGUCGUCGGCGACCGGAUCGUCUGUGAUGAAGCAGCCAGUAGUCGCGCUGAGCGCUUCCCAAAAACCUUAUCACCCUUCUCCCGUACAUGACUCAAAAGGUGCGGUCUCUGAGGCCUACUGUCCCAACAUGCGGUGCACGCCGCAAGUCGGGAUGAGGAAGACAGCAGCAGCUCAGAGAUGGAACCGAUGGCGAGGGAAGGAGCAGUUCUGGUGCGUAUCUCUGAAAGGAGCGACCUCCCUUUUAUAGGCGCAAGAGAAGGAGGCGAGAGGCUGCGCCGGGAGCUGAAGGGAAUGUGGGAGACGAAACGAACAAGCAGCAGCUGAAGGGGCGCGCCGUUCGGAUUCAGUGUCCAGGCACAGAAAAAAACUGUUUCAGCUUCCGAGUGACCUUUCGUAUACACGUAGUGCGUGGCAAAACUUUAGACAUCGGCUCAUUCCCGCAACCCGCGGCGUGACGAGGCGGGCGGCGGAGGAGGAGCGCGCGUGGAUGUCCCUCUUGUUCUCAUGCUCAUACAAGUGGGGAAGGAGUCUCCCUUAUAAAGAGGUCCAACUCCCUCUAAACUAGCAAGGUGGGACUAAACUUUAGUUCCACCUCUUACCUUGCAUGAAUGGGCUGCGUGGGCCUCUAGGAUUUAUUAGGAAUUUCUGAAACUGCUAUUGGGCUAGGCCCAAAUAGACAAAAAUUCCAGCAGUUUGUGUUCUUUAGGUCUAUGGAAAACACCACGGUGCAUGCCAUUGUCCGUCAUUUCGGGAAAAAUGACCUAGAACAUGCAGAUAACUAAAUUUGGUGAAAGAACUGAAGAAAUCUACUACAUCACAAUAUGAAUUAAAAACAAACAAAAAAUUGGGCAGGACCUCUACAUAAAAAUGGACAGUUAUAGAAAUUUAGCGAAACGGAAAUAAAUCAACGGUUUGCCAAAAAUUUAACGCUUAUAGUAUGAAUCCCAAUAAGGAAAUGAAGACAUCUACUACAUCACAAUAUGAAUAAAACAUAAACAAAGAAAUUUGGCAUGACCUCUGCAUAAAAAUGGACAUAUUAAGUGAUUGAGAUCUGGCGAAACAGAAAUAAAUCAACGUAUCGCCAAAACUUUAGCACUUAUAGUAAGUAUACCUAUAAUGAAUUGAAGACAUCUACUACAACAUAUUAUUUAACUCAGUAUGAACAGAAAUAAUGUACGGAAUAAUACAAUAUAUAUGUGAGACUAUAUAAUUACCUCUAAUAUGAACAAAUUGGUAUUCCUUGUUCAUGGUUACGUAUGUGGCUGCUGCAACUAUAAUUGUUUUGAUGUGUGUGCCUUAAAAACUAUAGAACAAGAAACUACAACUAUAAAUGAACUCUAGUAUGAACAAAUCGAACUCAUUAACGAAUAUGAACACAUUAAUAGCAAUAACCCUAACCCUAGUCGAACGUACGUGUGCGUGUGCGUGGCGGCCGUGGCCGUGGGUGACAAGGAGGAAAGCCGGAGAGGGAGGCGCGGACGACAAUGUAUUACUGGAUGGAGCGGAGGGUGACGGGGCGGAUCGUCGGUGAGGGCGACGGGGCGGCGAAUCGAGGGCGAGGGAGACGCGCGGUGAACGGCUAGGGCGGCGACGAGUAAGCGGUGCUGAUGGCGGCAGCGGACAGGGACGACGACUUGGGUAGCAUGGAUGAGCCAACGGCGUCCGCGACGAGAUGGGGAAGAGUGGGAGUGAGAGAGUAAAUUGGGGUAGGAGGAGAGGGGGCACGUGCGUGUACGUAGGUCGAUUGAGUUUGUCGUAUGCGACCGGUGUGCCAAGCCUCCCAACACGGCUUCUUUGGGGUGGUGGGCGGAAAACCGAUUCGAUUUGGGGCAGAAUAGACAGCUAACUUAGUUGUGGCGGGUAGGGGCCCAUACCCGCCAGAGCUAAUAUCUGUAUAAAAUUUAUUUUUCUGGCGUGCAUUGCUGGCACUAAACUGUGGCCGGCCCAAUCGAGCGUCCGCCACUUUUGCAUUCAAGAACAAUGGCGGCCGAGGCUAACACCCGCCACUGAUCGCAUUCAUCAGGUGGCCAUACUCAGUGGUGCUUACUUGUGGCGGGUGGUGUUCUCCACCCGCCACUGCUACGCAUGUAACUCUGGAGGUCAUGUUGUGGCACCUGCCACUGGUACUUUUGCUAACUAGCAGUGGCAGGUGCUAUGUCCCGCCCGCCAAUCUUUCGAAUUCACCUAUAAGCCCUUUCCCAGUAGAGUAAUAAAGGACUUCUUGACAAGUCCGUGUAGAUUAAAGGUAUGUUAGUAGAUGGUGUAAUAAAUACAUGCUUUAGUGAUCUAAGGAUACAAAUAUGCCACUAUUUAUUUUGUAAAAGGUCGAAAUCAUUCUUAGAAAUCUUAGUAACAACAGUUCUCAUGAACAACUUUGACAAAAUGCAUCAAAUGUUACAAAUAAUACAUACAAACUUAGUUCAAUAAAUUAAUCAAUUGAAGUGAGAACAAACCUAAAUGUACUUAGAGUAAAUCAAUUAAUACGUGUAAAGCCAAUACUAAUCCAAUAUUUAUUAAUAAAUUUGCAUAGAAUUACAACCCUUUGACAUAGAAAGGGAAUAUGAUGAGUCAUGUAUAGAUAACUUGCACAACAUUCCUACCCUUGGCAUAAAAGGAGAAAUUGAUGAGUCAUGUAUUGAUAAUGUGCACAACAUCACUACCCUUGACAUAAAAGGAGAAUUUGAUGAGUCAUGUGUUGAUAACGUGUACAACAUUACUAUCAGUAUGUUCAACUUACCAUCAUAUUAUACAACACUACAAGUUAGUUUUAAAAAGAACAAGAGUCCAGAACGAAGAUCAGAAUACUUGCUUGAUCUAUCUUAACAACAUGCACUAGGACAAAAAUUUAGUCCCACGCAAGCUAUGAAGAUUUGUUUUAUGUAUAACUAUUUGUACAACAUGACAAACUUAGAUCCAAAAGGAAUGCAAUCCAGAUAAUUGUUUGACAUGUAAAGUGAAUAAGAUGAGUCAAUGCCAAUUAUCAAGUUUUCCUCACUCUUAGAUGAUAUGUACAAUAAAAAGACAACUUUGAUGAUCACUCUGAAAUUACGUUUGUAUGUAGUGCCACCAAACACAACAUCCCAAAUAUUAGUUUGAUAAGCAUCAAAUCACUUUUGAAAAAAGAAAGCAAUAAUGAAAAGAAACCUAACCAAGAUAGCUAUAAAAAGGCCUGCAAUAUGUAGACUCCAUACCAUCAUCCAUCCUUCACACACCUAGAGCACAAAUCAGCAAAUCCAAGUACGUAGUAGUUAACGCAAAUCGACCAUGAAGACCUUACUCAUCCUGACGAUCCUUGCGAUGGCAAUAACCAUCAGCACCGCCAAUAUGCAGGUCGACCCUAGUGGCCAAGUACAAUGGCCACAACAACAACUAGUCCCCCAACCCCAACAGCCAUUAUCCCAGCAACCGCAACAAGCAUUUCCCCAACCCCAACAAACAUUUCCCCAUCAACCACAACAACAAGUUCCCCAGCCUCAGCAACCACAACAACCAUUUCUCCAGCCCCAACAAGCAUUCCCCCAACAACCACAACAACCAUUCCCUCAGACUCAACAACCACAACAACCAUUUCCCCAGCAACCACAACAACCAUUUCCCCAGCAAUCACAACAACCAUUCCCCCAGACUCAACAACCACAACAACCAUUUCCCCAGCAACCACAACAACCAUUCCCCCAGACUCAACAACCACAACAACCAUUUCCCCAGUUCCAGCAACCACACCAACCUUUUCCCCAGCCCCAACAACAAUUCCCGCAGCCCCAACAACCGCAACAAUCAUUCCCCCAGCAACAACGACCGUUCAUUCAGCCAUCUCUACAACAACGUUUGAACCCAUGCAAGAAUAUCCUCUUGCAACAAUGCAAACCUGCGUCAUUGGUGUCAUCCCUCUGGUCGAUAAUCUGGCCACAAAGCGAUUGCCAAGUGAUGCAGCAACAAUGCUGCCAAGAACUAGCACAGAUUCCUCAGCAGCUCCAGUGCGCAGCCAUCCAUAGCGUCGUGCAUUCCAUCAUCGUGCAGCAGCAGCAACAACAACAACAACAACAACAACAACAACAAGGCAUGCAUAUCCUGCUGCCACUAUCUCAACAACAACAGUUGGGUCAAGGUACUCUCGUCCAAGGCCAGGGCAUCAUCCAACCUCAGCAACUAGCUCAAUUGGAGGCGAUCAGGUCAUUGGUGUUGCAAACUCUUCCAACCAUGUGCAACGUGUAUGUCCCACCUGAGUGCUCCAUCAUCAGGGCACCAUUUGCCAGCAUCAGGGCAUCAUCAGGGCACCAUUUGCCAGCAUAGUCGCGGGGAUUGGUGGCCAAUGAAAAAAGCAAGAUCUAUACUAAUAGAUAGAUGGAUCAUCGUUACUUAGCAGAUGCACCAAUCGAUGUAACGAUGACAAAUAAAGUGGCGUGCACCAUCAUGUGUGACCCCGACCAGUGCUAGUUCAAGCUUGGGAAUAAAAGACAAACAGAGUUCUUGUUUGCCAGCAUUGCUUGUCAUUGUUCCAUUCACCAUGUAUUUAGAUGUUCAUCCCUAACCGCAGUUCUAGGCUUACACAUCAACAGCUAGUUGCUUGUGCCGGCAGGUUCCUAUGUAAUCUACCGAUUAAUGGUUGACCUAUUAAUCCAGUUUAUAGGCCGAUUGAUCUAUUAAUUGCUGCUCCCAAACUGACCGACCAGCUAUCAGUUACCAUUUUGCUGAACAUUGCACACAGUAAUAACUCAACGUAUUUUAAUGUCUAGAAGUAAAAGGGCCAUUUUAGCAGCAAAACAAGCGCCUGAUUAGGAACCAUCCAUCACUUUAAAUGUUCACCAAGAUAUUUUUGCGUUGGUGCAAUUUUGAGAUUGGUGGCACCGAAACAUUCCUCAAAGCAAUUCUUUAUGGGACUCCAAAGAGGUGAAAAUAAAGUAAAGUUGCCACAUGGUAAAAUAUAAAUCAUGCGGCGAGCAAGAGAAAAUAUUGAGUUACGAUAGCAAGCGCCAAACAUGCCAUUAAACUCUUCAUAUGGUUUCGUGCAGAGAGGGGGGAUUUAGAGAUGACAAACAAAGCUUAAGUAGCAUCGGUUCUGAUUGUAGAAAUUUCUUUUACCUAUAGAAUAACUCGGUUGUUAUUUCUUUAACAAUGUAGUGUGAUAUUAACUUAUCUCAAUCUAGGAACACAAAGCAAAUAUUACAUGUGCUUCUAUGGAUUCCAAGCAGAUGAGAAAUCAUAUUGUGUAGAAGUUCAUUAGAAGGAUAUAAUAGUUUUGACCUAAACAAAUUUACUAUUGUACUCGUGUCUUAGAAAAUUAAAGCUGAAAAUCAACAUAACCAUUGGACACUUCGAAAGACAAGUGUGGGAAAUAAAUAGUAGGAUGUAAAUUUGAGUAGAGUGUUUGAUCAAAUAUUGAACAAAUAACCCACAAACUACUAAAACUCAUCUAUUAAUUCUACCAUAUAUGAACUGUCACAAUGAUAAAGCUAUGAUUUUUUUGACAAAUAUGUAUCCUAGAACUAAUACAAGUUCAAACAAAUCAGCCACAGAUCCCCGAGCCCAUCCAACCAGAUAGCUGAAACUGAAAGAAGCAUUAGCUUGAUUAGAGCACCUACAGCCUAACUUGACAAAUUUGACCCCAGAAACGCUCGCGGACGCGCCCGGUAGUAACCGGUCACGCCUAAAAUAUUUCAUUCUACAACCAGAUACCUCAAAUUAGAAACCUCAAAUCCAUAUUAUUACAUGCAACAUAAAUCGAUCUUUAAGCAGAGCACGUCCGGUGAUCGAAUGCUCUCCGGAGUGUUGGUCCAGUCACCGGCAAGUUAGAGUAGGGCAUGGGAUACGAGGCGGGUCACGGGACUCGAGGCGCCACCGUCCCCCAUUCCCAACUCUUCUCCAUCGGAACCAGGACGGUGCCGGUGGACGUCAGAUCGAUGAUGGAUCCUUCCUGGGAUGAGCCAUCAACAUCGACCACCACGUGGUUGCGGUGCCCGGACUAGUGCACAAUAUGGGGAGCCGAAAAAUACGACUUUGCCUUCGCAACGACCACCACCGCGAGGGCUGUCGCCGCCUCCCGCACCCGCUGCCUUGCAUGGCAGGAGCGCCGAACUAUGUUUUGCGUCGGGCGGUGCCCAUGGUGUGUCCAUGGCCUCAGCACGCCAAUGGAGGGGCUGUGCGUCUGCCACCCAUUUGAACGCUAGAUGGACCGCACCACCUCUGGUGAGGCAGUGAUGGUACACCUAGCGCCGGAUCCAUGCAUCAUUUGGGCGGACGCAUUGGAUUCCCCGCGGAAGGAGUUCGAGCAUUGCCGUUGCCAUCGGGCAGCCUCCUCCUGAGACCGGCGGAGCGCAAGCUCGAUUGCCAUCUCCUCCUAGGAGCCGCGUGGGAUGAGUUCGGGGUCGACGGAUCUGGAGGUAUAACACUGGGAUCCGCCGCCUGCCAUGCCGAAGAAGGCCAUAAGAUCGUCGGACGGGGGCGGCAGGGAGUGAAGUGAAGUGGCUAGGGUUUGGUCCGGCAAGCGGAUGGGGAGGAAUAUAUGUGGGGUCGGGUGGGCCAGCGUGGAUCGGGACCGACAUGGCGGACGCGCGUGGGCGCCCCAUAUUCUUCCCAGAUUUCGGCUGGAUAUGAGGGGUGUUGGUCAGCUUGGGCGUUGAGGCCCGUCUAGGUCAUUUUUCUGUGACCUGGCCGUCCGCCGGGGUGUUUGAAGUGGGUUUGGGACACCCGGGUGUAAAUGCUCUUAGACCAUGUAGUACCUUGAGGAGGAUGGUGUGGGUCCAUGAAAGAACUACAGCCUUUCCAUUAUGUUCGGGCGCAGGGCGAUAACGAAGUUAUCUUUACUCCUACAAGGGGAGUUGUUAGUCUCCGUUCCAUGGGUUUUUUUGUCUCACCUCCCAUCUUCGUUUCAUUUUUUCCGUCUCUCUUUCACACCGUCGGGUGGAGCUUAUGUGUCAUACUCCGUGACCUUUCAUUAGUUUUCUAGAGAGAAUCCUACUCUCAUAGAUUGCGACGUUUAACAAUCAGACUCAUAUAGGUGUGUUCUUCAAAAGAUGUUCUGCAGGACAACAUCUCUCCUUCAAAAAGCCACUUAGAACACAUUAAGAUAUACAUCAACCUACCAUGCAGAUUAGGAGAGUAUUGCAUCUUCAUGGAGUGGUAUUUUAACAAUAAGGAUACACUACUAGGGAAAAGGCUAGCAGCAGCGCGGGUUUUUGGUGUAUCAGUAGCGCGGGGUGGGGCGCUACUAAUAAGGCGCUACAGCUAACAUAUAGCAGUAGCGCGUGGUCACCGGCGCUACUGCUACACAAGUGUAGCAGCAGCGCGGUUACUGGGAGCACGCUACUGCUAGUAGCUCUAGCGCCCUUUGCAGCAACGCGCUACUGCUAUAGAGGCGCUGCUGCUAACUUCUAUACACUCGCUACUGCUAAUUUAACAGGUUUUUUGUUUUUUUGGGCAUAUUUGUUUUGUAUUUGAACAGGCUUUAUAGAAGAAUCUUUAGCACAUAGAAAUGUCAUCAUGAUACACAUACAAAUGCCUGCGAGACCACGAAUAUAAUCAUAGCAUAUACAUACAAAUAGUCUCAUCAUAAUCAUCAUCCAACACAAAGUGGUCUCUCGUCAUCAUCUCGAAAAUAGCGAUACAAGUCCUUGAUUACUUGCAAAUACAUUGUCAUCCAUCUAAACAAUGGUAUACGCGAGAAGAGCUAUCACUUUGAGAACAUGAGUUCGUAUCCCUCUCUCGCAUUAGCGUGAACCUAAACUAACUACUGCCUGUCGCUCGGAAACCGGAAACCGGCAACACCUGGGUCUGACACUCCGGUCACUCAUCGUAUAUAUACUCCUGGCGUAGCACUUCUUCGCCAUCGAUGAUCUAUGCACCUGCAUCAUCACAUGAGUAGAUGAUAUGCAACAUAUAUAGUUGAGCAACAGAAAGAGACAGACUUGACAAAAAUAGAAACAACGUAUCAUAAGCAUAAAUAACAAAGUUCAUCAUAACCAAAAUGCCCUAACUAGAGUGAUCUUCGCUAGUCGAGGAGGAGGACGGUUUAAUUACAUCACAAAUAAAGUUUUACUGCGCAUAACUCAAAGUUUUGUCAUACAGAAAGUAUGGAGUAAACAGACACAUUGUCAUAUAUUGACAAUCACUCCAACAUGCCGUGCCAUCCAUCGAGGUCAGGGAGAUAGUCCCCGAGCUUAGUGAAAGGCUUCAUGUCGAGACGCUGAGAGGCUAUCCAUGUUCGGACGUCUUCCCACAACAUUUUUCCUCCGUAGAACAUCCCUGUUUUUCCGACGACCUCUUUCAUGAUGAUUUGGGCAAGUUCGCGUUGGAUGUUAUAGAACUCAGCUCGAAGUCGAUGAUCCUCGAUAUCUCCUAUGUCCUUUGCCCAUUGCAGAAUAUGGGCAUCGCCAGAUCUAGGUGACAUGUGAAGGUUCUGGUGAUCCCGUUUGUACUCCCGCAUGUGGUGUAGGACAUAGAAUCCACCAUUAAGAGAAUCGUUCGGUUGUUGGAUGCAGCAGAAGUCGGUCUUAUGGCUGAAGGCGGCCCUGCCGCCCCUUCUCUUCUUGUCCCUAACCUCUCCACCCCUUGCUUGGUAGUAAAACAUAGCACUGUCGAGAACAUCUUUGAUGUGGGUGUAAUCCUUUUUGUGAAUGUUAUUCGAUGAGUCCAAGUAAAGAGCAUGGGAGAAUCGGGGGUAGAGGAUGAUGAGGACGGCGCGCCCGCCGCUGCGCAAAAUAAGUACACCUCAAAUUAAUUAGCCUUCACCGUGCAAAUGAAUUAUUGAAAUCGAAGGAAGGAUAGCAGCGCGGAUGACUUACACGGGAUGAUAAGGCACGAGAAUCGCCUCCUUGUCCUUAUUGGCGAGCAUGAAACUAACGAUGUAAUUCCUCGCGUAUUCACGCUGCUCUGCACAGACUCCCAAGAAGCUCUCGUGCAUGUAGUACGGGUCAGUGACACAGAUAUGACGUAUCUGCUCAACCCCAAUGAUGUAGUUCAUGUGCAAGGCAUAAAGGCGGACAAAUGUAAAAUCCAGCUUCUUCACGUGAAACAUGUCGAAUAUGUAAUCGAAUCGGAGGAAGAACUUAUCCGCAGCGAAGCUGUCGACGUAUGACAUUUUCCGCGGAACGUUAUCCACGUAGAGUGGGUAUCCUGGAUCUUUCGAGGCAAUGAGGCAUUUCUCUACCCGUAGCACAUCAUCAUGAAGUCUCCUUAGAUCGCCGAAUCUGGCCCGUAGCGCUGUUGCAGGUAGGAUUGGUUGACCGGGGAUAUGCCAUUUAUCCGCAUCGGGGAUAUCUAGACGGUCCUGAAGCUGAGGCUGCUGAGGCGGCUGGAUCAUAGAAUCAACUUUUUUUCCUUUCCUCGCUCUCUUCCUAGACUUCUUUACUACCGGAAAGUCGUCAAUAACACAUUGAGACGGUAAUUCAGGCACCGACUCAUGAUGCUCAAACCCUGAGGAGGCGCCAGUAUAGACAUACUGUUCAGCGCCAUCGUCAUCCUCAUCCUCAUCCAUGGCGACGUCAUCAGCGACUAAUGGAGCCUCCUCCUUACCCCGUCCGCUAUCACCCAACCCGACACCCAACGCUAAUUGGGUAGGUGGGGUGUUGAUGUUCAUACCUUGCUGAGACUGCGUGCUCGUGGGUGUGCUCCCGGCCGCCUCCAGACGAAGCAGACUCUUUGGCCACAACAGGACCUACCCAUUGCAACAAUCACCAAGCCGCUGCGGUGUCUCCUCGUCAUCCACCAAUAGUGUUGGAGGAGGCAAAUUCUCGUGGCCCGGUUCGACACUGGCCAUGGAAACCUUGAAGACGUUUGGGGGAAUCGGCCGGCUGUGGAACAAUGGUUCCUUCGGCUUCAUUAUCGUCGCCUUCCCCAUGGCCACCUUCUGGUCCCCGAUGGUGUACAAUAUGGUGCGCGGGGUUUCGUCGGCCUGCAAAGAGAAGUCUGCGACGUGAGACAUUCGAAAGGCAACGAAAACGGGAGAUUAUACAUUUAUAUUGAAGGGGGCCGGUGUGACAGAUACCGUGAGGGCGUCGAGCUCAGCCAAAGACAAAGCACCGCCGAGCACGUCCGGUGCGGGAGCCGGUGCGGGAGCAGGUGCUCCCAAGAAGUCAGCAAGGGGAAAGUCCUCUGCAUUUUUUUCUGGAUUUUUCCUUGUCCAAGUGAUAACGCCCGUCACCAAGGAAGUAGACAAAUCUGCAACCGCCUGUUUUGCGGCAGCUACCGCUGUUGCGACUGUCUGAGAUGAUUUCUUCUCAACCGCAAUCUCAACCUUCUUGUCGAUGUUUUUUUCAGUUAACCUCCGUCUUUCCUUUCUCUCCUCUGUGGUCUCCCGGUAGUACUUCUUCCACGUGGCGCCGUCUCCGACACCGUGCACGCGUCCAUACGAUGGUCGAGUAUCCAUCGGUUGUCGUUUCAAUAUGUUCAACGUCCGGUUGAAUGGAGUGUCCCACUUGGGCCUCGCCAAUGCCUCAGACGGCGAGUCGUUUUCGACCGCAAUCCGGUGCUGCUCUCUCUGCAAAAGGCACAAGGAUCGUUUACAAAUAUGACUAACGUGUGCAGUCGAAUUGAUCAGAAACUAAAAUUACCAGCAGUCUCAUGAACUCCGUAAUGACCGGUGUUGUCUCAUAAACCUUCUUCACUGGGUCCCAACGGUGCCGAGCCCUCAGGACGUCACGCUCCUGCGGGACAGUGAAAUCCGCCAAGGGGUCUGGGAUGCCCAGACUCGCGGCUUCCGCGUCCUCCUUGGCCCAUUUGGACCUCUUUCCGCCGUAACCACGCUUCCGAGGUGGUGGCUCCCAAUGUUCCUCUUUUGAAGCCCCUUCAUGUACUUAGACUUUUUUUGGCAGCUUCGGCCUCGCAAGCCUCCUUGAAUAUUUGAAACUGCUCUUCCGUGAUUGUCAGAUUAUCCUUUACAAUCUCGGAGUAGGGUUCCCCGUCGUUGAUCUUUGCUUUCACUCAAUUUUUCCAGGCGGCCAACGCGUCGCUAAACUUGGUCAUGGCGUGUUUGUUUAUCUUCUUCAUUGCGGGGUCCUCGUCUGGAUCUUCAUAAUCCUUCUCAUUCCGGCCCGGGAACAAGAAUAUCUGGUGAAACUUCUUUAGAAGGGAGCUCCUCAUAUUUUCUAUCUUCUAUAGUUUCUCAUCAUUGAUGGUGGCGGUUGUCCGUAUGAUGCAGCCUAUUUGAUUGCCGUAGCACGCGCGCGCUUCCUCGGGCGCCUUUGGCUCAAAAUUGCCGUCGUCCACCUCUGUGACCACCAGUCUAGUAGUCCUGAGUUUGUUAGGAACCCGUUGCUUCUUUGCGUUCGGUUCUACACCAGCUCCGCUCCCCGAGACAGCACCGGUCUCAGCGCCGCUCUCGAUGCCGGUCUGAAUCUCAGCGCCGGUCUCAGUCUCAGCACCGGUCUGCGUGUCGGUCUCAGUCCCCGAUGCCACUGGUGGGCCCAGCAACAACAUCGGUUGAUCGUCGGUAAGGCUAAAAUAUUCAUCUGCCACCAGGUAGACGUCGUCGCAAUCACCAGAACCCUGUCCUUCAUCGUUGCUAGCCAUGUUUCCUAUCAUUAAAUCUAGUCAAUUAAUUCUAGACCUAAUAAAAUGAAUAAUGACAUAAAAAAGGACUAUUGUUUUGCAGGAAUGUUGACUCCUUCCUGGUGCGGAAAAUCCCGGCACUCGAUAUGUCCUAGUUUGUAGCACAAGUCAUGCCGAAAUUCACGGAAAAUUUUGGCAUGGCCUUUGCUAAAAAGUGGACAAAUCGAGAACCUGAAAUUUGUCGGAACAGAAAUGAAUCAACAUUCCGGCAAAACAUAGGCCACUCAGCAUCAUUCCCUGGAAACAACAAAGCCACUUGGGCACAAUCGAACAACUUCAAUGAAAAGAUAUAACAUGAGCAAACACUAUUGAGGAAUUUGCAUAUAACAUGGCCACUUCAAUGAAAAGAUAUAAUCAACAAUAACGGAAUAUGCAAAUGAACAUCAAUGACAUAUAGCUACUGUUCUGUUUGACCAAGUUUUUGAAAAGAAAAACAAUUCUGUUUUUUGUUUAUAGCUAAAUGCCAUAGCUACUAUUUUUUAUUUAUAGCUAAAUACUUUUGUUUUUUGUCUAAAGCUAAAAGUCUAGGAACUACAUUUUCUCUAACCCUUUUGACCUCACCAGAAUUUUCACAGCAAGACCUUAGUACCUACACCCAAUUUCUUCAAAAAUAUUCAGGUCCAUAGUCCAAAUAAUUCAAAUUUCAUUUGAAUGAAAUUUGGAACAAAUUCAGGUCCGUAGUCAAAAUAUUUUUUUAUAGCUAAGUGUUUUUUGUUUAUACCCUCUGUUAAUUUAAAUCUAAAUGCUACUAUUAUUUAUAUACCCUCUAUUAGUUUAAAGCUAAAUGGAAUUACUGUUUAGGAAUUUUCAUAAAAAUUGCCCUAGCUAAUUUCCUAAAAAAAUUGCAAAUCAUUUUUCCUAAAUGCUAUAAAAUGCCUACUGCCCUAAAAAAAUCUAGGGUUCAUAUGAACACCUAGGGUUCAUAUGAACAUCAACACAGUAUCAACAUAUAUAUAUAUAAUUGCCCUAGCAGAGAGAAAUAGGAGGGUAGGGACAGGAGAGGCAUAGCCUUACGGUCGGCGUUGAGGGCAGGCUCUGGCUCGGGCAGCGGCGGUGAGGUCAAGGGCGGCGGCGGCGAGCUCGAGGGAGGCGACAGUGAGGUCGACGGUGACAGCCUCGGGUGGCGGCUGUGAGGUCGAGGGGGCGGCCUCGGGCGGCGGCCUCGGGCGGCGGCAGUGUGGUCAAAGGCGGCGGGCGGCGGCGGUGUGGUCGAAGGCGGCCUCCGGCGGUGGCGGUGUGGUCGAAGGCGCGCGGCAGGGCAACGGCGGCGAUGAAGCAGUUGGGGGACAGGGGGGAGUAGAGAGGGGGGAAAGGACUUAGCAAAAUUUUGAGCCAGGGCCGCCGGGAUUUGAGUCAAACUAGCAGCAGCGCGUUUUGACGAAACGCGCUAUAGCUAAGAUAGCUAUAGCGUGUUCCAGAGAAAUGCGCUACAGCUAACCCUUUCUGUUUUCUUUCUCUUUUUAUUUUGUUUUCUUUACAUUUUCUUUUUUUCAUUUCUCCUUUUUCUAUUUCUUUCAUUUUCAUUUACUUUUCUACUUAAUUUUCUAUUUAUUUUCCUUUACAUAGCAGUAGCGCUGUAAAGAAGAAACGCGCUGCUACAAUGUUUUUAACAGUAGCGUGCUUCUGGGAGAAGCGCUGCUACUAUUCCUAGCCUACCGGCACCAGUGAGAGAAUUUUAGUAGUAGCGCUUUUUUGUGGAGAAGCGCUACUACUAAAAUAAUGAUUGUAGCGUGGUUUUGCAACAAGCGCUACUACUAAGUAGCGCUAGCGCCGAGUUUUGACCAACGCUACUGCUAUACCUCUGUGUAUAGCAUUUUCCCUAGUAGUGAUACUCUCCUCUCAGUUGACCAACAGCUUGUCUUCCACAUCUAAUUCACGGGAUCUCCGAUCACAAAGAAUGGGUUACCACUGUGGACACCUCAUAUUGUGGGUCUCAUUCCCAUCUCCAUCGAUGCAUUAUCUAUCACAUUACGUGAUAGACCCUUAGUAAAAGGAUCUGCCAGAUUUUUAGACGUUUGGAUAUAAUCCAAUGCAAUAACUCUCGAGUUUUUCAUUUUUCUGACAGACUUUAACCUUCUCUGAACGUGUCUUGAUGACUUCAUGUUAUCCUUUGAGCUGCUCACUUUAGUGAUCACAGUUUGAUUGUCACAGUUCAUCCGGAUACCCGGUACAGGUUUCUCAACUACCGGUAAGUCAUUCAAGAGCCGACGAAGCCAAUCUGCUUCGACCGUAGUUGUAUCUAGUGCUGUGAGUUCUGCUUCCAUUGUUGACCUCGUUAAAAUGGUCUGCUUGCAAGACUUCCAAGAAACAGCGCCACCUCCAUGAGUGAAUACAUAACCGCUCGUGGCCUUUAUCUCAUCAACAUCUGAGAUCCAGUCUGAGUCAAUAUACCCUUCAAGCACCUUUGGAUGCCUAGUGUAGUGAAUUCCAUAAUUUGCAGUGCUUUCAAAUAACGCAAAACUCUCUCUAGAGCUUUCCAAUGCACAUCUCCUGGUUUUGAGACAAACCGGCUCAGUUAGCUAACAGCAAAAGAGAUGUCAGGUCUCGUAGCACUGGCUAAGUACAUAAGCGAGCCAAUAAUGUGUGAAUAUUCCAAUUGGUCUCUAGCAAUUCUUCGAUUCUUUCGAAGCAACACACUAGCAUCAUAUGGUCUUGGAGAGGGCUUGCAGUCACUGUAGCCAAAGCGACUCAAGAUCUUUUCCCCAUAGUGAGACGGAAGCAAUGUAAUCCCACCAUCAUCAUCUCUCAACAACUUGAUGUUCAGAAUGACGUCAGCCACUCCUAAAUCCUUCUUCUCAAAACAGCGAGAUAGGAAAUCCUUGACCUCCUUAAGAACAUUUAGAUUUGUUCCGAAAAUCAGUAUGUCAUCAACAUACAAGCAAAGCAUAACUCCCUCGCCCCCACCAUGGCGAUAGUACACACAUUUGUUAGCUUCGUUCACAACAAAGCCUGCAGCUGUUAAAGUUCUUUCGAACUUCUCAUGCCACUGUUUGGGUGCUUGCUUGAGUCCAUACAAAGACUUCAGCAACUUGCACACUUUCCCUUCCUAACCAUCUAUUACAAACCCAUCUGGUUGUUCCAUAUAAAUUUCCUCAUCCAACUCUCCAUUUAGGAAAGCAGUCUUAACAUCCAUUUGAUGAACGAGAAGACCAUGUGAGGCAGCUAGUGAAAGUUUAACUCGAAUAGUGGUCAGUCGAGCCACAGGUGAGUAAGUAUCAAAGAAGUCUUCACCUUCCUUUUAGGUAUAACCCUUUGCCACGAGCUGAGCCUUGUACUUUUCAAUAGUACCAUCAGGCCUAAGUUUCUUCUUGAAUACCCAUUUGCAUCCUAUAGGUUUGCACCAUAAGGACGAUCAGUUAUCUCCCAAGUUUCAUCCGCCAAGAUGGAAUCCAUCUCGCUACGAACCGCUUCCUUCCAGUAGUCAGCAUCUUCCGAUGCAUAGGCCUCCAAAAUAGAACUGGGAGUGUCAUCUAUGAGAUACACAAGAAAAUCAUCACCCAAGGACUUUGCUGUCCUCUGUCUCUUACUCCUAGUAGGAACUUCAUUGUUCUCCUCCACAGGCCUUUCAAAGUGUUCCAUCGAAAUGGCAGGUUCAGUAAUUGUAACUGGUUCCUGAUUCGAUGAACUAGGCAUCUCCUGAUUAGAUGAGGUAGCCAUAUCCUUCAUGGGAAAGAUAUCUUCAAAGAAAGUCGCAUCAUUCGACUCCAUGAUCGUACUGACAUGCAUGUCAGAUACCUCAGAUUUUACAACCAAGAAUAUAUAGCCAAUGCUAUGAAAAGCAUAUCCCAGGAAAACACAAUCCACAGUCUUUGGUCCAAGCUUCCGCUUCUUUGGAAUUGGAACAUUGACUUUCGCCAAGCAACCCCAUGUUCGCAGAUAAGAGAGUCUUAACCUUUUCUUCUCCCAUUCCUCGAAUGGAGUUAUCUCUUUGUUCUUUGUGGGAACUCGAUUUAGGACAUGACAUGCUGUCAAUAUCGUCUCCCCCCACCAUGCCUUGGAGAGACCCGAUGUGCAUAACAUGGCGUUAACGAAAUCAGUUAGAGUACGGUUCUUUCUUUCGGCCACCCCAUUUGACUGAGGUGAGUAGGGAGGCGUCCUCUCAUGGAUUAUACCAUGUUCCGCACAAAAAGCAUCAAAUUCAUUGGAAAAAUACUCUCCACCACGGUCAGACCUAAGCCUCUUGAUUUUUCGAUCAAGUUGGUUUUCCACUUCAGCUUUAUAGAUCUUGAAAAAGUUCAAAGCCUCAUCCUUAGAUUUCAGAAGAUACACAUGGCAGUAUCUAGUGGAGUCGUCAAUUAACGUCAUGAAAUAUUUCUUUCCACCUUUUGUCAAAACACCAUUCAUUUCACAUAGAUCUGAAUGUAUAAGUUCUAGUGGUGCAAGAUUUCUCGUCUCCGCAGUCACGUGAGACUUACGAGGUUGCUUAGCUUGCACACACACUUGACACUUAGAUCCUUGACAGUGGUGAAACUAGGGAUUAAGUUCAACUUCGCUAGUCGCGACAUGCAACCAAAGUUAACAUGACAAAGACGUGAAUGCCACACAUUUGAUUCACUAUUGUUGCAAAUAUGAUUAACAACUUUAUUGCAAAUGUCUGAUAAGGAUAAACGAAACAGGCCUCCUGACUCAUAGCCUUUACCAACAAAGGUCCCAUACUUGGAUAUUACAAAUUUAUUCGACUCAAAGACAAGCUUAUAGCCAUCUCUACACAGAAGAGAUCCGCUAACAAGAUUUUUAUUGACGGAGGGGACAUAAUGCACGUUCUUCAGCCGCACGAUCUUCCCUGAAGUAAACUUCAGAUCAACCAUGCCAACACCACGAACAGAAGCACUUGAACUGUUGCCCAUCAGCACGGUUGAAGUCCCUGCGGUCUGAUAAGAUGAAAACAUGGAAAUAUCACCGUAUACAUGCACAUUAGCACCCAUGUCAAUCAACCAACCAGGAGAAUGACAUACUGAAAGAAUAGUGGGAAAUAUACCAUACCCAACAUCUUUCAUGUCAAUGUCUCCGAUGACAACAUUAGCGGUCUUGCCGCCUUUCCCAGGAUGACGCUUGUCAUAGCGAUUAGGACAACUAGGAGCCCAAUGAUCAGGAUCUCCAAACACAUGACAAGCACCUUUCUUAUUGUCAUUCUUCUUCUUGAAGUUCAUGUGCUGCACAGCCUUGUUCUUCCCAUCGAACUUUGCUUUACCAUCAAACUUGCCCUUGUUCUUGAACUUGUGGGACUGGAAGUUCUUCUUCUGUACCAGAUUGGCACUAGAUCCUCCCUCAAUACCUCGAGCACAUGUGUCCUUUGCUCUCGCCUUUUCUUCCACAUAAGAGUACCAAUGAGAUCCGGGAUGGAAAACUCCUGUCUCUUAUGCUUCAGUGAGGUAGCAAAGUUCCUCCAUGAAGGAGGAAGCUUAGUGAUGAUACCCCCGGCAACAAACUUGUCCGGUAAGAUACAAUUGAAGUGCUCAAGUUCUCUAGCAAAAGACUGUAUCUCAUGAGCCUGCUCAACCACGGAGCGCUCUUCAGUCAUCCUGUAAUCAUAGAAUUAUUCCAUGAUGUACAGCUCAGUGCCGGCAUCCGAGACCCCAAACUUGGCCUCGAGUGUGUCCCACAUAUCUUUUCAUUGUCAAUUGACGCAUAAGCAUCAACUAUGUUCUCACCAAGAACACUCAAAAGAGCAGCCUUAAACAAGGUAUCCAUUUUCUGGAAAGCUUGUGCCUGUUGGGCAUCUUGCUCUCCUUCGGGUUUGCCAAGAGUGGCAUCAUAGAAACUCAUGGUUUGAAACCAUAAGACUGCUCUCACACGCCACUUCUUAUAGUGGAUACCCUCAAACAUAGGAGGUCUCAUGGAAGCAGCAAAAUCACUCGGGGUAAAUUGCCUAUAAUAAGGUUUUUGGAUUGUUGGAAAUAUGAGCAAUUUACCGAAUGAUUUUAUUAACAAAAAUACUAGAUAAAGCAUGACUAAAAUAGCAAAUAUAAAGCAAGUCAUGCAGUCUGACAGAGAGAAGGUAAACAUCGUCUGCAUAUAUGAACUUGAGCUAAACACAGCUAGAACAGACACUAGAUGAAGUUGCUUAUACGAAACAGAACCUAACAUACGUAGGGCAGAAACUAGAGCCAAGAACUAUAGCAGGACUUCUAACAGAAAGGAGAAGAACACGUACGGCACAGCAGCAGCAGAAGCGCUGGACUUGGGGUUGGUGUCCUUGCCUGCCAUGUCAUCGAGGAGGUCAUGGACGUCAGGGAAGAAGUCGUCGUCGGGGAAGUAGUCGUUGGCGACCGGAUCGUCUGUGAUGAAGCAGCCAGUAGUCGCACUAAGUGCUCCCCAAAAACCUUAUCACCCUUCUCCCGUACAGGACUCAAAAGGUGCGGUCGCGAAAGCCUACUGUCCCGACGUGCGGUGCACGCCACAAGUCGGGAUGAGGAAGACAGCAGCAGCUCAGAGAUGGAACCGAUGGCGAGGGAAGGAGCAGUUCUGGUGCGUCUCUCUGAGAGGAGCGACCUCCCUUUUAUAGGCGCAAGAGAAGGAGGCGAGAGGCUGCGCCGGGAGCUGAAGGGAAUGCGGGAGACGAAACAAACAGGCAGCAGCCGAAGGGGCGCGCCGUUCGGAUUCAGUGUCCAGGCACAGAAAAAAAAUGUUUCAGCUUCCGAGUGACCUUUCGUAUACCCGUAGUGCGUGGCAAAAAUUUAGACAUCGGCUCGGCUCAUUCCCGCAACCCGCGGCGCGGCGCAUCGUGAUGAGGCGUGGUGAGGCGGGCGGCGGAGGAGGAGCACGCGUGGAUGUCCCUCUUGUUCUCAUGCUCAUACAAGUGGGGAAGGAGCCUCCCUUAUAAAGAGGUCCAACUCCCUCUAAACUAGCAAGGUGGGACUAAACUUUAGUUCCACCUCUUGCCUUGCACGAAUGGGCUGCGUGGGCCUCUAGGAUUUAUUAGGAAUUUCUAAAAUUGCUAUUGGGCUAGGCCCAAAUAGACAAAAAUUCCAGCAAUCCCCCACCAGAUCCCAGAGGCACACAAAAUUUGCCUUUGGUUCCAAAACACUGUUUUAUAUACUGGUACAGCAGUGGAGACUGUUAAGUUGAACUUCCACCUAGAACCCUAUGCUACACUAGUAAGCAACUUGAACAGUGGACUGGGCCUUGAACUGCAAGUUUUCUGCAAAUCUAGCUUCACAUAAGGCCUUGACCGAUACGUGGCUACCGUGGGUCUUCCCCGUGGGUGGAGCUUAUGCGUCAUACUCCGUGACCUUUCAUUAGUUUACUAGAGAGAACCCUACUCUCAUAGAUUGCGACGUUUAACAAUCAGACUCAUAUAGGUGCGUUCUUCAAAAGAUGUUCUGCAGGACAACAUCUCUGCUUCAAAAAGCCACUUAGAACACAUUAAGAUAUAAAUCAACCUGCCAUGCAGAUUAGGAGAGUAUUGCAUCUUCAUGGAGUGGUAUUUUAACAGUAUGGAUACUCUCCUCUCAGUUGACCAACAACUUGUCUUCCACAUCUAAUUCACGGGAUCUCCGAUCAUAAAGAAUAGGUUACCACUAUGAACAACUCAUAUUGUGGGUCUCAUUCCCAUCUCCCUCGAUGCAUUAUCUAUCACAUUACGUGAUAGACCGUUAGUAAAAGGAUCUGCCAGAUUUUUAGACGUUUGGAUAGAAUCCAAUGCAAUAACUCUGGAGUUUUUCAUUUUUCUGACAGACUUUAACCUUCUCUGAACGUGUCUUGAUGACUUCAUGUUAUCCUUUGAGUUGCUCACUUUAGUGAUCACAGUUUGAUUGUCACAGUUCAUCCGGAUACCCGGUAUAGGUUUCUCAACUACCGGUAAGUCAUUCAAGAGCCGACGAAGCCAAUCUGCUUCGACCGUACCUGUAUCUAGUGUUGUGAGUUCUGCUUCCAUUGUUGACCUCGUUAAGAUGGUCUGCUUGCAAGACUUCCAAGAAACAGCGCCACCUCCAUGAGUGAAUACAUAACCGCUCGUGGCCUUUAUCUCAUCAGCAUCUGAGAUCCAGUUUGAGUCACUAUACCCUUCAAGCACCUUUGGAUGCCAAGUGUAGUGAAUUCCAUAAUUUGCAGUGCCUUUUAAAUAACGCAAAACUCUCUCUAGAGCUUUCCAAUGCACAUCUCCUGGUUUUGAGACAAACCGGCUUAGUUAGCUAACAGCAAAAGAGAUGUCAGGUCUCGUAGCACUGGCUAAGUACAUAAGCGAGCCAAUAAUCUGUGAAUAUUUCAAUUGGUCUCUAGUGAUUCUUCGAUUCUUUCGAAGCAACACACUAGCAUCAUAUGGUGUUGGAGAGGGCUUGCAGUCACUGUAGCCAAAGCGGCUCAAGAUCUUUUCCACAUAGUGAGAUUGAAGCAAUGUAAUCCCACAAUCAUCAUCUCUCAAAAACUUGAUGUUCAGAAUGACAUCAGCCACUCCUAAAUCCUUCAUCUCAAAACAGCAAGAUAGGAAAUCCUUGACCUCCUUAAGAACAUUCAGAUCUGUUCCGAAAAUCAGUAUGUCAUCAACAUACAAGCAAAGCAUAACUCCCUUGCCCCCACCAUGGCGAUAGUACACACAUUUGUCAGCUUCGUUCACAACAAAGCCUGCAGCUAUUAAAGUUCUUUCGAACUUCUCAUGCCACUGUUUGGGUGCUUGCUUGAGUCCAUACAAAGACUUCAGCAACUUGCACACUUUCCCUUCCUGGCCAUCUAUUACAAACCCCUCUGGUUGUUCCAUAUAAAUUUCCUCAUCCAAAUCUCCAUUUAGGAAAGCAGUCUUAACAUCCAUUUGAUGAACGAGAAGACCAUGUGAGGCAGCUAGUGAAAGUAGACCUCGAAUAGUGGUCAGUCGAGCCACAGGUGAGUAAGUAUCAAAGAAGUCUUCACCUUCCUUUUGGUUAUAACCCUUUGCCACGAGCCGAGCCUUGUACUUUUCAUUAGUACCAUCAGGCCUAAGUUUCUUCUUGAAUACCCAUUUGCAUCCUAUAGGUUUGCACCCAUAAGGACGAUCAGUUAUCUCCCAAGUUUCAUUCGCCAAGAUGGAAUCCAUCUCGCUACGAAUCGCUUCCUUCCAGUAGUCAGCAUCUUCCGAUGCAUAGGCAUCCGAAAUAGAACUGGGAGUGUCAUCUAUGAGAUACACAAGAAAAUCAUCACCAAAGGACUUUGCUGUCCUCUGUCUCUUGCUCCUAGUAGGAACUUCAUUGUUCUCCUCCGCAGGACUUUCAAAGUGUUCCAUCGAAAUGGCAGGUUCAGUAAUUGUAACUGGUUCCUGAUUCGAUGAACUAGGCAUCUCCUAAUUAGAUGAGGUAGCCAUAUCCUUCAUGGGAAUGAUAUCUUCAAAGAAAGUCGCAUCAUUCGACUCCAUGAUCGUACCGACAUGCAUGUCAGAUACCUCAGAUUUUACAACCAAGAAUCUAUAGCCAAUGCUGUGAAAAGCAUAUCCCAGGAAAACACAAUCCACAGUCUUUGGUCCAAGCUUCCGCUUCUUUGGAAUUGGAACAUUGACUUUCGCCAAGCAACCGCAUGUUCGCAGAUAAGAGAGUUUUAACCUUUUCUUCUCCCAUUCCUCGAAUGGAGUUAUCUCUUUGUUCUUUGUGGGGACUCGAUUUAGGACAUGACAUGCUGUCAAUAUCGCCUCCCCCCACCAUGCCUUGGAGAGACCCGAUGUGGCGUUAACCAAAUCAGUUAGAGUACGGUUCUUUCUUUCGGCCACCCCAUUUGACUGAGGUGAGUAGGGAGGCGUCCCCUCAUGGAUUAUACCAUGUUCUGCACAAAAAGCAUCAAAUUCAUUGGAAAAAUACUCUCCACCACGGUCAGACCUAAGCCUCUUGAUUUUUCGAUCAAGUUGGUUUUCCACUUCAGCUUUAUAGAUCUUGAAAAAGUUCAAAGCCUCAUCCUUACAUUUCAGAAGAUACACAUGGCAGUAUCUAGUGGAGUCAUUAAUUAACGUCAUGCAAUAUUUCUUUCCACCUUUUGUCAAAACACCAUUCAUUUCACAUAGAUCUGAAUGUAUAAGUUCUAGUGGUGCAAGAUUUCUCGUCUCCGUAGUCACGUGAGACUUACGAGGUUGCUUAGCUUGCACACACACUUGACACUUAGAUCCUUGACAGUGGUGAAACUAGGGAUUAAGUUCAACUUCGCUAGUCGCGACAUGCAACCAAAGUUAACAUGACAAAGACGUGAAUGCCACACAUUUGAUUCACUAUUGUUGCAAAUAUGAUUAACAACUUUAUUGCAAACGUCUGAUAAGGAUAAACGAAACAGGCCUCCUGACUCAUAGCCUUUACCAACAAAGGUCCCAUACUUGGAUAUUACAAAUUUAUUCGACUCAAAGACAAGCUUAUAGCCAUCUCUACACAGAAGAGAUCCGCUAACAAGAUUUUUAUUGACGGAGGGGACAUAAUGCACGUUCUUCAGCCGCACGAUCUUCCCUGAAGUAAACUUCAGAUCAACCAUGCCAACACCACGAACAGAAGCACUUGAACUGUUGCCCAUCAGCACGGUUGAAGUCCCUGCGGUCUGAUAAGAUGAAAACAUGGAAAUAUCACCGCAUACAUGCACAUUAGCACCCAUGUCAAUCAACCAACCAGGAGAAUGACAUACUGAAAGAAUAGUGGGAAAUAUACCAUACCCAGCAUCUUUCAUGUCAAUGUCUCCGAUGACAACAUUAGCGGUCUUGCCGCCUUUCCCAGGAUGACGCUUGUCAUAGCGAUUAGGACAACUAGGAGCCCAAUGAUCAGGAUCUCCAAACACAUGACAAGCACCUUUCUUAUUGUCAUUCUUCUUCUUGAAGUUCAUGUGCUGCACAGCCUUGUUCUUCCCAUCGAACUUUGCUUUACCAUCAAACUUGCCCUUGUUCUUGAACUUGUGGGACUGGAAGUUCUUCUUCUGUACCAGAUUGGCACUAGAUCCUCCCUCAAUACCUCGAGCACGUGUGUCCUUUGCUCUCGCCUUUUCUUCCACAUAAGAGUACCAAUGAGAUCCGGGAUGGAAAACUCCUGUCUCUUAUGCUUCAGUAAGGUAGCAAAGUUCCUCCAUGAAGGAGGAAGCUUAGUGAUGAUACCCCCGGCAACAAACUUGUCCGGUAAGAUACAAUUGAAGUGCUCAAGUUCUCUAGCAAAAGACUGUAUCUCAUGAGCCUGCUCAACCACGGAGCGCUCUUCAGUCAUCCUGUAAUCAUAGAAUUAUUCCAUGAUGUACAGCUCAGUGCCGGCAUCCGAGACCCCAAACUUGGCCUCGAGUGUGUCCCACAUAUCUUUUCAUUGUCAAUUGAAGCAUAAGCAUCAACUAUGUUCUCACCAAGAACACUCAAAAGAGCAGCCUUAAACAAGGUAUCCAUUUUCUGGAAAGCUUGUGCCUGUUGGGCAUCUUGCUCUCCUUCAGGUUUGCCAAGAGUGGCAUCAUAGAAACUCAUGGUUUGAAACCAUAAGACUGCUCUCACACGCCACUUCUUAUAGUGGAUACCCUCAAACAUAGGAGGUCUCAUGGAAGCAGCAAAAUCACUCGGGGUAAAUUGCCUAUAAUAAGGUUUUUGGAUUGUUGGAAAUAUGAGCAAUUUACCGAAUGAUUUUAUUAACAAAAAUACUAGAUAAAGCAUGACUAAAAUAGCAAAUAUAAAGCAAGUCAUGUAGUCUGACAGAGAGAAGGUAAACAUCGUCUGCAUAUAUGAACUUGAGCUAAACACAGCUAGAACAGACACUAGAUGAAGUUGCUUAUACGAAACAGAACCUAACAUACGUAGGGCAGAAACUAGAGCCAAGAACUAUAGCAGGACUUCUAACAGAAAGGAGAAGAACACGUACGGCACAGCAGCAGCAGAAGCGCUGGACUUGGGGUUGGUGUCCUCGCCUGCCAUGUCAUCGAGGAGGUCAUGGACGUCAGGGAAGAAGUCGUCGUCGGGGAAGUAGUCGUCGGCGACCGGAUCGUCUGUGAUGAAGCAGCCAGUAGUCGCACUAAGCGCUCCCCAAAAACCUUAUCACCCUUCUCCCGUACAGGACUCAAAAGGGGCGGUCGCGAAAGCCUACUGUCCCGACGUGCGGUGCACGCCACAAGUCGGGAUGAGGAAGACAGCAGCAGCUCAGAGAUGGAACCGAUGGCGAGGGAAGGAGCAGUUCUGGUGCGUCUCUCUGAGAGGAGCGACCUCCCUUUUAUAGGCGCAAGAGAAGGAGGCGAGAGGCUGCGCCGGGAGCUGAAGGGAAUGCGGGAGACGAAACGAACAGGCAGCAGCCGAAGGGGCGCGCCGUUCGGAUUCAGUGUCCAGGCACAGAAAAAAAAUGUUUCAGCUUCCGAGUGACCUUUCGUAUACCCGUAGUGCGUGGCAAAAAUUUAGACAUCGGCUCGGCUCAUUCCCGCAACCCGCGGCGCGGCGCAUCGUGAUGAGGCGUGGUGAGGCGGGCGGCGGAGGAGGAGCACGCGUGGAUGUCCCUCUUGUUCUCAUGCUCAUACAAGUGGGGAAGGAGCCUCCCUUAUAAAGAGGUCCAACUCCCUCUAAACUAGCAAGGUGGGACUAAACUUUAGUUCCACCUCUUGCCUUGCACGAAUGGGCUGCGUGGGCCUCUAGGAUUUAUUAGGAAUUUCUAAAAUUGCUAUUGGGCUAGGCCCAAAUAGACAAAAAUUCCAGCAAUCCCCCACCAGAUCCCAGAGGCACACAAAAUUUGCCUUUGGUUCCAAAACACUGUUUUAUAUACUGGUACAGCAGUGGAGACUGUUAAGUUGAACUUCCACCUAGAACCCUAUGCUACACUAGUAAGCAACUUGAACAGUGGACUGGGCCUUGAACUGCAAGUUUUCUGCAAAUCUAGCUUCACAUAAGGCCUUGACCGAUACGUGGCUACCGUGGGUCUUCCCCGUGGGUGGAGCUUAUGCGUCAUACUCCGUGACCUUUCAUUAGUUUACUAGAGAGAACCCUACUCUCAUAGAUUGCGACGUUUAACAAUCAGACUCAUAUAGGUGCGUUCUUCAAAAGAUGUUCUGCAGGACAACAUCUCUGCUUCAAAAAGCCACUUAGAACACAUUAAGAUAUAAAUCAACCUGCCAUGCAGAUUAGGAGAGUAUUGCAUCUUCAUGGAGUGGUAUUUUAACAGUAUGGAUACUCUCCUCUCAGUUGACCAACAACUUGUCUUCCACAUCUAAUUCACGGGAUCUCCGAUCAUAAAGAAUAGGUUACCACUAUGAACAACUCAUAUUGUGGGUCUCAUUCCCAUCUCCCUCGAUGCAUUAUCUAUCACAUUACGUGAUAGACCCUUAGUAAAAGGAUCUGCCAGAUUUUUAGACGUUUGGAUAUAAUCCAAUGCAAUAACUCUGGAGUUUUUCAUUUUUCUGACAGACUUUAACCUUCUCUGAACGUGUCUUGAUGACUUCAUGUUAUCCUUUGAGUUGCUCACUUUAGUGAUCACAGUUUGAUUGUCACAGUUCAUCCGGAUACCCGGUACAGGUUUCUCAACUACCGGUAAGUCAUUCAAGAGCCGACGAAGCCAAUCUGCUUCGACCGUACCUGUAUCUAGUGUUGUGAGUUCUGCUUCCAUUGUUGACCUCAUUAAGAUGGUCUGCUUGCAAGACUUCCAAGAAACAGCGCCACCUCCAUGAGUGAAUACAUAACCGCUCGUGGCCUUUAUCUCAUCAGCAUCUGAGAUCCAGUUUGAGUCACUAUACCCUUCAAGCACCUUUGGAUGCCAAGUGUAGUGAAUUCCAUAAUUUGCAGUGCCUUUUAAAUAACGCAAAACUCUCUCUAGAGCUUUCCAAUGCACAUCUCCUGGUUUUGAGACAAACCGGCUUAGUUAGCUAAUAGCAAAAGAGAUGUCAGGUCUCGUAGCACUGGCUAAGUACAUAAGCGAGCCAAUAAUCUGUGAAUAUUUCAAUUGGUCUCUAGUGAUUCUUCGAUUCUUUCGAAGCAACACACUAGCAUCAUAUGGUCUUGGAGAGGGCUUGCAGUCACUGUAGCCAAAGCGGCUCAAGAUCUUUUCCACAUAGUGAGAUUGAAGCAAUGUAAUCCCACCAUCAUCAUCUCUCAACAACUUGAUGUUCAGAAUGACAUCAGCCACUCCUAAAUCCUUCAUCUCAAAACAGCAAGAUAGGAAAUCCUUGACCUCCUUAAGAACAUUCAGAUUUGUUCCGAAAAUCAGUAUGUCAUCAACAUACAAGCAAAGCAUAACUCCCUUGCCCCCACCAUGGCGAUAGUACACACAUUUGUCAGCUUCGUUCACAACAAAGCCUGCAGCUAUUAAAGUUCUUUCGAACUUCUCAUGCCACUGUUUGGGUGCUUGCUUGAGUCCAUACAAAGACUUCAGCAACUUGCACACUUUCCCUUCCUGGCCAUCUAUUACAAACCCCUCUGGUUGUUCCAUAUAAAUUUCCUCAUCCAAAUCUCCAUUUAGGAAAGCAGUCUUAACAUCCAUUUGAUGAACGAGAAGACCAUGUGAGGCAGCUAGUGAAAGUAGACCUCGAAUAGUGGUCAGUCGAGCCACAGGUGAGUAAGUAUCAAAGAAAUCUUCACCUUCCUUUUGGUUAUAACCCUUUGCCACGAGCCGAGCCUUGUACUUUUCAUUAGUACCAUCAGGCCUAAGUUUCUUCUUGAAUACCCAUUUGCAUCCUAUAGGUUUGCACCCAUAAGGACGAUCAGUUAUCUCCCAAGUUUCAUUCGCCAAGAUGGAAUCCAUCUCGCUACGAAUCGCUUCCUUCCAGUAGUCAGCAUCUUCCGAUGCAUAGGCAUCCGAAAUAGAACUGGGAGUGUCAUCUAUGAGAUACACAAGAAAAUCAUCACCAAAGGACUUUGCUGUCCUCUGUCUCUUGCUCCUAGUAGGAACUUCAUUGUUCUCCUCCGCAGGACUUUCAAAGUGUUCCAUCGAAAUGGCAGGUUCAGUAAUUGUAACUGGUUCCUGAUUCGAUGAACUAGGCAUCUCCUAAUUAGAUGAGGUAGCCAUAUCCUUCAUGGGAAUGAUAUCUUCAAAGAAAGUCGCAUCAUUCGACUCCAUGAUCGUACCGACAUGCAUGUCAGAUACCUCAGAUUUUACAACCAAGAAUCUAUAGCCAAUGCUGUGAAAAGCAUAUCCCAGGAAAACACAAUCCACAGUCUUUGGUCCAAGCUUCCGCUUCUUUGGAAUUGGAACAUUGACUUUCGCCAAGCAACCCCAUGUUCGCAGAUAAGAGAGUUUUAACCUUUUCUUCUCCCAUUCCUCGAAUGGAGUUAUCUCUUUGUUCUUUGUGGGGACUCGAUUUAGGACAUGACAUGCUGUCAAUAUCGCCUCCCCCCACCAUGCCUUGGAGAGACCCGAUGUGGCGUUAACCAAAUCAGUUAGAGUACGGUUCUUUCUUUCGGCCACCCCAUUUGACUGAGGUGAGUAGGGAGGCGUCCUCUCAUGGAUUAUACCAUGUUCUGCACAAAAAGCAUCAAAUUCAUUGGAAAAAUACUCUCCACCACAGUCAGACCUAAGCCUCUUGAUUUUUCGAUCAAGUUGGUUUUCCACUUCAGCUUUAUAGAUCUUGAAAAAGUUCAAAGCCUCAUCCUUACAUUUCAGAAGAUACACAUGGCAGUAUCUAGUGGAGUCAUUAAUUAACGUCAUGCAAUAUUUCUUUCCACCUUUUGUCAAAACACCAUUCAUUUCACAUAGAUCUGAAUGUAUAAGUUCUAGUGGUGCAAGAUUUCUCGUCUCCGCAGUCACGUGAGACUUACGAGGUUGCUUAGCUUGCACACACACUUGACACUUAGAUCCUUGACAGUGGUGAAACCAGGGAUUAAGUUCAACUUCGCUAGUCGCGACAUGCAACCAAAGUUAACAUGACAAAGACGUGAAUGCCACACAUUUGAUUCACUAUUGUUGCAAAUAUGAUUAACAACUUUAUUGCAAACGUCUGAUAAGGAUAAACGAAACAGGCCUCCUGACUCAUAGCCUUUACCAACAAAGGUCCCAUACUUGGAUAUUACAAAUUUAUUCGACUCAAAGACAAGCUUAUAGCCAUCUCUACACAGAAGAGAUCCGCUAACAAGAUUUUUAUUGACGGAGGGGACAUAAUGCAUGUUCUUCAGCCGCACGAUCUUCCCUGAAGUAAACUUCAGAUCAACCAUGCCAACACCACGAACAGAAGCACUUGAACUGUUGCCCAUCAGCACGGUUGAAGUCCCUGCGGUCUGAUAAGAUGAAAACAUGGAAAUAUCACCGCAUACAUGCACAUUAGCACCCAUGUCAAUCAACCAACCAGGAGAAUGACAUACUGAAAGAAUAGUGGGAAAUAUACCAUACCCAGCAUCUUUCAUGUCAAUGUGUCCGAUGACAACAUUAGCGGUCUUGCCGCCUUUCCCAGGAUGACGCUUGUCAUAGCGAUUAGGACAACUAGGAGCCCAAUGAUCAGGAUCUCCAAACACAUGACAAGCACCUUUCUUCUUGUCAUUCUUCUUCUUGAAGUUCAUGUGCUGCACAGCCUUGUUCUUCCCAUCGAACUUUGCUUUACCAUCAAACUUGCCCUUGUUCUUGAACUUGUGGGACUGAAAGUUCUUCUUCUGUACCAGAUUGGCACUAGAUCCUCCCUCAAUACCUCGGGCACGUGUGUCCUUUGCUCUCGCCUUUUCUUCCACAUAAGAGUACCAAUGAGAUCCGGGACGGAAAACUCCUGUCUCUUAUGCUUCAGUAAGGUAGCAAAGUUCCUCCAUGAAGGAGGAAGCUUAGUGAUGAUACCCCCGGCAACAAACUUGUCCGGUAAGAUACAAUUGAAGUUCUCAAGUUCUCUAGCAAAAGACUGUAUCUCAUGAGCCUGCUCAACCAUGGAGCGCUCUUCAGUCAUCCUGUAAUCAUAGAAUUAUUCCAUGAUGUACAGCUCAGUGCCGGCAUCCGAGACCCCAAACUUGGCCUCGAGUGUGUCCCACAUAUCUUUUCAUUGUCAAUUGACGCAUAAGCAUCAACUAUGUUCUCACCAAGAACACUCAAAAGAGCAGCCUUAAACAAGGUAUCCAUUUUCUGGAAAUCUUGUGCCUGUUGGGCAUCUUGCUCUCCUUCAGGUUUGCCAAGAGUGGCGUCAUAGAAACUCAUGGUUUGAAACCAUAAGACUGCUCUCACACGCCACCUCUUAUAGUGAAUACCCUCAAACAUAGGAGGUCUCAUGGAAGCAGCAAAAUCACUCAGGGUAAAUUGCCUAUAAUAAGGUUUUUGGAUUGUUGGAAAUAUGAGCAAUUUACCGAAUGAUUUUAUUAACAAAAAUACUAGAUAAAGCAUGACUAAAAUAGCAAAUAUAAAGCAAGUCAUGCAGUCUGAGAGAUAGAAGGUAAACAUCGUCUGCAUAUAUGAACUUGAGCUAAACACAUCUAGAACAGACACUAGAUGAAGUUGCUUAUACGAAACAGAACCUAACAUACGUAGGGCAAAAUCUAGAGCCAAGAACUGUAGCAGGACUUCUAACAGAAAGGAGAAGAACACGUACGGCACAGCAGCAGCAGAAGCGCUGGACUUGGGUUGCUGUCCUCGCCUGCCAUGUCAUCGAGGAGGUCAUGGACGUCAGGGAAGAAGUCGUCGUCGGCGGGGAAGUAGUCGUCGGCGACCGGAUCGUCUGUGAUGAAGCAGCCAGUAGUCGCACUGAGCACUCCCCAAAAACCUUAUCACCCUUCUCUCGUACAAGACUCAAAAGGUGCGGUCGCGAAAGCCUACUGUCCCGACGUGCGGUGCACGCCGCAAGUCGGGAUGAGGAAGACAGCAGCAGCUCAGAGAUGGAACCGAUGGCGAGGGAAGGAGCAGUUCUGGUGCGUCUCUCUGAGAGGAGCGACCUCCCUUUUAUAGGCGCAAGAGAAGGAGGCGAGAGGCUGCGCCGAGAGCUGAAGGGAAUGCGGGAGACGAAACGAACAGGCAGCAGCCGAAGGGGCGCACCAUUCGGAUUCAGUGUCCAGGCACAGAAAAAAAAUGUUUCAGCUUUCGAGUGACCUUUCGUAUACCCGUAGUGCGUGGCAAAAAUUUAGACAUCGGCUCGGCUCAUUCCCGCAACCCGCGGCGCGGCGCAUCGUGACGAGGCGUGGUGAGGCAGGCGGCGGAGGAGGAGCGCACGUGGAUGUCCCUCUUGUUCUCAUGCUCAUACAAGUGGGGAAGGAGCCUCCCUUAUAAAGAGGUCCAACUCCCUCUAAACUAGCAAGGUGGGACUAAACUUUAGUUCCACCUCUUGCCUUGCACGAAUGGGCUGCAUGGGCCUCUAGGAUUUAUUAGGAAUUUCUAAAAUUGCUAUUGGGCUAGGCCCAAAUAGACAAAAAUUCCAGCAAUCCCCCACCAGAUCCCAGAGGCACAAAAAAUUUGCCUUUGGUUCCAAAACACUGUUUUAUAUACUGGUACAGCAGUGGAGACUGUUAAGUUGAACUUCCACCUAGAACCCUAUGCUACACUAGUAAGCAACUUGAACAGUGGACUGGGCCUUGAACUGCAAGUUUUCUGCAAAUCUAGCUUCACAUAAAGCCUUGACCGAUACGUGGCUACCGUGGGUCUUCCCCGCGGGUGGAGCUUAUGCGUCAUACUCCAUGACCUUUCAUUAGUUUACUAGAGAGAACCCUACUCUCAUAGAUUGCGACGUUUAACAAUCAGACUCAUAUAGGUGCGUUCUUCAAAAGAUGUUCUGCAGGACAACAUCUCUGCUUCAAAAAGCCACUUAGAACACAUUAAGAUAUAAAUCAACCUGCCAUGCAGAUUAGGAGAGUAUUGCAUCUUCAUGGAGUGGUAUUUUAACAGUAUGGAUACUCUCCUCUCAGUUGACUAACAGCUUGUCUUCCACAUCUAAUUCACGGGAUCUCCGAUCAUAAAGAAUAGAUUACCACUGUGAACAACUCAUAUUGUGGGUCUCAUUCCCAUCUCCCUCGAUGCAUUAUCUAUCACAUUACGUGAUAGACCCUUAGUAAAAGGAUCUGCCAGAUUUUUAGACGUUUGGAUAUGAUCCAAUGCAAUAACUCUGGAGUUUUUCAUUUUUCUGACAGACUAACCUUCUCUGAACGUGUCUUGAUGACUUCAUGUUAUCCUUUGAGUUGCUCACUUUAGUGAUCACAGUUUGAUUGUCACAGUUCAUCCGGAUACCCGAUACAGGUUUCUCAACUACCGGUAAGUCAUUCAAGAGCAGACGAAGCCAAUCCGCUUCAACCGUACAUGUAUCUAGUGUUGUGAGUUCUACUUCCAUUGUUGACCUCGUUAGAUGGUCUGCUUGCAAGACUUCCAAGAAACAGCGCCACCUCCAUGAGUGAAUACAUAACCGCUCGUGGCCUUUAUCUCAUCAACAUCUGAGAUCCAGUUUGAGUUACUAUACCCUUCAAGCACCUUUGGAUGCCCAGUGUAGUGAAUUCCAUAAUUUGCAGUGCCUUUCAAAUAACGCAAAACUCUCUCUAGAGCUUUCCAAUGCACAUCUCCUGGUUUUGAGACAAACCGGCUUAGUUAGCUAACAGCAAAAGAGAUGUCAGGUCUCAUAGCACUGGCUAAGUACAUAAGCGAGCCAAUAAUCUGUGAAUAUUUCAAUUGGUCUCUAGCGAUUCUUCGAUUCUUUCGAAGCAACACACUAGCAUCAUAUGGUGUUGGAGAGGGCUUGCAGUCACUAUAGCCAAAGCGGCUCAAGAUCUUUUCCACAUAGUGAGAUUGAAGCAAUGUAAUCCCACCAUCAUCAUCUCUCAACAACUUGAUGUUCAGAAUGAGAUCAGCCACUCCUAAAUCCUUCAUCUCAAAACAGCAAGAUAGGAAAUCCUUGACCUCCUUAAGAACAUUCAGAUUUGUUCCGAAAAUCAGUAUGUCAUCAACAUACAAGCAAAGCAUAACUCCCUCGCCCCCACCAUGGCGAUAGUACACACAUUUGUCAGCUUCGUUCACAACAAAGCCUGCAGCUAUUAAAGUUCUUUCGAACUUCUCAUGCCACUGUUUGGGUGCUUGCUUGAGUCCAUACAAAGACUUCAGCAACUUGCACACUUUCCCUUCCUGGCCAUCUAUUACAAACCCCUCUGGUUGUUCCAUAUAAAUUUCCUCAUCCAAAUCUCCAUUUAGGAAAGCAGUCUUAACAUCCAUUUGAUGAACGAGAAGACCAUGUGAGGUAGCUAGUGAAAGUAGACCUCGAAUAGUGGUCAGUCGAGCCACAGGUGAGUAAGUAUCAAAGAAGUCUUCACCUUCCUUUUGGGUAUAACCCUUUUCCAUGAGCCAAGCCUUGUACUUUUCAUUAGUACCAUCAGGCCUAAGUUUCUUCUUGAAUACCCAUUUGCAUCCUAUAGGUUUGCACCCAUAAGGACGAUCAGUUAUCUCCCAAGUUUCAUUCGCCAAGAUGGAGUCCAUCUCGCUACGAAUCGCUUCCUUCCAGUAGUCAGCAUCUUCCGAUGCAUAGGCAUCCGAAAUAGAACUGGGAGUGUCAUCUAUGAGAUACACAAGAAAAUCAUCAGCAAAGGACUUUGCUGUCCUCUGUCUCUUGCUCCUAGUAGGAACUUCAUUGUUCUCCUCCGCAGGACUUUCAAAGUGUUCCAUCGAAAUGGCAGGUUCAGUAAUUGUAACUGGUUCCUGAUUCGAUGAACUAGGCAUCUCCUAAUUAGAUGAGGUAGCCAUAUCCUUCAUGGGAAUGAUAUCUUCAAAGAAAGUCGCAUCAUUCGACUCCAUGAUCGUACCGACAUGCAUGUCAGAUACCUCAGAUUUUACAACCAAGAAUCUAUAGCCAAUGCUGUGAAAAGCAUAUCCCAGGAAAACACAAUCAACAGUCUUUGGUCCAAGCUUCCGCUUCUUUGGAAUUGGAACAUUGACUUUCGCCAAGCAACCCCAUGUUCGCAGAUAAGAGAGUUUUAACCUUUUCUUCUCCCAUUCCUCGAAUGGAGUUAUCUCUUUGUUCUUUGUGGGGACUCGAUUUAGGACAUGACAUGCUGUCAAUAUCGCCUCCCCCCACCAUGCCUUGGAGAGACCCGAUGUGGCGUUAACCAAAUCAGUUAGAGUACGGUUCUUUCUUUCGGCCACCCCAUUUGACUGAGGUGAGUAGGGAUGCGUCCUCUCAUGGAUUAUACCUUGUUCUGCACAAAAAGCAUCAAAUUCAUUGGAAAAAUACUCUCCACCACGGUCAGACCUAAGCCUCUUGAUUUUUCGAUCAAGUUGGUUUUCCACUUCAGCUUUAUAGAUCUUGAAAAAGUUCAAAUCCUCAUCCUUACAUUUCAGAAGAUACACAUGGCAGUAUCUAGUGGAGUCGUUAAUUAACGUCAUGAAAUAUUUCUUUCCACGUUUUGUCAAAACACCAUUCAUUUCACAUAGAUCUGAAUGUAUAAGUUCUAGUGGUGCAAGAUUUCUCGUCUCCGCAGUCAUGUGAGACUUACGAGGUUGCUUAGCUUGCACACACACUUGACACUUAGAUCCCUUGACAGUGGUGAAACUAGGGAUUAAGUUCAACUUCGCUAGCCGCGACAUGCAACCAAAGUUAACAUGACAAAGACGUGAAUGCCACACAUUUGAUUCACUAUUGUUGCAAAUAUGAUUAACAACUUUAUUGCAAAUGUCUGAUAAGGAUAAACGAAACAGGCUUCCUGACUCAUAGCCUUUGCCAACAAAAGUUCCAUACUGGGAUAUUACAAAUUUAUUCGACUCAAAUACAAGCUUAUAGCCAUCUCUACACAGAAGAGAUCCGCUAACAAGAUUGUUAUUGACGGAGGGGACAUAAUGCACGUUCUUCAGCCGCACGAUCUUCCCCGAAGUAAACUUCAGAUCGACCAUGCCAACACCACGAACAGAAGCACUUGAACCGUUGCCCAUCAGCACGGUUGAAGUCCCUGCGGUCUGAUCAGAUGAAAACAUGGAAAUAUCACUGCAUACAUGCACAUUAGCACCCAUGUCAAUCAACCAAUCAGGAGAAUGACAUACUGAAAGAAUAGUGGGAAAUAUACCAUACCCAGCAUCUUUCAUGUCAAUGUCUCCGAUGACAACAUUAGCGGUCUUGCCGCCUUUCCCAGGAUGACGCUUGUCAUAGAGAUUAGGACAAAUAGGAGCCCAAUGAUCAGGCUCUCCACACACAUGACAAGCACCUUUCUUCUUGUCAUUCUUCUUCUUGAAGUUCGUGUGCUGCACAGCCUUGUUCUUCCCAUCGAACUUUGCUUUACCAUCAAACUUGCCCUUGUUCUAGAACUUGUGGGACUGGAAGUUCUUCUUCUGUACUAGAUUGGCACUAGAUCCUCCCUCAAUACCUCGAGCACGUGUGUCCUUUGCUCUCGCCUUUUCUUCCACAUCAAGAGUACCAAUGAGUUCCGGGACGGAAAACUCCUGUCUCUUAUGCUUCAGUAAGGUAGCAAAGUUCCUCCACGAAGGAGGAAGCUUAGUGAUGAUACCCCCGGCAACAAACUUGUCCGGUAAGAUACAAUUGAAGUGCUCAAGUUCUCUAGCAAAGGACUGUAUCUCAUGAUCCUGCUCAACCACGGAGCGCUCUUCAGUCAUCAUGUAAUCAUAGAAUUGCUCCAUGAUGUACAAUUCAGUGCCGGCAUCCGAGACCCCAAACUUGGCCUCAAGUGCGUCCCACAUAUCUUUUCUAUUGUCAAUUGACGCAUAAGCAUCAACUAUGUUCUCACCAAGAACACUCAAAAGAGCAGCCUUAAACAAGGUAUCCAUUUUCAGAAAAGCUUGUGCCUGUUGGGCAUCUUGCUCUCCUUCAGGUUUGCCAAGAGUGGCGUCAUAGCAACUCAUGGUUUGAAACCAUAAGACUGCUCUCACGCGCCACCUCUUAUAGUGGAUACCCUCAAACAUACGAGCUCUCAUGGAAGCAGCAAAACCACUCGGGGUAAAUUGCCUAUAAUAAGGUUUUUGGAUUGUUGGAAAUAUGAGCAAUUUACCGAAUGAUUUUAUUAACAAAAAUACUAGAUAAAGCAUGACUAAAAUAGCAAAUAUAAAACAAGUCAUGCAGUCUGACAGAGAGAAGGUAAACAUCGUCUGCAUAUAUGAACUUGAGCUAAACACAUCUAGAACAUACACUAGAUGAAGUUGCUUAUACGAAACAGAACCUAACAUACGUAGGGCAGAAACUAGAGCCAAGAACUGUAGCAGGACUUCUAACAGAAAGGAGAAGAACACGUACGGCAUAGCAGCAGCAGAAGCGCUGGACUUCGGGUCGGUGUCCUCGCCUGCCAUGUCGUCGAGGAGGUCGUGGACGUCGGGGAAGAAGUCGUCGUCGGGGAAGUAGUCGUCGGCGACCGGAUCGUCCGUGAUGAAGCAGCCAGUAGUCGCGCUGAGCGCUCCCCAAAAACCUUAUCACCCUUCUCCCGUACAGGACUCAAAAGGUGCGGUCUCGGAGGCCUACUAUCCCGACGUGCGGUGCACGCCGCAAGUCGGGAUGAGGAAGACAGCAGCAGCUCAGAGAUGGAACCGAUGGCGAGGGAAGGAGCAGUUCUGGUGCGUCUCUCUGAGAGGAGCGACCUCCCUUUUAUAGGCGCAAGAGAAGGAGGCGAGAGGCUGCGCCGGGAGCUGAAGGGAAUGCGGGAGACGAAACGAACAUGCAGCAGCCGAAGGGGCGCGCCUUCGGAUUCAGUGUCCAGGCACAGAAAAAAAUGUUUCAGCUUCCGAGUGACCUUUCGUAUACCCGUAGUGCGUGGCAAAAAUUUAGACAUCGGCUCGGCUCAUUCCCGCAACCCGCGGCGCGGCAUGACGAGGCGUGGUGAGGCGGGCGGCGGAGGAGGAGCGCGCGUGGAUGUCCCUCUUGUUCUCAUGCUCAUACAAGUGGAGAAGGAGCCUCCCUUAUAAAGAGGUCCAACUCCCUCUAAACUAGCAAGGUGGGACUAAACUUUAGUUCCACCUCUUGCCUUGCACGAAUGGGCUGCGUGGUCCUCUAGGAUUUAUUAGGAAUUUCUGAAACUGCUAUUGUGCUAGGCCCAAAUAGACAAAAAUUCCAGCAGUUUGUGUUCUUCAGGUCUCCACUUGCCAUGAUAUUGCGGCUGGGCUUCGGGUAUGUGUUACCACUGAUACAUCAUUCCAAACUACUAAUGAAUUGGUCUCUGAUGUCUUCUUCUCAAUUUUAACUAGGGCCUGCUUCUGUUUGCACCAAUUCGAGAUAGUGGUUGUGGAAUGCAGCAGCCAAGACAACAAGGUCAGGCUCGGCUUAGGUAUGAUGACAAACAAAAUUAGAUUCGGAUGGUUCCUUACAUCUUCCUCUCAGAAUCAAGAGUGAUAAUACUUUUUUGGUGCUCCGGCUUCUGCAGUUUCUGAAGAACUGAUUCGUUGUUCAGGCAUUUCAUGCAUUUGGAGUUCACAGGUAUCUAAGUUUCUCUGACUGUGUUUUCAAAUAAUUGAUACUUGACAUUAGGAUUUUUGGCUGAACAAAUCAUCUUAGACAUAAGUAGAACCCGGCAAAUUGUGAGACAGAGCUAAUUGAUACACAGUUUAGAAAAUAGAACUGAACAAUUCUUGGUAGUCACUAUUGAUUAGCUAUGUGCGUACCUUAAGUUCCUUACUACUUAUUUUAAUUGUUAGUACUUGAAGGUUUGAAUAAUUAUUAUUACCAAGUUACAUGUUGAUCACUACUUAUUAUGAAAAUGUAUGUCCAUGGUUUAAAGGAGCUUUAUUGUUUCAGUCUAUACUAAGUUAUUUGUCGGUUAUACUGGAGCUUAUAUUGUUCCCUCUUUGAUCUAGACAUCAAAUAUUCUAAGCUUCAUUUUUGUGAGCAAACGGUUCUAUGCUUCCUUUUUGUGAACAUUGCUCCAUAAAUAGUAGUGGCAUUUACUAUGCAGAUGAUACUGACAAAUUAUCAUACAAGUCCGCAUUAAUAUUCAGUCAGUAGGUUAUUGAAGAAGGCCGGAGAUCGCGUGGAGCACCAACAAUAACCUCAAGUAGAUGCAGCAGAGACAUGUGAUGAACUAUCAUAUGUUUCCUAAUCUGAAUGUUUGCUCCAAUCGCUUGAUUGUUUGAUCUGGUUUGUUGUGACAAUACAAUGAUUUUCUAUGUUCUUUUUGUGGUGCAAUCUCCGUUGAUUUGGAAAGAUGGGGACUUUCUGUUGAGCUAUUUCGAUCGGCCAUUGGCCAUAACAUUCCAAAUUCCUUAUUUUGUUUCCUCUUUUUCGCGGCUUCAUUUUACGUGUCUCACUAAAGGUGGGCAUGACUUGAAAAGGGAGGCAAACAAAACUGCCAAGAUGCAUCUCUUUUGCAGCAGAAGAAGAGGCACUGAUGAGAGGUGGAAAAGGAGGGGCAAAGAAGGAAGCCAUGGGCAUGUGCCGCCUACCGACCAUGAAUAUCAACAAUGACAAUGACGACUAGCUUGUGUGCGUGUGAGAGAGGGAGGGAGAGGGAGUCAAAACAAAAUGAUGUAUAUCUUUACUACAUUAUAAAAUGGGAUUUGGUGAGCUAUUUGUCCUUUAUGAUUCAUGAGAUUUUAAUUCUAUAGUGUUUUUUGCUCUUAAUAUAUUAUUGUGGUUAUAGAUUUAUCAUUGACACAAUAUAUGUAGAAACUUUUUUGAUCUAAAUAAGAAGAACAAAAGUUUACGGGAUGCUUUUUGAUCGUUCCCUUUACCUAGCUUCCAAUUUCUAUUGUCAGAAACACAUUUUUUUUGUUCCUAUAGGAAACAUAUGCAAAUAAAAGAUUUGCCGAAGCUUUUUGAGUCCCUGAUGCAUACUAAAUACAGUCCUAGAACAAUAUGCUUAUGCAUAAUAACAAGCUGGAAAAUUGCUCCAAAAUAACACUUAAAACAUAUAAAAGAACAAAAAAAUCCAUUCUGAAUUCUAAAAUGAUCUUUCAAUGUAUGCAGCAAACUGCUUCCUUUAUAAUCUGACAAAACUCGCAGGACUUAUCAUGACGCAUGAAAGGAUAUAGUAAACCAUCACACCGAAGCCGAGGUUGGCUUUGUUUCCUUAUUUUUGCGAGAAGGUGUCAUAGUUCUACUAUUUUGAUUAGCCAUCUAGAGGGAUGACAGUGCAUGCAAUCAUUUAAAUAAAAUAAUACAAAGAUGCUGCAUGAGUCAUCAAUUCAAACAAGAACUUGUUUCAUGUGAUUUUUUGUGUAAAGUGGAAACAAAUUAUUUUUAUAACAACUAAUUCGACAACACAAGUGCUACACCGUGAUCAGUAUAUGCAUAUGAUACGAUCUAGCUAUUUUCCUUUGCACGGGUGGUUUUUAUCAUGAGGUAGGAGGGUUCGUACAAGUCGACUAUCAGCUCUCAUGCAAUGCUUUAAAAAGAAAAACGAGAGGAAUUUGUGAAUUUUUGUAUAACAUUGCAAAUUAUAUGAAAAAACUUUUUAAUUUGUCAGAACUUUUAGGAGGGAGUGAGUGGCAAAUGUUGGAAGACAUUCAAAGUUAGGAUGAUGGGAAUGCCUAUGGCAAUUUGGAGAACUUGGAGAAAACAUAUGCGAACUUGAGCUAGGUAGCAAUGUAGAGCUUAAUUAAGCUAAAUGGUUCAUAUUCAUUUGUUAGUCCAUGAGUUCGAGAUGAUGGACUCAACAAUUGGAUAGAUUUGGAGGGAACACGAAUUUGGAGUAGUGUGACAACAUAGCGAAGUAAUGACACAAUGGUCGAAGGGCUGAAGUUGAGGGGCUUGUGAUAGAUCCAUUUGUUGGCCCGUGGCUGCGCACGGGCGUUCUACUAGUAAUCAUUGGUGGCUUCUUUGACCACCAGACGGCUUAUUGACUUCUUCCACUCGAGGAUCACCGUGGAGCAAUCCUUCUUCCCCUUCCUACAGAAGCACGCCAACCACAAACAAAUGCUCAAAAAGACCUUAGCAAAUGCCAUUGAACUAGAUUGUAGGCAAGAGGAAUCUUAUUAGUUGGUAGAUGUAGAUGUCGAGGCCUCAUCAUUGCUUGCCAGAGGCCUCAUGUGUAUGUCGUGCGUCCCACCAGAGGCCUCUUUUAAUUAGAGGAAGGGCGGUGCGGAGAAGACAUCAUUAGUCACCCUGGGAGAAGAAAGUUCGGUGGCGGUGCGUGUAAAGAGGAGACUUUGGUAGUUUCUGGUGGAGUUGUGGUAGCCGUAGGGACGACGAGAGUGAGAGAGGACUGGGGACGGAGGAGAGGUGAUGGAUGGAAAAAAAUUGGGUGAUUGAGGACGAAAACCAAGAUGAAAANNNNNNNNNNNNNNNNNNNNNNNNNNNNNNNNNNNNNNNNNNNNNNNNNNNNNNNNNNNNNNNNNNNNNNNNNNNNNNNNNNNNNNNNNNNNNNNNNNNNNNNNNNNNNNNNNNNNNNNNNNNNNNNNNNNNNNNNNNNNNNNNNNNNNNNNNNNNNNNNNNNNNNNNNNNNNNNNNNNNNNNNNNNNNNNNNNNNNNNNNNNNNNNNNNNNNNNNNNACUAGAUGUCUCUGUAGUGAAGUAAUAUGAGCAUAACUUAAUUGAUCAGUGUAAAACUUUGAAUUGGUUAAGUAUACUACACUAAAGUAAGUUGUAAAGCCUAAUUGCAAUUAUAUCUUUGAGGGCAAUGCUUAUGAGUUGCGUGACAAUCUUGUCUGUUCUGGAUCUUGCAUCUGAUUCUAAUUAAACAGUACAUGUUAGAUGUUUUUAAUGAGGUCCACGUUAGAUUUGAUUGUUAAUUUAUAGUGCGGGUGAAAGCGGAUUCUAUCCUUUUCGUCUGCCAUUUUUCCUUUCAUAAAAUGUGUCCAUGGAGUAAUUCUCCACAAAAACAAACUUAACUGGACAAAAUAUCCACGGCAAGUCGCAUAUCUUGUGCAACUGUUCACUGUUGAAAGCUUAUUGUGCCACUACCCAUCAUUGCAAGGAAAAAAUACAGAAGAUUUAUGUUCUACCAAAUACAUUCUUUUGUUCAGAUUUAGCCAGGUAUGAUCCUGGUUGCGUCAGCCAUUAGAGUACAUUGCGAUCGACUAGACAGUUUCAGUGCUCAUCUUGCCUACUUUUGCAGCACUAGAUUUGCGAUCAGGUAGAUAAACACAACAACAAAGGAGACGACAGAUGCCAGCGGCCCAUAUUUCCCAAGAAUUCUCUGUGGGUUAAUUCCAUAAUACGGAUUGAAUUCUCUACUGGCACGGAAUCCAGCAACAAGGGCCACACCAUGCUGACACUAGCAGCUAUGUGUUGCUCCCGUGGGCAAGACCUGCCCAAGGAGGAUAGGUAAGAGAAAUGGCUGAAGACACACCAACACCUGGCAACAUGUAGGUUCAUAUUUCACCCCCACCCUUGGAUAAAACCGUGAAUCAUUUGAAACAUAUUAAAACUUGAGUGCAUUUUUUAUUUUGGAGAAAUAUAUAUGCUCACAAGAGCUUAGGAGUCACACGUCGGUUCUAGGUAAUUAAACAAACAAGAACAUUCACUUGUUGAGAAAUUUUACCACCUCUUCUUGCUUCUUUUAUGACACUAGAACUUGACGGGCUUUGGGUCACCUCCUUUUCGGUUUAUAAGGCUUGCGCGUAUCUCUAGGUUGACAAAUAGACCAACUUAAUACAAGUUGUAUAUCACAAAAAAUAUAUAAUUAGGAACUUCAAAUCGUAUACUUUCUAAUGGUAUAAUUUUUAGACUAUACAACUCAUGUUAUGUUGGUCAAGUUAUAGAUCCAGGGAUAUGUACAAGCCUUAUAAACCGGAAAGGAGGUAUGUUAGUAGAUAAACAUGCCAAUUAAGGACUUCUUGACAAGUCUAUGCAGAUUAAAGGUAUGUUAGUAGAUGGUGUAAUAAAUACAUGCUUUUAGCUAUCUAAGGAUACAAAUAUGCCACUAUUUACUUUGUAAAUGCUCGAAAUCAUUCUCAGAAAUUUUAGUAACAACAGUUGUCAUGAACAACUUGGACUAAAUGCAUCAAAUGUUACAAAUAAUACAUAAAAACAUUCAAAUGUACUUAGAGUGAAUCAAUUAAGACGUGUAAAGCUAGUACUAAUCCAAUAUUUCUUAAUGACUUGCAUAUACUUACAACACUUGACGUAAAGAGUGAAUCAAUUAAGACGUGCAAAGCCAGUACUAAUCCAAUUUUAUUAAUAGCUUCCACAAAAUUACAACACGUGGCGUAAAAAGGGAAUAUGAUGAGUCAUGUAUUGAUAACGUGUACAACAUUACUACCCUUGACAUAAAAAGAGAAGUUGAUGAGUCAUGUCUUAAUAACGUGUACAACAUUACUAUCAGCUUGUUCAUCUUACCAUCAUACUAUACAACACUAUAAGUUAGUUUAAAAAAGAAUAAGAGUCCAGAACAAACAUCACAAUACUAGCCUGAUCUAUAUUAACAACAUGCACAAGGACACAAAUUUAGUUCCCCGCAAGCUAUGAAGAUUUGGUUUAUGUCUAACAACUUGUACAAUAUGACAAACUUAGAUCCAAAAGGAAUGCAAACCAGAUAAUUGUAAUGCAAUCCAGAUAAUUAUUUGACAUGCAAAGUGAAUAAGAUGAGUCACUACCAAUUAUCAAGUUUUCCUCACUCUUAGAUGAUAUGAACCAUAAAAAGGCAACUUUGAUGAUCACUCCAUAAUUACGUUUGUAUGUAGUGCCACCAAACACAACACACAAAAUAAUUAGUUCGAUAAGCAUCGAAUCACUUUAAAAAGGAAAGCAAAAAUGGAAAGAAACCUAACCAUGGGAGCUAUAAAAAGGCCUGCAAUAUGUAGACUCCAUACCAUCAUCCAUCCUUCACACAACUAGAGCACAAGUAUCAAAUCCAAGUACGUAGUGGUUAACGCAAAUUAACCAUGAAGACCUUACUCAUCCUAACAAUCCUUGUGAUGGCAGUAACCAUCGGCACCGCCAAUAUGCAGGUCGACCCUAGCGGCCAAGUACAAUGGCCACAACAACAACCAGUCCUGCUGCCUCAGCAACCAUUCUCCCAGCAACCACAACAAACAUUUCCCCAACCCCAACAAACAUUCCCCCAUCAACCACAACAACAAUUUCCCCAGCCUCAACAACCACAACAACAAUUUCUCCAGCCACAACAACCAUUCCCCCAACAACCACAACAACCAUAUCCCCAGCAACCACAACAACCAUUCCCCCAGACUCAACAACCCCAACAACUAUUUCCCCAGUCCCAGCAACCACAACAACCAUAUCCCCAGCAACCACAACAACCAUUCCCCCAGACUCAACAACCCCAACAACAAUUUCCCCAAUCCCAGCAACCACAAUAACCAUUUCCCCAACCCCAACAACCGCAACAAUCAUUCCCCCAGCAACAACCAUCGUUCAUUCAGCCAUCUCUACAACAACAGCUGAACCCAUGCAAGAAUUUACUCUUGCAGCAAUGCAGACCUGUGUCAUUGGUCUCAUCCCUCUGGUCAAUGAUCUGGCCACAAAGCGCUUGCCAAGUGAUGAGGCAACAAUGCUGCCAACAACUAGCACAGAUUCCUCAGCAGCUCCAGUGUGCAGCCAUCCAUAGCGUCGUGCAUUCCAUCAGCAUGUAGCAAGAACAACAACAACAACAACAACAACAACAACAACAACAACAACAACAACAACAACAACAACAACAACAACAACAACAACAACAACAACAACAACAAGGCAUGCGUAUCCUGCUGCCACUAUAUCAGCAACAACAGGUGGGUCAAGGUACUCUCGUCCAGGGCCAGGGCAUCAUCCAACCCCAACAACCAGCUCAAUUGGAGGCGAUCAGGUCAUUGGUGUUGCAAACUCUUCCAACCAUGUGCAACGUGUAUGUCCCACCUGAGUGCUCUAUCAUCAAGGCACCAUUUGCCAGCAUAGUCACCGGAAUUGGUGGCCAAUGAAAAACGCAAGAGCCAUACUAAUAGGUAGAUGGAUCAUCGUUGCUUAGCUGAUUUACCAAUCGAUGUAACGAUGCCAAAUAAACUGGUGUGCACCAUCAUGUGUCAUCCUGACCAGUGCUAGUUCAAGAUUGGGAAUAAAAGAGAAGAACGUUCAUGUUUGCCAACAUUGCUUGUCAUUGUUCCAUUCACUGUGUAUUUAUAUUUUCAUCCUGAACUGCAAUUCUAGUCUUACACAUCAAUAGCUAGUUGCUCAUGUCGGCAGGUUCCUAUGUAAUCUAAUGAUUAAUGGUCGACCUAUUAAUCUAGUUUAUCGGCCGAUUGAUCUAUUAAUUGGUGCUCCCAAGCCGACCGAGCAGCCAUCAGUUACCGAUUUCCUGAACAUUGCACACAAUAAUAAUUCAACGUAUUUCAAUGUCUAGAAGUAAAAGGGCCAUAUAAGCAGUAAAACAAGCGCCUGAUUAGAAACCAUCCAUCACUUUAAAUUAAUCUAGAUAUUUUUGUGUUGGUGCAAUUUUGAGUUGAUGGCACCGACACAUUCUUGAAAGAAAUUCUACAGGGAACUCCAAAGAGGUGAAAAUCAAACUAAAGUUGCCACAUGGUAAAAGAUAAAUCAUGCGGCAAGCAAGAGGAAAUAUUGAGUCACAAUAGCUAGCGCCAAACAUGUAAUUAAACUAUUCUUAUGGUUUCUUGCAAAGAGGGAAGUAAUUUACAGAUGACAAACAAAACGUAAUUAGCAUUAGUUCUAAUUGAUUGUAGAAAUUUCUUUUAUCGGUAGAAUAACUCAGUUGUUAUUUAUUUAAACAUGCACUGUGAUAUUGACUUAUCUCAAUCUAGGAACACAAAGCAAAUACUACAUUUGCUGCUAUGGACUCCAAACAGAUGAGAAAUCAUUAUGUGUAGAAGUUCCUUAGAAGGAUAUUUUGGCCUAAACAAAUUUAACAUUGUACUCGUGUCUUACAUAGUUAAAGCUGAAAAAUCAACAUAACCAGUGGACACUUUGUAAGACAAGUGUGGGAAACAAAUAGUAGGAUAUAAAUUUGAGUAGAAUGUUUGCUCAAAUGUUGAAAAAAUAACCCAGCAAACUAAAACUCAGCAAAACAGUCUAUUCUACCUUAUACGGACUGUCACAAUGAUAAUGCUAUGUUUUUUUGGAAUACAAAUUCAAAAAAAAUCAGCCACAGAUCCCUGAGCCCAUCCAACAGGAGAGCUUCAAUUGAAAGAAGUAUUAGUUCGAUUAGACCAUGUAGUACCUAAAGGAGGAUGGUGGCCCCAUGGAACAACUCCAGCCUUUCCAUUGUGUCCGGGCGCAAUGCGAUAAUGGAGUUAUGGUCAUUGGUGGCUUCGCUGGCCAUAGACGGCUUAUUGACUUCUUCCACUUGAGGAUCACCGUGAACCAGUCCUUCUUCCCCAUCCUACAUAAGCAUGCCAACCACAAAUAAAUGCUCAAAAAGACCAUCUUAAAUGUCAUUGAACCGGAUUAUGGGAGGCAGAAUCUUAUGACUCGGUGGAUGCAGAUAUCGAGGCCUCAUUUGUAUGUUGUGCCUCCCACCAGAGGUGUCUUCUAAUUAGAGUGGUGCGAGAAGACAAUAUAAGCCACCGUGCAAGCGAAACAAUUAGGAGGCACUGCUUGUAAAGCGGAGAAUUUGGCACUGUCUGGUGGCAUUGCGGUAGCCGCAGGGUGGAAGAGAGAGAGGGAGGGAGGGAGGGAGGAUGAAUCGGAAAACCAGGAGCAGGGGUGAUCAACGAUGAAAACCAAGAUGAAAAAACAAUGUGCAAGAGAGGAAGAGGAAUAGGCUAGCUAUUUCUGUAGUGAAGUAAUAUGAGCAUAACUUAACCCAUAGGUGUGGAACUUGGAUUCGGUUGAAGUAUAUACUAUACUAAAGUAAGCUGACUAAUUGCAAUUUAAAUCUUUGGUGGCAAUGCUUAUGAGUUGUGAGGCCAUCUUGACUAUUCUGGAUCUUGCAUAUGAUUCUAAUUAAACAGUAUAUGUCAGAUGUUUUUAAAGAGGCACACAUUAUAUUUGAUUGUUGAUUUACACAUUCUAAUUAAACAUUAUAUGUCAGAUGUUUCUAAUGAGGCCCACGUUAGAUUUGUAUGUUGAUUUACAAAGGGAUUGAUAAGUUGAUUCUAUCCUUUUUCCUCUGCCAUUCUUCCUUUCAUAAAAUGUGUCCAUCGAGUAAUUAUCCACAAUAACAAACAUGACUAGACAAAAUAUCCACGACAAGUUGCAUAUCUUGUGCAACUGUUCACUGGUGAAAGGCUAUUGUGCCACUAUCCAUCAUUGCAAGGAAAAAACACAAAAGAUUUAUGUUCUAUCAAAUAUAUUAUUUUGUUUGGAUUUAGCCAGGUAAGAUCCUGGUUGCGUCGGCCAUUAGAGUACCUUGCGAUCGACUAGACAGUUUCAGCAUAUCUUCUUGCCUCCUUUUGCAUCACUAGAUUUCGAUGGGCUUGCGAACAGGAAGAUAAACACGGCAACAAAGGAGACGAGAGAUGCCAGUGAUCCAUAUUUCCAAAUAAUUCUCUGCAAGUGAAUUCCAAAGAAUGCAUUGAAUUUUGUGCUGGCGUAGAAUCCAGCAGCAAGGGAAACACCAUGCUGACGCUAGGAGCUACGUGCUGCUACCGCGAGCUCCCAUGGCAAGACCUGCCCAGGGAGGACCGGCAAGAGAAACGGCUGAAGACACACCAAGACCCGGCAACAUGUAGGUUCAUAUUUCACCCCCACCCUCAGAUAAAAAUGUGAAUCAUUUCAAACAUAUUAAAACUUGAGUGGAUUUUUUUAUUUCGGAAAAAUAUGCCCACAAGAGCUCAGGAGUCAACGUCAGUUCUAGGUAAUUAAACAAACAAGAAGAUUGACUUGUUGAGCAAUUUUACUACAUUUUCUUGCUUCCUUUUACGACACUAGAACUUGAUGGACUUCCGGUCAGCUAGAUAAACAUGCCAAUAAAGGACUUCUUGACAAGUCUGUGCAGAUUAAAGGUAUGUUAGUAGGUGGUGUAAUAACACAUGAUUUUAGCUAUCUAAGGAUACAAAUAUGCCACUAUUUAUUUUGUAAAUGCUGGAAAUCAUUGUCGGAAAUCUUAGUAACAACAGUUGUCAUGAACAACUUCGACUAAAUGCAUCAAAUGUUAGGAAUAAUACAUACUAACUUAGUUCAAUAAAUUAACCUAUUGAAGCAAGAAAAGAAACCUUGAAAUGUACUUAGAGUGAAUCAAUUAAGACAUGCAAAGCCAGUACUAAUCCAGUUUUAUUAAUAACUUCCACAAAAUUACAACACGUGACGUAAAAAGGGAAUAUGAUAGGUCAUGUAUUGAUAACGUGUACAACAUUACUACCCUUGACAUAAAAAGAGAAGUUGAUGAGUCAUGUCUCAAUAACGUGUACAACAUUACUAUCAGCUUGUUCAUCUUACCAUCAUACUAUACAACACUACGAGUUAGUUUAAAAAGGAAUAAGAGUUCAGAAUGAACAUGACAGUACUAGCCUAAUCUAUCUUAACAACAUGCACAAGGACACAAAGUUUGUCUGCCACAAGAUAUGAAGAUUUGGUUUAUGUCUAACAACUUGUAUAACAUGACAAACUUAGAUCCAAAGGGAACACAAUCCAUAUAAUUGUUUGACAUGUAAAGUGAAUAAGAUGAGUCAGUGCCAAUUAUCAAGUUUUCCUCACUCUUAGAUAAUAUGAGUAGCAAAAAGGCAACUUUGAUGAUCACUCCAAAAUUACGAUUGUAUGCCGUGCCACCAAACACAACACACCAAAAAAUUAGUUCGAUAAGCAUUGAAUCACUUUAAAAAAGGAAAGCAGUGAUGAAAAGAAACCUAGCCAUGGUGGCUAUAAAAAGGCCUGCAAUAUGUGAGCUCCAUACCAUCAUCCAUCCUUCACACAACUAGAGCACAAGCAUCAAAUCCAAGUAGGUAGUAGUUAACGCAAAUCCACCAUGAAGACCUUACUCAUCCUGACAAUCCUUGCGAUGGCAAUAACCAUCGCCACCGCCAAUAUGCAGGCCGACCCUAGCGGCCAAGUACAAUGGCCGCAACAACAACCAUUCCUGCAGCCUCACCAACCAUUCUCCCAGCAACCACAACAAAUAUUUCCCCAACCCCAACAAACAUUCCCCCAUCAACCACAACAACAAUUUCCCCAGCCUCAGCAACCACAACAACAAUUUCUCCAGCCCCGACAACCAUUCCCCCAACAACCACAACAACCAUAUCCCCAGCAACCACAACAACCGUUCCCCCAGACUCAACAACCCCAACAACCAUUUCCCCAGUCCAAGCAACCACAACAACCUUUUCCCCAGCCCCAACAACCGCAACAAUCAUUCCCCCAACAACAACCAUCGUUGAUUCAACAAUCUCUACAACAACAGUUGAACCCAUGCAAGAAUUUCCUCUUGCAGCAAUGCAAACCUGUGUCCUUGGUGUCAUCCCUCUGGUCAAUCAUCUUGCCACCAAGCGAUUGCCAGGUGAUGCGGCAACAAUGUUGUCAACAACUAGCACAAAUUCCUCAGCAACUCCAGUGUGCAGCCAUCCAUAGCGUCGUGCAUUCCAUCAUCAUGCAGCAAGAACAACAAGAACAACUACAGGGUGUGCAAAUCCUGGUGCCACUGUCUCAACAGCAACAGGUGGGUCAAGGUAUUCUCGUCCAGGGUCAAGGCAUCAUCCAACCUCAACAACCAGCUCAAUUGGAGGUGAUCAGGUCAUUGGUGUUGCAAACUCUUCCAACCAUGUGCAACGUGUAUGUCCCACCUUACUGCUCCACCAUCAGGGCACCAUUUGCUAGCAUAGUCGCCAGCAUUGGUGGCCAAUGAAAAAAAACAAGAGCUAUUCUAAAAGUUAGAUGGCCAUCGUUGCUUAGCUUAUGCACCAAUCGAUGUAACGAUGACAAAUAAAGUGGCGUGCACCAUCAUGUGUGAUCCUGACCAAGUGCUAGUUCAAGAUUGGAAAUAAAAGACAAACUCAGUCCUUGUUUGCCAGCAUUGCCUGUCAUUGUUCCAUUCCAUGUGUAUUUAGAUGUCUGUCCCUAAUCAUAAUUCUAGCCUUGCACAUCAUUAGCUAGUUGCUCGUGUGGUUGUUGACAUGUUAAUCUAGUUAAUAGGCUGAUUGAUCUAUUAGUUGUUGCUCGCAAGUUGAUCGAGCAGCUAUCAGUUGGCAAUUUCCUGAACAAUGCAUACAAUAAUAUUUCAACGUAUUUCAAUUUCUAGAAGUAAAGGGUCAUUUCAGCAGAAAAACAAGUGCGUGAGUUAGAAACCAUCCAUCACUUUAAAUGUUAAUCUGGAUAAUUUUGCAUUGGUGCAAUUUUGAGCUUGAUUGCACUGGAGCAUUCUUCAAAGCAAUUCUAUAGGGGACUCCAAAGAGGUGAAAAUCAAACUAAAGUUGCCACAUGGUAAAAGAUAAAGCAUGCGGCGAGCAAGAGCAAAUAUUGAGUCACAAUAGCUAGCGCUAAACAUGCCAUUAAAAUCUUCAUAUCGUUUCUUGCAGAGAGGAAAACAAUUUAUUGAUGACAAACAAAGCUUAAGUAGCAUCAGUUCUAAUUGAUUGUAGAAAUUUCUUUUACCUGUAGAAUAACUCAGUCGUUAUUUCUUUAAACAUGCACUGUGAUAUUGACUUAUCUCAAUCUAGGAACACAAAGCAAAUAUUACAUUUGCUGCUAUGGUCUCCAAAAAGAUGAGAAAUCAUUCUGUGUAGAAGUUAGCUAGAAGGAAAAUUUGACCUAAACAAAUUUAACAUUGCAGUCAUCUCUUACAUAGUUAAAGCUGAAAAUCAACAUAACCAACGGACACUUUGAAAGACAGUGUGGGAAACAAAUAGUAGGAUAGAAAUUUGCGUUGAAUUUCUGCUCAAAUGUUGAACAAAUAACCCAGCAAACUACUAAAACUCAGCAAAACGGUCUAUUCUACCUUAUACGAACUGUCACAAUGAUAAAAGAUAUGAUCUUUUUUUGACAAAUAUGUAUCCUAGAACUAAUAAAGAUUCUAAAAAAAUCAGCCACAGAUCCUCAAGCCCAUCCAGCAAGAUAGCUUAAAUUGAAAUAAGUAUUAGCUCGAUUAGACCAUGUAGUACGAUGAGGAGGAUGGUGGCCCCAUGGAACAACUGCAGCCUCUCCUUUGUGUCUGGGCGCAAGGCGUUAACGGAGUUAUAGUCAUUGGUGUCUUCGUUGACCAUCAGACGGCUUAUUGACUUCUUCCACUCGAGGAUCACCAUGGAGCAGUCCUUCUUCCCCUUCCUACAGGAGCAUGCCAACCACAAAUAAAUGAUCAAAAAGACCUUGGUAAAUGUCACUGAACCGGAUUAUGGGAGGCGGAAUCUUAUGGGUCAGUGGGUGCAAAUAUCAAGGCCUCAUUUGUAUGUCGUGCCUCCCACCAGCGGUGUCUUCUAAUUAGAGUGGUGCGGAGAAGACAAUAUAAGUCACCGUGCGAGUUGAGCAAUUAGGAGGCAGUGCUUGGAAAGAGGAAACUUUGGCACUGUCUGGUGGCAUUGCGGUGGCCGCAGGGGGAAGAGAGAGAGAGAGAGAGAGAGAGAGAGAGAGAGAGAGAGAGAGAGAGAGAGAGAGAGAGAGAGGGAGGGAGGGAGGCUGAAUGGGAAAACCGGAAGCAUGGGUGAUUGACAAUGAAAACCAAGAUGGGAAAACAAUGCGCAAGAGAGGAAGGGAAUAGGCUAGCUAUGUAUGUAGUGAAGUAAUAUGAGCAUAACUUAACCGAUAGGUGUGAAACUUGGAUUCGGUUGAAGUAUAUACUAUACUAAAGUAAGUUGACUAAUUGCAAUUUAAAUUUUUGAUGGCAAUGCUUAUGAGUUGUGUGGCCAUCUUGACUGUUCUGGAUCUUGCAUCUGAUUCUAAUUAAACAGUAUAUGUCAGAUGUUUUUAAUGAGGCACACGUUAGAUUUGAUUGUUGAUUUACACAUUCUAAUUAAAUAAUACAUGUAAGAUGUUUUUAAUGAGGCCCAUGUUAGAUUUGAUUGUUGAUUUACACAGGGAGUGAUAAGCUGAUUCUAUCCUUUUCCUCUGCCAUUUUUCCUUUCAUAAAAUGUGUUCAUCGAGUAAUUCUGCACAAAAACAAACUUAACUGGACAAAAUAUCCACGGCAAGUCACAUAUCUUGUCAACUGUUCACUGUUGAAAGGAUAUUGUGCCACCAUCCAUCAUUGCAAGGCAAAAAACAUAAAAGAUUUAUGUUCUACCAAAUAUAUUCUUCUGUUCAGAUUUAGUCAGGUGUGAUCCUGGUUGCGUUAGCCAUUAGAGUACAUUGCGAUCAACUAGAUUUAAUGAGAUUUACUCUCUUUCUUUUUCCGGAAAAAAGAUAGAUUACAUGGUGAUCAACUAGAUAGCUCCAGCAUCUGUUCUUGCCUCCUUUCGCAGCACCAGAUUUCGAUGGGCUUGCGACCAGGUAAAUAAGGACGCCAACAAAGGAGACGAUAGCUGCCAACGACCCAUAUUUCCAAAGAAUUCUCUACAGGUGAAUGGUUGGUCUUUUAGUCAACAGUGUGCUAGAUGAUGAUUAAUUCUGGUUUCCUACUUCCAUGCAAACAGGUGAAUGGUUGUGAAAUUACCUUAGCCUGAAAGGUUGCAAGUGCGAAAGGUGGAUACACAUAAGUGAAGUGUGAGCACCAAAGAUAUUGCAUUCAAAUAUUAGAAUCAUGAAGUGAUAUGAUAAGUUGAUAACUAACCAAUUCAAACUUGUGAUGUGGAGGUAUCUCGGCGAGAAUAUCAAAUGGAAGGACGGGCCACGAAUAUGCCUCCUUCAGAAGUGAAAAUAAGCUUUUAAGCUCCUUGAACAGAACAUUAUAGCAUAACACAAAACACGACGAUGUUUAGAAUAAUAACACCCCUAGCCUUCAUUUCGCUCAAGCUUCUAACUACAAGUAGAGCAGGAAUAGCAAUUUAUCCAAGAUGUAGUGAAACUCGCCGUGAUUGCUCGUGGCGUCCUCCUACAGAUAGGUGAGCUAAGAAGCGAGAUCUGGUUGACUCAGGCGGAGCCCUGGUUGUAGAGGUCGAGGGUGACGGCAAGGCACUCGACGAUACGGCCGGGGCGAGACAACUUCACCUUCUUGUGCGCCACCACGCACGGCGCGUCCCCUGCAACGAGGAGGAGUAUCAGUUAUCUGUUUCUACAAUGGCCACAUGAUAUAUAUGGGCAUUAGAAAGUCACUUUGGCUAUCCACAUGGGGUCAUGCUUGUAUGUAGUGCUUCACGUGACAGCAAUACCAAAAUGAUCGGUUUUGGAAGCAUCCAAACACUCUGAAGAAAAGCGAGCCCGGAGAUAGAACCAUCCUUGCUAAAUAGGCCUUCACCGUCGACAUCCUCCUCCAUCGUCCUUCACACUUACAUCAAAGUCGAACAAAAUCUAGCUAGAUAGAAAAAGAGGCUUCCGUCCAGCCCCAUUAGUCGCGAAACUGUAGGAACCGCGACUAAUGAAGUCUUUAGUCGCGGUUCGGCAGACGAACCGCGACCAAAGGCCUGGGCCCAGGGCGCUCGGUGGCCAGCUGGUGCACGUGAGGGGCUUUAGUCGCGGUUGGCCAGGCCAACUGCGACUAAAGGUGCCCAAAGGCCUUUAGUCGCGGUUGGCCAGGCCAACCGCGACUAAAGCUCCUCCCCUAUAUAUACCAGUUCAGCACGCUCACUUAGCCAUUUGGUGCCACUUCUCUUCACAAGCUUCACAAGGGGGUGUAGGUUUGCUUUUGGUUCCUCUUAUGCACACAAGGUGUUUGAUGAAAUGCCCCAAGAGCGUGAAACAAACAUGAUAUGAAGUGUUGGAGCCACACUUGAGGUUCCUCAUUUAUUUUUUCCUCCUCGAUCGCGGUUAGCAACUUGAACCUUUCAUGCAUGUGUGUCAUUGAUAAAAUAUGCAUGUGUGUUGUUCAUUGUUUAAUUUCUGUUGUUUAUAGCUAGUUAGUUUAACAAAUGCAUGAUGGUUAAUUAUAUAUUUUAUAUUAUAAUAAUGCAGAUGAAUCGGCAAUGGAUGUACGGUAACCGACUCUCCCGCGAGUUCACUACGGGUUUGAAAGAUUUCCUCGUAGUGGCUAAUGCGAACAAGCAGAAGGGUUUUGUUAUUUGUCCAUGUGUUGACUGUAAGAAUCAGAAGGGUUACUCUUCCUCAAGAGAAGUUCACCUGCACCUGCUUCGGCACGGUUUCAUGCCAAGCUAUAAUUGUUGGACCAAGCAUGGAGAAAGAGGGGUUAUAAUGGAAGAAGAUGAAGAAGGGGAUGAUUUCAUCGAUGAAAGCUAUCUUGCUCAUUUCGCUGAUACUUUCAUGGAGGAUGCUGAAGGUGAAGGGGAAGGUGAAGGGGAAGGUGAAGGUGAAGAAGAGGCACGUGAUGAGACCGUUGAUGAUCUUGGUCGGACCAUUGCUGAUGCACGGAGACGCUGCGAAACUGAAAAGGAGAGGGAGAAUUUGGAUCGCAUGUUAGAGGAUCACAGAAAGUCGUUGUACCCCGGAUGCGAUGAUGGUCUGAAAAAGCUGGGCUGCACACUGGAUUUGCUGAAAUGGAAGGCACAGGCAGGUGUAGCUGACUCGGCAUUUGAAAACUUGCUGAAAAUGUUGAAGAAUAUGUUUCCAAAGAAUAACGAGUUGCCCGCCAGUACGUACGAAGCAAAGAAGGUUGUCUGCCCUCUAGGUUUAGAGGUUCUGAAGAUACAUGCAUGCAUCAACGACUGCAUCCUCUACCGCGGUGAAUACGAGAAUUUGAAUGAAUGCCCGGUAUGCACUACAUUGCGUUAUAAGAUCAGAGGCAAUGACCCUGGUGACGAUGUUGAGGGCGAGAAACCCAGGAAGAGGGUUCCCGCCAAGGUGAUGUGGUAUGCUCCUAUAAUACCACGGUUGAAACGUCUGUUCAGGAACAAAGAGCAUGCCAAGUUGUUGCGAUGGCACAAAGAGGACCGUAAGUCGGACGGGGAGUUGAGACACACCGCAGAUGGAACGCAAUGGAGAAAGAUCGACAGAGAGUUCAAAGAUUUUGCAGCUGACGCACGGAACAUAAGAUUUGGUCUAAGUACAGAUGGCAUGAAUCCUUUUGGCGAGCAGAGCUCCAGCCAUAGCACCUGGCCCGUGACUCUAUGCAUCUACAACCUUCCUCCUUGGUUGUGCAUGAAGCGGAAGUUCAUUAUGAUGCCAGUGCUCAUCCAAGGUCCGAAGCAACCCGGCAACGACAUCGAUGUGUACCUAAGGCCAUUAGUUGAUGAACUUUUACAGCUGUGGGGCAGACCUGGUGUCCGUGUGUGGGAUGAGCACAAAGAAGAGGAAUUUAACCUACGAGCGUUGCUUUUCGUAACCAUCAACGAUUGGCCUGCUCUUAGUAACCUUUCGGGACUGUCAAAUAAGGGAUACAAUGCAUGCACGCACUGCUUACAUGAGACUGAAAGUGUACAUUUGCCAAAUUGUAAGAAGAACGUGUACCUUGGGCUUUGUCGAUUUCUUCCGAAAAUUCAUCCAGUAAGAAAGAAAGGCAAGCAUUACAACGGCAAGGCAGAUCACCGGCCGAAGCCUGCGGAACGCACUGGUGCUGAGGUAUUUGAUAUGGUCAAGGAUUUGAAAGUCAUCUUUGGAAAGGGUCCUGGCGGACAAUCAGUUCCGAAGGGAGCUGACGGGCACGCAGCCAUGUGGAAGAAGAAAUCUAUAUUCUGGGAGCUAGAAUAUUGGAAAGUCCUAGAAGUCCGCUCUGCAAUCGACGUGAUGCACGUUACGAAGAAUAUUUGCGUGAACCUCCUAAGCUUCUUGGGCGUGUAUGGGAAGACAAAUGAUACAAAGGAAGCACGGCAGGACCAGCAACGUUUGAAAGACCCUGAUGACCGGCAUCCAGAAUGGUUUCAAGGUCGUGCCAACUACGCUCUGACCAAAGAAGAGAAGAUCAUCUUUUUUGAAUGCCUGAGCAGUAUGAAGGUCCCGUCUGGAUUCUCGUCCAAUAUAAAGGGAAUAAUAAACAUGGCGGAGAAAAAGUUCCAAAACCUGAAGUCUCACGACUGCCACGUGAUUAUGACGCAAUUGCUUCCGAUUGCUUUGAGGGGGCUCCUGCCGGAAAAUGUUCGAGUAGCCAUUGUGAAGCUAUGUGCAUUCCUCAAUGCAAUCUCUCAGAAGGUAAUCAAUCCAGAAGUUCUACCACGGUUACAGAACGAUGUGAUCCAAUGUCUUGUCAGUUUCGAGUUGGUGUUCCCGCCAUCCUUCUUCAAUAUUAUGGCGCACCUCUUGGUUCACCUAGUCGAAGAGAUUUUCAUUCUCGGUCCUGUAUUUCUACACAAUAUGUUCCCCUUCGAGAGGUUCAUGGGAGUAUUAAAGAAAUAUGUUCGUAACCGUGCUAGGCCAGAAGGAAGCAUCGCCAAGGGCUAUGGAAAUGAGGAGGUAAUUGAGUUUUGUGUUGACUUUGUUCCUGACCUUAAGCCGAUUGGUCUUCCUCGAUCGCGGCACGAGGGGAGACUAAGUGGAAAAGGCACGAUCGGAAGGAAAUCAACAAUAUGUAUGGACGGCCAUUCUCUGACUGAAGCACACCACACUGUACUGACCAAUUCCAGCUUGGUGGCUCCGUACUUUGAGAAACACAAGAAUAUUUUACGCUCGGACAACCCGGGGAAGCCUGAAUCCUGGAUUAGGAAGGCCCACAUGGAGACUUUCGGCAGUUGGUUGAGAAAACAUUUAAUGAAUGACAAUGAUGUUGUAGAUCAGCUGUACAUGUUGGCCAAGACACCAUCUUCGACUAUAACGACUUUCCAAGGGUACGAGAUAAAUGGGAAUACAUUUUACAUGAUCGCCCAAGAUAAAAAGAGCACCAACCAAAACAGUGGUGUCCGCUUUGAUGCAGCAACCGAGAAUGGGCAAAAGGUCACAUAUUAUGGUUACAUAGAGGAGAUAUGGGAACUUGACUAUGGACCCUCCUUUAAGGUCCCUUUGUUCCGGUGCAAAUGGUUCAAGCUAACAGGAGGCGGGGUAAAGGUGGACCAGCAAUACGGAAUGACAACGGUGGAUUUCAACAAUCUUGGUUACCUUCACGAACCAUUCGUCCUAGCGAAAGAUGUCGCUCAGGUUUUCUAUGUGAAGGACAUGAGUAGCAAACCGAGGAAACGGAAAGAUAAGAAAACGAUCAGUACAUCAUGCGAUGAUCCAAAGCGCCACAUUGUUCUUUCAGGGAAAAGAAACAUCGUGGGAGUGGAGGACAAGACAGACAUGUCAGAAGAUUAUAAUAUGUUUGCUGAAAUUCCGCCCUUCAAAGUGAACACCGACCCAAGCAUUAAGUUAAAUGAUGAGGAUGCUCCAUGGAUAUGGCACAAUCGUAAGCAAGCAGGGACACAAGGGAAGAAAUGAUGUGUAAUAAUUUAUUGUACCAAACUUUGUUGAAUGGAUCAUGUGAAUUAUAUUACCCGUGAUGUGUUUGGUGUCCAUUUUCGAAUGAUUCGAGAUACCACUGAUGAUACAUGAAAUUUGGAGUGAUUUAGGCAUACUCCUGCCUAGGCGUAUAAUAUGCAUACUCGUAGUCUUCAUAGCCGCCGUUGUUGUACUGGUAGUCGUCGCCUUCUAAGUUGCCGCCGUCGUCGUCGCUGCUGUCGUCGCUGUCGUACUCCUGCCUAGGCGUAUAAAAUUUUGAAUUGAAUUAGUUUUAUUUUUCUGACUUUUUUGAUAUAUUAUUUGUAUUUUUAACAUUUUGAAUUGAAUUAGUUUUAUUUUUCUUAAUUUUUUUAUAUAUUAUUUGUAUUUUUAGAAUUUUGAAUUGAAUUAGUUUUAUUUUUCUGAUUUUUUUGAUAUAACAUUUGUGUUUUUAACAUAUUGAAUUGAAUUAUUUUUAUUUUUCUGAAUUUUUUGAUAUAUUAUUUGUAUUUUUAAGAUUUUGAAAAAGAAAAAGUAUUUUGAAAAAUACCUUUAGUCGCGGUUGGCCUGGCCAACCGCGACUAAAGGUCGUUGCGCGCGGGAACGCANNNNNNNNNNGACCGCUAUCACCGGCCUCCCUCGCCCACCGCGCGCGCGCCGCCUCGCUCGCCCGCCCUCAACGCCGCCGGCCGGCCUCGGUACUGCCGGGCGCGCACGCGUGCGCCUCUCUCAGACAGAGAGCGAGAUCGUGGAGAGAGAGAGGGGCGCCGCGGGCCACCGGAAUUUUUUCUUUUUUUUUCUUUUUUUUGUUCUUUUUAAUUUUAACUAGUUAAUUAGUUUAACAAAAACGGUAAAAUAACUUAAAACUUGAUAAUUAACAAAAAAACCGUAAAAUUUGAUAAUUAACAAAAAAACGUAUAUAAAACUUGAUAAUUAACAACAAAAAAGUAAAACUUGAUAAUCAAUAUAUACAACGACUCCGCGCGUCAAUGUAAAACGAUCCCGCUUUAAAAAAAUGUACACGACCCCGCGCAUAUACGGAGAGGGGGCGGCGAGGGGGGCGGCGAUGCGCGCGGUGUUUUUUUUUGGGAUCGAGAGGGGGCGGCGAGGGUUAUACAUGUGUGUUGUCCUCGCCUCCCUCUCCGUGACGCCGUCGUCUGCCGCCCCGUCUCGCGCUCUACCGCGACACCCUCUCCCACCCCUUCCUCGCCCCCUCCUUUUGCCACCGCCCUUUCGCCACCGCCACCGCCACCGCCCCCCUUCUUCACUUAAUUAAUUUGUUUUUACUACAUGUUUUCAGGACUGACAUAAUGGCGGACGAUAGAGCUGACCCGAUUAUGGACAACUAUGAUCCGGAUGGUGAAGCACAUAUGUUNNNNNNNNNNAAAAAAGUAAAACUUGAUAAUCAAUAUAUACAACGACCCCGCGCGUCAAUGUACAACGAUCCCGCUUUAAAAAAAUGUACACGACCCCGCGCAUAUACGGAGAGGGGGCGGCGAGGGGGGCGGCGAUGCGCGCGGUGUUUUUUUGGGAUCGAGAGGGGGCGGCGAGGGUUAUACAUGUGUGUUGUCCUCGCCUCCCUCUCCGUGACGCCGUCGUCUGCCGCCCCGUCUCGCGCUCUACCGCGACACCCUCUCCCACCCCUUCCUCGCCCCCUCCUUUUGCCACCGCCCUUUCGCCACCGCCACCACCACCGCCCCCCUUCUUCACUUAAUUAAUUUGUUUUUACUACAUGUUUUCAGGACUGACAUAAUGGCGGACGAUAGAGCUGACCCGAUUAUGGACAACUAUGAUCCGGACGGUGAAGCACAUAUGUUCGGCAUCAUAAAUGGCGAUAUUCUAUAUGUGCCGACCGGACAAGAAGAAGAUGAUAUCUCUUCUUAUCUGAACCUUGACGGUGAAGAUGAAGGGCGCCGUCAGUAAGAUGAUGCCGAACAAGAUGACGCCGUCAGCAUGGGGGAACGCUGAACCCGGAGACAGGGGAGUGUGUUUACCGGGGCAAAAUAAUUAAACCCACCCAAGCCCUUAUUGACGCAAUGAGGGAUGCUCAAGAGGGGAAGAUCAAGUUCAACAGAGAGAACGACGCGCUGACAAAAGCCCUCGGGAAUCCUGAACACGGAGGACGUGUACGAGGCAUGGGGCACAUUCCGUGGAAAAUAGGGUUCCCCCAGAACGAUGACCCGUACGGUUACAGAAGCCGGAAGAGAAAGAUGGAUCGGGAAGCAGAUGUUGUGGCGCGGUUGGCAUCGGAAAUGGAUGUGAUGAAGAAAACCGUGAGUGUACUAGUAGCCGAAAGAGAUGCAGCCCGGGCGCAGCAUGAAGAUCAUCCAGCGGAUCUCAGAAGCCAGUAGCGGAGAAGCAGUGUGGCUUCCACGGAGGCCCCACCGGCUGGUGCAGAUGCACCGACGAUCGAAAUUACUGCACCGGAGCCUCUGGUGGUCGAAAUUACUGCACCGGAGCCUCCUCGCUACCCCGUGGACGAUAUAAAGGAGAUGAAAGAAUGUCAUCUGUAUUAUCCUAUCGGGAACAUGUCCAUGAAGGUAGCCAUCGGCAGUGCUUUACCAUGUUUACCUGGAGCACUCCACCACAACAACCCCAUUCAAGAUGGCUAUGCUCGUGUCACGGUGGAGGACAUAGUCCAAGGGUUUGAGGACCUGGAGAUUGACAUUGCUACACCUGAAGGGGAGAAAAGACUUGGAGAUGUCAAGCGCCAUUUCAUUCUAUGGCAAAAGAAGUUUAUCAAGUUUCCAGGCGAGGCGCCAAGGACAACAAGUCCACCCCCCUGCGGUGGUGGUGGUGGUGGCGGUUCACCUACACGUCCGUCACGUCAGCCGACGCCCCCCAGUCCACAACGUCCGGCGGGUGAUCAGACGCCGCCCCCCAGUCCUCGUCCGGCGGGUGAUCAGACGCCGCCCCCCAAUCCACCUCCGGCAAAGAAGCAGAAGCAGUCCUGGAUUAUUAACCCAGACCCUUAUGUACCUAAGACCACAAAGGUACCGGAGCCAUCACUGAAGCCUCUCCCCACAAGGCCUUGGGAACGUAGUGCCGAGGAAACUGCCGCGGCCGCGGCUGCUGAUCAUGAGAAAUGGAAGGCGGACUGCAAGAAGAAAAGAGAGCCCGAGCCCAAGCCAGUAUUUUCUGAUGAGCAAAAGAAGUGGGCUAAGUCAUUUUUGAGCACACCGUCCCAAGCCGCGAAGAAUCUGCCUGACGACUAUGCACGUGAACUUCGUAGGCAGGCACUCAUGUUGAAGGAGAAGAAAGAGCGGGCGGAGAACCAGGAGAACAAAGCCUUGGAGGAGACCGAGAAAACGGAAUUAGAAAGUAAAAAAAGCGGGAAACGAGUUGCCCAGCUCGGGGAACAAAGUAAACAAUCGAUUGCCCCGCUUAUAGUGAAAGCCGCCGGUCCGGAUGACCCCGAUAUCAUAGCAGCUGCGGCAGCACAUGGAUUGACUGUAACGAGUGCCAGAGAACAAGCGGCCAACUUAGGUAUUACUCUUCGUGAACUGUUAGGCCUUGAUGAGGCGCCAGUGAAGGAGGUAGUAAUUACAUAUGUGAAGAAUGGGCCUCUCAUCGAGCCUGCGCAUGAAGAGGGUCUACCUCCACAAAUGAAAGGUCUGCUGAAAUGGUACAAGGGUUACAUAAAAAAUAAAAACGCCAAAGAAUAUAUUUAUGCGGAAGUUAGAUAUGAGCAUCACUUCAAACAUUACUAUGUACAAAUUCAUCUGAGUGAAUUGUUCCAGCUUUUCAAUCUGCGCGAGCUCGACAAAUCUAUCAUCAGUUGCUACGUUCUGUAAGUGAUUUAUUUCUACCCCAUCUCGUUCAUAUUGCCUGCACUAUAUAUAUGUCCUAACUAUAUUGUUGUGUCCGCUAUUAUACAUGCAGAAUGAAGAUUAAGGAAUGCAGAGUAAGGAACAUCCAUGAUGUUGGGUUCAUUGACCCACACAUCGUUAAUGGAUAUGUGUUGGAGCAUCACCCCGCCGACAUGGAGGCAGACCUGUGGCAGUUUCUUACAAAGCAGGAACUCAAAAAUGAUAUUCUAUUUCCUUACCAUUUUGGGUGAGUGUUUCUGUCUUGAGCACAUUCUCUUUUGUUUACUCCAUGCAUGGUAUGUGGCCGGCUAAUCGAUGAGUUAUGCAUGACGUACUGUGCAUGUAUCGUGUCCGCAGGUUCCACUGAAUUCUGCUAGUAAUUAAAGUUGACACCUCAGAAUGUCUCGUCCACGACUCUCUGAAUAAGGAUCCAAAGCUUUGGGGCGGCAUGAGAAGAAUGCUGCAGAAGUAAUUAUUUUCAUUCAUUUGCGCUCUAUAUCGAUCGGCCUAUUUCGUUCAUUUCCUAAUAUCAAGUAACUAAUAACUCUCUUGUUCAUUUAAUUUUCUUUGCCUCGUAGGGUUUGGAGACGGUUCAUAGAUACAAAGGUCGGUGAAUUCAAAAAAGAGCUAGAAUUCAAAAGGUCAAAGGCUAAGAAUGGUGAGGAUAUUCAGCCAGCGGGGACCAAUCUAUGUGGAUACUAUGUCUGUGAGAUGAUCCGGAGAUACACCUCUGAGCGGGAUCCGAGUGAUACCAAUGCUCAGAGGAAUAACCUCCGGAUGAUGCUUAGUCCAGAAGCUCGCUUCCGACCACUUCAAGAGGAACUAGCUGGAUGGUUCAGUCGGGAAGUCCUCCAUCCUAAAGGAGAACACCAUUACGAGGACGUAGAACUUUAUAUGCAUUAAAUUAUGUAUGGAAACUUGUUCAAAAUUGUAUAUGGUCAUCCGAUGAUAUUGAAUAUAUAUUGUAUAUUCCUCUUGAAUUCUUUUUGGUUCUAAUUUCAAAUUUGUUUGAAAUUGUACAUUCAUAUGCAUGUAUGUAGUAUCGUAGAAUAUGUGAAACUCCUUCAAAAUUAAAAUAAAGCACAAAAGAAAUAAAACAAUACAAAUUAAACAGAAAACAGGUUUAGGGGGAGGGGGGGCUAAAACCCUAAACCUGCGGCGGCCUUUAGUCGCGGUUGGCCAGAAGAACCGCGACUAAAGGUCCUCCGCCCCGACGGCCGCCUGGCGCCCACGUGGACGGGCCUUUAGUCGCGGUUCUUAAGCAACCGCGACUAAAGGGGGGGGCCUUUAAUCGCGCCUAUUUGGUCGCGGUUGCGCAACCGCGACUAAUGGCAGUUACGAACCGCGACCAAAGGCCCUUUUUCCACCAGUGUAGCCACACGCCGGUCCACCAUGACGACAUUGCUCAUCCUCGUCUUCCUUGGUGUACCGGUGAUCAAUGUUGUUGAAUAGUUGGAGACUGGCUGCUGCAUCGGCAUUGGCCAACAACCAUUUCCGCAGCCAGUUCCACAGCAACCACAACUAGUCUCGAAGCAUCCACAAGAAUCAUAUCUGAAACAGCCACAAGAAACAUUCCAUCCAUUACUUCAUCAACAGUUGGACAUGUGCAAAGUGUUCAUCAAACAGUUGUGCACCCCCUGUGGCAACAUUACCAUUCCUUGAAUCACAUAUGUUGCUGCAAAUCAGCUGCCAAGUGAGACGGCAGCAAUGCUGCCAACAACUCAUCUGGAUCCCCAUGCCAUCUCGAUGCCAAGCCAUAUGUGGCCUAGUGCACACCAUCAUCAUCGAGAAGCAAAAAGAGCAACGGCAACAACGACCACAACUUGGACAGGAUUACCGCCGGCGAACAACUAGCCCAGUUUGAGGCGAUGAUGAGCACUGCGCUGCAGACCCUGCCUACAAUGUGCGACGUGCACGUGAUGCCAUGUUGCCUCGUGGGCACCAGCACCACCAUCCCGCCAGCCGGCGACAUCGAUGAGUGAUAAGAAGGCAAGGGUUGCGGUACAAGAUAUACGUGUCGCCGAUCAAGCCGAUGGAUCAAUCCACUGGAGUGGAGCUGAUACCAAAUAAACGCAUUGACAUUCAUCGUCAUGUAUGACCCUCGACCCAUACUAGUGGUUAAUACAUGCAAUUCAGUCCUUACUUCAGAGGGGGGGGGGGGUGUCCAGUUGCGUCUUAUUAGUCUUCUCGUUCCCCCUUUCGCAAAGCGAGCUCAUUAAUUAGAUCUCCACGAUAAACACGAUCUUUUUAUUCCCCCUUUUGUAAAACGAGCUCAUUAUAUCUCCACGGUAAAACAUGUAAUACAUCACCCAACGAAUUAGAUGGACGACCAAUGAGGGCACCGACGCCGGAUCUGAAUAUCCACAAGCCGUCGAUAUCCAAACUUCAUAGAAGGUUUAACCAUGGGUAUAUCAAUCUCACCCCUGGUUUAACCCAACGUGUUGGUUGGGGGUAAUUAGAGUUAGGGAAUGAGAAUUGAAGGGGUACCAGACUUCAAAUCUAUUGUUUGGUUGGGGGUAUUGGGAAUUUACAAUGGAGUAGGCAUGAGACUUGAGACUCCAACUCCCACCGUUUUAUUAACAGGGGAGGGGGUGGGAGUUGGAUGGGAAUUGUUUUAAUGAGUCAAUCUUAACCCUUCAUCUUAACUUUCCUUGUCUAGUCCCAUAUCAAUUCCCAUGAACCAAAGAAGGGAGUAUAAUUUCUCACGCACCAAACAAAGGAUUGGAAAUAAAACGACUCAUUCUAUGUCUAAUCUCAAUACAAUUCCCUCCUCUAAACUUCCAUUCCGUUUCCCAGAUAUUGCCAAACACCCUACCAUGGACUUGGGUGCGCAAAUAGGAUGAACGAGAAGGGCUCAAAUCAACAGCUCCACCGGCAUCAGGGGAGUGAGGAAGCAGAAUAAAAAGCUCAUCCUUUUGGUUAUCUGCACAGAGUCUUCCGUCCGUCGCCUCCAACAAAUCCCAUCCCAAAACCUCCUCCUCGCCCUCCAAUGGCGGCCGCGACCUCCUCCUUCGCCACGCUCGUGAGCUCCCUCCCCUCCCCUCAUCCCCACUUCUUCUCGGACCCGCCUGGUCUCCCUCCUCAGCCUGAAUCUUGUGGUGUUCUUUCUUGCAGGCCAUCGCCCGCCCGGCGGCGGCGGGGUCGGCGGCGCAGAGGGCGCUCCUCGCCUCGAAGGCCCCCUCGUCGGCGCUCUCCCUCCGCGGCGGCCGCGUCGCGUCCCCGGCCCUCUCCGCCUCCCGGCAGAGCCGCGCGCGCUUCGUCGCCUCCGCCAGCGCCGAACCCUAUGUAAAGAUUCCCCAUUUGUUUUAUCUAUCUACCUUGGCACAGGGGCCGCAAUCUAUGUGAAUCUUGCCGAAUUGCAAUCCAGUAGUAGACAUAUCUUAUGUGUCUUGCCGAACUUCCAUGCGAUUCCGCAUGCUGGCUGGUAGCUGUGAUAUUCAUGAGAAAUAUCAGGUCACUCACUGAAUUUUUUGUGUGAAGAAAAUUGCAGGCUGAGGUUUACCGUCACUGCGACGGGCAUGCCAUUCGUUUAUAAACAUUCUUAGGUUCAGUUAUUUAAACAUUCUUAGGUUCUGUGCGACGGGCAUGCCAUUCGUUUAUGUUAUUCCCCAUUAGGUUCAGUUAGUGUUAGUUGCUCGCUGUCUGAAGAAUCAAAUGCGCUGCUGUUUCUAUCUGGGCACUGUGGCCGCUACCUGUGUAAAGCCUGCGGAUCUGGCACCGCUCCCUGUUCAGUCAGGAAGCUGAAUUGCAACCUAAUAGACAUGUAGUUUGCCUUCGGUUGUGUACUUGUGAACAUUCACACCAUUCUGUAUAUUAUUUGGUAGCUGUAAUUUUCAUGAGAAAAAUCAGGACACUCACUGAAUUUAUUUAUUUUUGUGUGUGUGAACAAAUUUGCAAGUUGAGGUUUUGUCAUCACUUAACUGCCGGGGUAUGCCAGUGUUAGAUGCAGAGUACCAUACACUGGUAUGCCAUGUGUUGGUGUUUAGUUCAUUAUCUCCAGUUAGUGUUAGUCGCCGGCCGUCUAAGGGAACAAAUGUGCCACUGUAUGGUUUACACAAUAUGCCGGUUUUGUGGUUGCAUUGGUGCAUAUCUUUUACCUUAUUAUGGAUGCCAUACAUUUCAUGGUGUUUGAAGCUGUUCCUUCAUCAUGCAUUGCAGGCACCUGAGCUUCAGUCCAAAGUUACAAACAAGGUCUACUUUGACAUAAGCAUUGGCAACCCUGUCGGGAAGAACGUUGGGAGGAUUGUCAUCGGGCUGUAUGGGGAUGACGUUCCCCAAACCGUUGAGAACUUCCGUGCUCUCUGCACUGGUACGAGGGACUGCUGGAGCCCUGUUCUGUUAUCCCAUCUGUGAACGAUUGCUCUGGUGAGGAAUAUGACCAAUUUCUCCUUUUUGUAUCAGGGGAGAAAGGGUUCGGAUACAAGGGAUCAAGUUUCCACCGUGUCAUUAAGGACUUCAUGAUUCAGGGAGGAGACUUUGACAAGGGCAACGUAUGUGUUUCCUACCUUCGUCUAUUCUUGUUUGUUGCAUGUGCAUCCUUAUGCCGUAUUGCAGAUUGCAUUAAGAAAAGCUAAAGACUAUCUCUUGUUACCAUACAAAUACCUUUGCUCACAAGAUUGAACGGAUUCAUGUGCUUAUUUCUAUUUUGCAUGAUAAUUGUGCUAGCUGCUUCUCCUUUUUCCUUCUGAACUGUGGCUUAGCUAUUUGAGUACUCUGUGCUGUUUAAGCAUUAUUUUACGGACCAGAUGGACUGGGGGAGAAUUAGAGGGAGGUAGUUUAGGUCCUUGUACUACUAGCUUUGCUCGUGUACCUGCAUUCAAUUUCUUACCGUGCUGCAUUUUCACCCUGGAUGUUAUCCAUGUUUGACUGUCAAUAAUCACUUGCACUAGUGCAUCCUACCCUGUUUUGUGGUCAGUGGCCUCGUGGUAAGAAUUCAAGGUGAUUGCCACCGCGCCGUCCUUUCCUAUAUUGAGGCGUACAUGAUUUUGUGUUUCAUCUGCAUUUUGAUCUACUUAUGCAUGGCUGGCUGAAGUACUUUUGAAACUUCGGAUUGCCUAAAAUGAAACAUACAGCUUCCAACAAUGGCAUGUGAAAAUAACUAGAAACUGACAAUUUCAGGGUACUGGAGGGAAAAGCAUAUACGGCCGCACCUUUAAGGAUGAGAACUUCCAAUGUAUGUGUUGCAAUGAACUAGUCUGUAUCAUGCAAUCUUUGCUUCAGAUUAUAUGCUAACUGAUUAUAUAUUAUUUAAUGUUCUUAGUGGUUCAUACUGGACCUGGAGUGCUCAGCAUGGCUAAUGCUGGACCGAACACCAACGGCAGCCAAUUCUUCAUCUGCACGGUCAAGGUAAUUAGUUGUGUACUUCCUGCUAUCAGUAUCAGUCAGUCAAUGCGAGAAAUAGCUAGUACCCUUUUCCCGCUGCCGCUCCAUCGAGUUUGAAGUUCAUAUAAAUAAAUCCCCGAUUGAGGUUUCUGCUACCUUGCUUGCAGACACCGUGGCUGGACGGGAGACACGUUGUCUUUGGCCAGGUUCUUGAAGGCAUGGAUAUCGUAAGGAUGAUAGAGUCGUCUGAGACUGACAGAGGUGACCGUCCGAAGAAGAAGGUGGUCAUUAGUGAGUCCGGGGAGCUUCCGGUGGUCUGAGUUUUAUUUAGAUGGUUACCACCUUCCAUCUGCGCAUCUGGAUUUUGCUGUGGACUUGUUACAGGUCUUUCUCCUAGUAGUUAGAGACCGCGCUGAGUUGAGCCCAAAAUUUCUACUCCCGAGGCAUACGGCAUUCAUCUACUGUUUGACUGGAAUAAGAAUGUGAUUGCUUUCCUCAAACCUGUUUUGUAGCUUUGUUCAUGAUAGAUAAUGCAUUGUGAAUUUUCUGGCGGAUCUAUGAAAUCCCUGGAUAUCUUUAUCUAUUGGUUUUUACCUGCUAAAUAAAUUUCCCUCAGGAGCUGCAGGCAAAUUAUACCAUGUAAAGGCUCGGUAUCAUUCCUAGCAAUCCCAGUUCCAACACUUGUCAUGAGCAGAUUUAGCAAGCAAAACCUGCUGAUUAUCUGAAUGAUCUGCACAACAAUGCAAACUUAGUUUGGCAGACCAACAGAUUAUUGAUCAAAGCUUCGCAUGUGUACUGUAAAGCCUUUGACAUGUAAAGGGAAUUUCAUGAAUCAUGUCAUGAUCUACUUUUGCAAGUCACAUUUUACUGUAAAGUCUUGGGUAUCUUUACAGGCCACACAAGAUUACAAACUUAGUUCAGUGCAAGGUGUGCUAAUCUGGUUUAUGCGUAACAACCCGUAGAACAUUACAAACUAGUUUCAGAAACUCCGAUGUAAUCUAGAUUGAUGUUUGAAAUGUAAAGUGAAUAACAUUAGUUAUCUCAAUUGAUAAAGCUUUGGUGGCAGUGGAGCGAUAUGUGCAACAACAAAGAACUUUGAUGAGUAAUCCAAGAAUACACUUAAGUAGUGCCACGAGACACAAAUGAUGAGUUGAGAAGCAUCCAUGCACUUCCCAAGAAAAGUAAAUGCAAAGAUGAAAACAAACAAUGCCAUGGUAGCUAUGAAUAGGCAUACACCAUCAAGAUCCUCCAUCAUCCACCAUUCACAUUAGAGAAUAAACAUCAAAGGCAAGCAAACAAUAUCCAACACAAAUCAACUAUGAAGAUCUUCCUCGCGCUUGCCUUUCUUGCCACUAUGGCUACCAUCACCAUAGUCACCUCCGAUGUGACACUUCCCUAGUUGCAGCCACAAAAAUCAUUUUCACAGCAACCACAACAACAACCACCCUUUCCACAACCACAACAACUACCAUUUCGAGAGGAGCGAUCAACUCCACAACAACACCCAUUUCCACCACAACAGUUACCAUUUGGGCAACAACUAUUUCCACAACAACCACCCUAUCCCCCACCACAACAACCACCCUAUCCCCAACCGCAACAACAACCAUUCCCACAACAACAUGAACAACCAGCUCAGGAACAACAACCAUUUGUACAACAACAAUUGAACCCAUGUAGGGAUGUCCUCGUACAACAGUGUAAUCCAGUGGCAGCUUUGUCAUUUCUCCAGUCAGAGGUGGUGCAACAGAGCAGAUGCCAGGUGUUAAGGAAGCAAUGUUGUGUGAUCAGCAUGACGAGACUAUCUAGCACCUACUCAUUGACCGUGCAUUUGCGAAGCAAGUCUGGCAUUGGAUUGGAAUGGUCACUAGAAGAGUGUAUUUUGAACCGCUGCAAAACGAGACCCUAGGCGAGUGGUGCAUCCAUGUAGGAUUGGAGCGCGGUUCACUUGAAGGUGACACGUGCUAAGUGCCUCCUAGGCAUGUGGAUGCUCUGGAAACAUCAGAAUGGCAUCAUUUUCAACGAUGCGGCACCGUCGUUAGCCCGGAAAAUCCACUGUAUUCGGGAGGAAGGACGGCUUUCGGUGAAGGCGGGACUAAUUAAGGGUGAUCUGAAAGGUUUUGACAUAGAGGAUGUGGAGUGGGUUGAGACAGAGUAAUUUGUUUAGAUAAUCUAGGUGGUGCCGGAUGAAAUCCGCAUGUAAAUAUCUUGUGUAACGGUGGACUCUUUGGGGUGUUGAUGCGGAGCAUCCCACGUUCAUCCCCAUGUACACUCUGACUACUCUCCGAGCCCCAAGAGGACAUAUGACGAGACCUCGAGCAUCCGCCAUUGGACACAAGGUGAACUCGCUCCCCUCUAAACCUUCACUUUCCACACGUGAGACAUGGUUGCUACUUCAAGCGCGGACCUUGUGCAUACUCAGGUACACCCGAGGAGACCAUAGAGAACCCAAGGACCAAGGCCGAGCGUGCGCGGAAGCAUGGAAGAGAAGGAAGAAGAGCCAGCUGCUACAGGCCCCUGACAUCCGGCCACAGCCCAGACAUCCGGCCACAGCCCGGACAUCCGGCCAGGCCCGGACAUCCGGCCCAAUGCCCGAAAAUCCAGCCCCCUUCUAUCUAGAGAGCGCCAGAAUCGGCCAAGCCAGCCCGGACAUCUGGCCCCCAGGCCCGGACAUCCGGCCCCUCGCGAGCCACCGGACAUCCGGCCCCUUCUCUCGGAAAUCCGGUCCCUCCAUCACCGAAUGCAUCCGGAAGACCCAGGCCAGCCCGGACAUCCGGCCUCCCAGCCCGGACAUCCGGCCCGUCGCGAAGCCCCGGACAUCCGGCCCCCAGCCCGGACAUUCGGCACAUGCAUGUGCGCAGAGAGCGGGCCAAGGGCCCAUGUAUCCCCCUCUCACUUACCCCUUCGUGGGCUAGCACUAUAUAUACUCCCUCACCUCCUCCUAGCUAGGGUUAGCAAAGGAUUAUCUCAUUUGAGAUGGAGCUUUGCUCAUCCAUAUGGAUCUCCUCCUCGUGAGAGACCACGGCCUCUUCGGAGAAGAUCCACCAUGGAUUCAAGACCCCUUUACGGGAAGAUCCCUCGUGGAUUCAAGACCUCCUCAAGGAGAUGAACUACCGCCGCUUGUAUCGUCCUUUGUUGGAUUUGGACCGUGUAUCUCUUUGUGUUCCUUGGAUCUAGCACAUGUGUGAUCAUAUUCAUGUUGGUUGAGUGUUUUCUCUUGCGUUUCCCCAUGAUUUCCCUCGUCCCCCUCCACGCGUUCUUCGUGUUCCUCGUAGGGAUCCUCUCCAAACGUGAAAGAUCUGCCCCUAGGGUUCCGCCCUACAUCAUCUUGGUAUCAGAGCCACGUUGAUCACGUUUUUGGAGCCCCUACCCCAUGUUUUCUAGCUUGUUUUUGUUGAUUUCGUCCUAAAUCCGAAAACCCCCACCAAAAAUAGCCCCCAUUUUUUAUUGUGAUUUGUUGGUUUGAUGAUGUUUUGUUGAUUUUGAUCCAUGGAUUUGCUUGGUUUCAAGUGGAUCUAGCAUCUCCCCAAGUUUCCCCACUUUCCAUCCACGAAAUCUCUCCAAUUUUGCCCCCGAAAUCAUCAAUUUCCGCCCCAAAAUCGAGUUCUUCGAGUUCAUCCUCGGAUUUGGAGCCCGAACAUCUGGCCCGACCCCCAGACAUCCGGCCAUCCCGGAAAUCCGGCCAUUUGCCCAGACAUCCGGCUCCUGGAGAGCAUUUUCGUGCAAGUUUCUGGACAUCAGGUCCCGGACAUCCGGCCAAACCCCCGGAUGUCCGGCCGCUGUCAUUUUAGUUUUUCCCGUUUCACCGUUUUGACCAUAACUAAUUCAUCCGGAGUUCGAUUUUGACGUUCUUUAGCUCAUUUUGAAGCUAUUGACAUCCUCCAUCCUACAAAAAUACCACCAUCACCAUUUGACUCCAUCAAAUUUUUAAAAAUUUGGCAAGUUUUCCUAGGCCCUCCACCAUAUCAUCCGCUACACCACCACCGACUUCCGCAACCUAACCCAUUUUGCUUGCCAUAGCAUCAGUGGUUGCUUGAGUAGUGAUUUGUGUCUCCUAAGGUGUUUCGGCUACUUAGGGACGAUUACUUCUUCAUCAACCACCACCACAAUUUUCCACAUAACGACCUUGCCCACCAUACAUUUUGCCAACCCAACUUAACCAAUUUUGUUUGAUCUUGUUUGAGUUGUGGCUUGUGUCUCCUAAGGUGUUUAGGCUACUUAGGGACGUCAACUUCAACUCCGACACAUGUAUAGCCAAUCAUUUCACUUCCGCAUUACGAAGUGCAAACCACCACCGCUUUCCACUACCACCAUUUGACAUUUGACGUUUGAGAUUUUGAGUUCGCGGUUUUUCCGUUUCCUAAGGUGUUUCGGCUACUUAGGGACGAGACUCCAUCAUCUUGGUUUCUACAUCAAGAACACCGCCACUCAUCAUCGCCUCGAGGUCGUCAUCGACUUUGACCACUUCACCAUCAUCCGUCCGUGGCGUACAAACAAGAAACCUUGGACGGUAACCUCCAUAUCAUCUCGGUAUCGUGGUAUCCCUCCAUUGUAUAUUCCCCUUGCCAUUGCAUUGUUAACCCCUAGCCCAUUUUGUGUAACUUGCCUAUCGAGACAAACCAUUUGAGUAUUACCGGCAACGUUACUUGUGCACAUUAGUGAUCAUACUUCCCAUAGCAUACAUACCAUAUCAUCGUGGUGCAUAUAUUGGUAUCAUAUCUUGUGUCACAAGUUUGUUCCCGCAUAUACACAAUUGCUAUCUUGGUUUGUGCAUUGUGCAAAAUUGGCCAUACAAAAAAAGAGAAAUAAGCUUUUAAGCAAAAGAAAGAGAGCAAAGAAGCUUGUAAGCAAGUGCCAUAGCAUCAUACCACAUUGCAUAUAAUAUUUUCAUAUCCGAUCAUCUUGGAUUAUCUUGAGAGAAACACCAGGAACCAUACAUACAUAGCAUACUUGGGAUAGAAAGUUUAUCUAUUUUGCAUCUUAUAGGUUGUGCACAAGUGUCGUAUCCGCCUAUAGAGCAAUCAUGCUAGCGUCUCUCUUGAGUUGUGCAACACGAGCGUUUUCCGUGGACUCCGCAUUUUGUGCUCAUUCCUUGGUUGCAUGGCCCCAUUUAUCUAUCCGUGUGUGUGUGUUUCCGCGUACCUUUCAUUGCUAUUGGUCUACUUGUUUCACUUGCAAAUUUAUGAAUCUCUUUCAACAUUAUUGACUCUUGCUAACAUUUUCCAUCAAUUUUUUGUGCCACUAUCCUCACCGAGCUCCACUAUAAGCUUUAAUUGUGUAGGUGUGAGAACCGACAAGAACUGGUACCAAUUGUGCUCUUUCCUUGUAACACAUUUGAGUGAUCAUUGAUCCAUCUUCAACAUCGGUCAAGGUACAUUUGGUCUAGUUCUUCUCCUUCUCCCACUCAUACUUGCUCGAUUCUUGUGAUGGAUAGGCAAAGCAUUUCAUCUCCGGUCCUCGACAACAAUGACGGCGUGAACAACUACAUCACCAAAGCGUCCAUCUUCGAUCUACAACAACAAAUGCAAGGUGCACAAUCAAGAAUGCAAGAGCGCAUCGAGAACAUCUCCAUCGUCAUUCGUCACUCCGAAGCAAGGAAAAGGGACUACAUCGACAAGAAGCUUGCCGCACAUAAAGAGGAGCAAGAUGCAAGGAUGGAGGAGAUUCGGACCUUGCUCAAGUCUACUUCCCCUUCAUCAUCUUCAAGGCGGCGAGAUUCAAGCCACAAGUCUUUGGAGCGCGAAAAUGAUGCAAGCGCAAGUCGUCCACGUCCACAUCUACAUGGCGACCACCAUCACGUUCGUGAUCAACAUCGUCAUGAAGGGCAAGUCACCUCCAAGCAACAUGUGCACGACGAUGACGAACGACAUCUACUACGAGCUCAAGCGUGACAAUGACACCAUCAUCAUGAAGAUGCUCGCCAAGCGCAAAUGUACAAGUCCCAACAAGACCAACUUCACGCCAAGUCCAAGCUUCAUGAGCACAAAAGAAGACCGCGAGACGACCACCACCAAGAUGGAGCUACGGUGUGACGCCCUCGAUUCAAUCAUACACUAAUCAUACACGAAAAUGUGUACGAUCAAGAUCAAGGACUCACGGGAAGAUAUCACAACACAACUAUAGACACAAAUUAAAAUAAUACAAGCUUUAUAUUACAAGCCAGGGGCCUCGAGGGCUCGAAUACAUAAGCUCGAAUACACAAGAGUCAGCGGAAGCGACAAUAUCUGAGUACAGACAUAAGUUAAACAAGUUUGCCUUAAGAAGGCUAGCACAAAAGCAUCUACGAUCGAAAAGGCAAGGCCUCCUGCCUGGGAGCCUCCUAACUACUCCUGGCCCUCGGCGGUCUCCACGUAGUAGUAAGCACCCUCGGGGCAGUAGUAGUCAUCGGUGGUGUCGUCUGGAUCCUGGGCUCCACCAUCUGGUUGCAUCCAUCGGAAAGAAGAAGAAAGGGGGAAAGGGGAAGCAAAGCAACCGUGAGUACUCAUCCAAAGUACUCGCAAGCAAGGAUCUACACUACAUAUGCAACAUUAUCAAUGAAAUGGGAUGUAUCUGUGGACUGGGCUGCAGAAAUGCCAGAAUAGAGAGAAGGCCUAGUCCUAUCGAAGACUAGCAUCUUCUGGAAACCACCAUCUUGCAGCAAACAGGAGGGAGUAGAGUAGCAUAAAGUAAAGUAGUAGUAGUGUUAUCAACCUCGGCCAGAGAUCCUUUCUCGAGUCCCUGUGAGAAAGCAAUCCCAGAGCCAUUCUAUCCAAUUGUCAUCACAAUCCAAUUCUCAUCACAAGUAUCCAGUUCUAGUUGUAUCGAUCAGGAUACAACUCCGAGCUUCCGUUACCGUAGGACAUGCUAUCGAUAGAUGUUUUCUUCCUGCAGGGGUGCACCAACUUACCCACCACGCUCGAUUAACUCCGGCCGGACACACUUUCCUGGGUCAUGCCCGGCCUCGGCCAAACAAUACGCCGCAACCCGACCUAGGCUUAAUAGAGAGGUCAGCACGCCGGACUAAACCUAUGCCCCCAGGGGUCAUGGGCCAUCUCCCCAGAAACUCCUGCAUGUUGCGUGGGCGGCCGGUGAGUAGACCUAGCUACCUCCUUAAAAAACGUAGGAGCUUACCAGUCCAAACCGGCGCGCGCCACUCAGUCGCUGACGUCUAAUAAGCUUCGGAUGAUGCAUACGACGCAGAACGCCCAUACUAUGCCCACGUGAUGGUUAGUGCUAUCAGGCCAGAGGCCCCUCGGAUCAAAUAUCCAAAUCAUAGUGGAUUAGGAACGCGUGGUAACAAGCAGAGACUCACGAAAGAUGUGACCCCAUUGCCCCGUCUCGAGGACUUGCGGCAAGGGCUAAGAAUGCCCGGCCACGCCUCGUAAUUAUCUCACGGGCACCUUCCAGGUCAACCCGACUCCACAUCACUCGCAAUUAUGCUCACACGGGUAUCGCUCAGGGUUGACCCGUCUUUAGUAACAUGGUUCAGUGUAAAGUCAUAGUAACCAUAGUAACCUUGUGUCCAAACAUCAAGGGGAAAACCCGAGGAAUCACCCCCGAUGAAUUCCACUCGAUGUAAUCAUCAAGGUGAACAUAAGAGGAAUCACCCCCAAGGUUCACACUUGAGGGGUUGCACGACAGAGUCGUAUCGGAAGUGGUGAAGGCGGAAUCACCCUCGAUGACCAUGACCGAAUAGCUACACUACAGGGUUAACAUCAGAAGUGAUGUAGAGGUCUCACCCUCGGCACUCGAUAGUAACCCAGCAGUGUCGAGCAACUAAGGGGAAAGAGAUGUGCGGUGCCAGGGCCUGGUCUUCGAUCCCGUUGAUCGGGUCUUCGAUGAUGAAGCAGGGGCAACAAGGACAAGGUGGGGGUCACUGAUGGAUCACUAACCAACCUAUACUAAGCAGUUUAGGAUAAGCAAGUAAGGUAACAAUAAGCAGGUUACAAAAGCAGGCUAUGCAUCAGAAUAGGUGCAAACAAUAACAGUAGCAAAAUCUAAUGCAAGCAUGAGAGAAUGGAAUGGUCGAUAUUGGGAUGAUCAAACGGGGGCUUGCCUGGUUGCUCUGGCAAGGAGGGGUCGUCAUCGACGUAGUCGAUCACAGGGGCAGCAUUAGUCUCGGGGUCUACCGGAGAGAAGAGGGGGAAGAAAUAGUAAAUACAGAGCAAACAAUGCAUCACAAGGCAUAACGUGGCAAUAUGCUGUGCCGGGUGUGACCUAACGUAUGGCUACACGAUAAAGUGAAGGGGGAAUUCAACCGGGAAUGUUUUCCCGGUUCCGGACCUGUGUUAGACAGAUGACCAGAGGGGGAAUGUUCCAUGUUCAGCAUGCUAGGGGCAUGUGACAUAUGAACGGACCGCGUAAUCGGAUUCGUUGGAUUUUUCUGAGCAACUUUCAUAUAGAAAACAUUUUCAUCGGAGUUACGGUUUAAUUACUAUGAUUUUUGCAAGUUUAGAACAUAUUCUGGAAUUAAAUAAACUAACAGAAGGGUUUAUUGCGUUAGCAUGACGUCAUAGUGACAUCAGCAGUCAGCAGGGCGGCUGACCAGGUCAAACCAGGCCUGUGGGUCCUAUGGGACCCACAUGUCAGCCUCUGUUAGUCUAACAGUGUAUUAAACUAACUAAUCUAGGUUAGUUAGCUACUGGACCCCACCUGUCAUAGACUAAUUAGCUAAACUGAUUAGUUUUAAUUAUUAAAACAUUUUAGUUUGAGGAAUAAGCGGUGGGGCCCGCAUGUUUGUGGCCGGGCCUACCCAGUCAGCAGUUGACCGAAGUCAACAGGACAGCCGGGCCCCAGGGGCCCACGGGUCAGUGACCGAGGGGGUGGCCCCGGCCGGCCAGGUCAGCGGUGGUGCCGGAGCUAGCUCCGGCGAGCAAAGCAAUGGCGGCGCCUCGCCGGAGUUGCGCGGAAUCGCGCUACAGGGGGCCUCCGGACCUACGGCUUGGACCUAAGGGCGCGGCCCGGCGCCGUGCACACGAUGGUGACGAUGACCGGCGUCGGGGACGACCGAAGCAUCGUUGGCGGCGAGCGGAGGCGGCAGCGGCGUUCAGGAGCGCGUUGGGAAAAGCCUACGAGGCGCCAAAUUGGCCGCGGCUAGUCGCAUUCGAACGGGCAUGACCUCGCGCGUCCAAUGGUGGGGCUCGCAUCGGUUGGGGGGCCCGGCAAGGUCGCCGACGGCGAGCCGAGGCGGAGACCGUGGGUGGAGCUAGUCGGGGCGUGGUUGCGAUGCGCGUUGAGCGAGUCGGGGAGAUGCGUUCGGCUAAGCGAGGCAGCAUGCAUCCAGCGGGGUGAGUCACGCAAGCGAGGGUGGCCGGAGCAGGGCUCUGCAGCGGCGACGGCGGUCCGAGCUCGGCCAUGGCGGGGGGAGGGGAACCAACUAGCGUGCAAGCGCAAAAGAGAGAUGUGGAGGGCGAGUGAAUCUCACCGAGGGAGCACAAGAGGGCUCGUCGGCAGCUUAGGAGCAGCAGGGGGUUGGCGGAGCAACGGCGACGUCACGGUGGCCGGAGAUGGGGACGAGGACGAACGGCGGCUGCGGUGCUGCCCGGUUCCAGCGGAGGGCGCCAGUCGAAGGAGACGACCCCGACGGAGCUUACCGAUAGGGUCAGCGGGCGCGGGGCCGCCGGUGGCCGCGACAACGACGGAGGGCGGUGGCGACUACGCUCGGAGGUGGACGGGGAACGAAGGGGGAGGCGAGGAGGGAGCUGGUGGGGAGAGGGAGAGGUGGAUCUGGGGAAGGAGAGGCGCAAGUGGGAGUGGGGAGUGAGGAUCGAGGCGAUGCGGAGGGAGGGGAUACUUAUCCCCUCGUCGGCGAGGCACGAGGCGACGAGCGGGUUCGACGGCGACCACGGGCGCAAGUUGGUUGAACAGGAGAAGGGGAAGGCGACCGGGGAGGGGGAGUGGGCCGGCUCGGGUGGGCGACGGCCAGCUAGGCCGUUUGACCCAGUGGAAAGGGUCAGUUUCUUUUGUCUUUGUUUUCCCUUUUUCUUUUUCUUUUUGAAUUAAAAAAGAGAGAGGAAAAUAUUUAUUUGAGUAUCCAAAGGAUUUAGGAAAAAUAUGGGACUUGGCCCAUUAAUUCCUCCACAUUUUUAGGUAUUGCCACAAAUAGUUUGGAGGCAAGAGGAAUUGACUAGGAAUUUUGGAAAUUGGGAAUGGCAUAUUUAAAUGCCGCUGGAACACUAAUUAGUUUCCAGGGGCAAUUUGGGAACUCCAAAGAUUUUGGUUUUAACAUGAAAAAUACUUAGAGAAUAUUUGUCAUAUUGUGAACUAUUUUGAUUGCAUGAAAGAAGAAGCAAAUAUUCGACAUGCAAUUUGAAUUUGAAUUUGAAGCAGAUUUUGGACAAGUGGCAUUUUGGCAUGAUGAUCAUGAUGACAUGACCUUUAUUAGGGGGAGAUUAAUGUACUGUGAUGUGGGGGAUGUUACAUACGGCUACAACAACCACUUUGGCAUCUUCGCCAAGUGCUAUCAAGGCAUCUUCGCCUUUGGACGUACGACAUCUUCGCCUACUUCCCACGUGUACGCCUACAUCGACUUCAUCAAGUUCAAGGCGACUACCUACGAGCAAGGGUGACACUUCCAUCUUUGGAAGCCCCUCAAGGAAGAUGGCCGAGCAGGGGAAACUCCCUUCGGUCAUGGAGUCGAGCUAUGAGGUGCCACACCAUAUGGACCUCCAACACCAAGACGUUGACAAGACAGUCGAGCAAGGGCCAUCCCCUUCGACCACGGCUACGAGUGCGAACCUCUUCAACAACAUGAAGACGGCGCCCAUAUUGGACUCAUACUCCGAGUCAAGCUACGCGACCACGCAUGGAGACAUUUGCACCUACACCUCUCUGGCACCCACAUAUGUUGAGAUGCCCAAAUGCCAUGUGAGGAGAGCCACCACCACAUGAGUGACAUGAGUGACUCCACCAUACGUGACAUUGAGAGCAUUUCCUAUGAUAGGAUGAGUGUGACCCCCACUAGCCCCACACAUGAGAGCAUGCCACACAUCCUAUGUGAGGUUGAGCGCCAUUUGAGUGACUCCGCCAACCAUAUGAGUGAGAGCAUCCUUGAGGGAGUGAGUGAGCCACAACACUUAGAGAGUGAGGUAGUUGACACGGCACGUGAGGACACUAUGAUUUCUAAUGACUUAACCUCUACUCCUAGUGUGUUUUCUUCUUUAGUGCUAGGUCUCCUACAUGAGGACAUGACUACCCUCGACGAGUCCAUCCCUCCAAUGGGAAAACCGAUGGCCAUGAUGGACAAUGAUGCACCCCCACAUGGUUCCAUCAAGAUGAAGAGGACAACGAGUGGAUCUUCAACACCUCACCUACAACACAUGAGAGAUGCUCCAAUGGUAACAUAGGUGAUGGUGCUUCUCUUGUCCCACUAGUGGACUCUCUUGACAAUGAUUGCUUGCAUGAUGUUGAUCCACCUAUUCCCAUGCUUCAAGCUAGUGCGACUUCUUCAUGUCUUGACUUACCUAUUUAUGAUGACUAUGAUGAUGGUCAUGUUGAGUUGCCUAGUUGUGAUGCUAUGCUCCAUAGGAUACCAUGUGAAAAUUCUAUUGGUCACGUCAUGUUUGACAAUCCUUUGAACUUGUCAUAUGCUAUGACUGAGAUCUCCCAUAUUGCAUCAUUUCAGUCUCAACAUAGUAACUAUGCAUGCCCCAUUAAAAUCAAUCCCAUUUUCACUUAUGGCAUAGAUGACGAGAUGAUGGUCAUUGGCUUUUGUUUUUCAUGUGAUGAUAUUGCCAUGCUUCCUUUACAUGAUUUGCACAAUUCAUCUACUAUGUCAUGCCAUGAUCACAUUGUUCCAAAUAUGCAAUGUUUUGGAUGUUGUCAAUAUUCUCCAUGUGAUGUUUCCAUUAAUGCUCAUGAGGAGACCCCCAUAGUUUCCUCAUACAUAUUAGGAGAUUUUGAUGCAUUCCAUUCUUUGCAUGAUUCCCAUAAUUGCGUGCACCAUAUGCAUUCCAUGAAUAACAAUGCUAUAGAUAUUUCUCAUGAUGCAUUACACAAUUUGAGUCUCCAUUAUGCUAUACAUAAGAACAAACCCAUCAUGAUGGAUGACAUGUUUUUAUAUCGCGCAUCUCAUUUAUUUGAGCAUUGGAUAUUUUGUGCUAACCGACACAUGCACGUGGGCAUCAUGAUGGAUGAUGUGUACAUAUACCACGCACACACAAUUUUCCCUUUGACUUUGUUUUGUGUAGGUACUCAUGUAUACUCGUCAAUCUCUCAAUCCCAAGAGUUGACGAAACGAGCUCUUGAGAGCAAGGAUGACUUGGGAUCUCGUGGACUACCAUUACCACCGUUCCCUUCGCGCAAGGACUACGCGCAUCUCUUCUACUUGGCUCUCACACGGCUAUGGGCUAUUUACCACUUGUCACCUUAUGCCCAUACUAUUGUGAUCACUUUGCAUGUUAUACUUGCUUCUAUGCCUUUGCCAUGCAAUUGUGACCCUUCCUUGCAUCUACCCAUGCUUCACCAUUAUGAUACUCCUAUGUGUAUUUGCAUGCUUGGUGGAGAUCCUUGUUGCUAUUGCCAUGUUUAUCAUGUGCCCCAUGACAUUGAUGCUUGUUGUGUUAGGAGAGUCAUGAUGCCCCAUUGCUAUUUACAUAUGGCCUCUAGCCAAUGCAUUGAUGAUAUUUUUCUCAUAUCUUGCUUUCAUGCUUGUGAUAUGUCAUGUGCAUUAUUCAUGCCCACUAUUUGCACACAUGAUAUGCUUGCCAUGAUUCCUUCCAGUAUGUUGCAUCUUCGCACUACUAGCUUGCUUAACUUGAUCACUAUUAUUGUUUGCUUGGUUGGAUCAGCCAUGUUCCACUAUUACUUGCUUUCUUGGGUUGAUGACAUAUAUGCUCAUGCCUCUCACAUGAUAUAUCUUGUUCAUUGUCUCUUGUGUACAUUAGUUGCCUCUUUCAUAUCCGCUUGUAUUGAGUGCAACCAUACUAUGCUUAUUGAUCUUGGAGACUUCGACACCUUACUUGUGUUGCAUGCUUGUUUACUUGAGCCUCUUGUGUUCGGUUGUUCUCGCAUCAUAUGCCUCCACACUAUGAAAUGCUCGCUUGUACCUUCUUAUGAUGAGCAUGAUGCAUACACUUGUUGGGUAUCUUACCUCACGAAUGAUAGGUGUUGCAUUUGCACUAACCUCAUUUGUUUUUCCGAGUGUUUGCCAUGUUCUUUUGUUUUGAAGGAUUCACAAGGCGGUACCAUGAUGAGACAACUUGGUCAUGUGAAGGCAUACACGAUGUGUGACACCACCAUUUUCGACAUCCUCAUAAAGGUGAACUCCUUCCCUUUGAGCCAUCCUCACAUAUGCAUAUUGGAUGGGUCACUCUUUCAUUGGUGUUUCCUUCUUGUUGUCUACAUGUUACAUCUAUUGGAUGGAGGAGGGACAUUGGAGAUUGGCUCUUUGGACCUUCAAGUUGAGGAGCGCUCGCCCUUAUUGGAUGCACCUUCGAAACUCCACUAUUGCCACGACAUCGAGCAUUGGUACACCAACACCUCCAUAUUUUGUUGAUUGUGCUUCCUCAUGUCAUGCUCGAUGGACAUAUCAUACUCACCACAAGUUUGCACCCCAUGCAUGGAUUGACUCACAUUAUGAUUGCCUUGUUGCAUCUUAUAUUCCCAUGUCAUCCAUGAUAUAUGAGCUUGUUCAUUUCCUUAGCAAAUUUGUUGUGAUCUACCUUGAUGGCAUUUUCAUACAUCAUGAUCAUAUUGUCCACCAUCAAUUGCAUGAUGACAUUCACAUAUUGAGCAUCCAUUGAUAUGUUCAUGCUUUUGAUGCACCAUCCCAUUAUGACAUCAUUUUGCAUCGUGGUUGCAUUGCUCAUAUUCAUAACACAUUUGUGUGCACAAUGACUGCAUUUGCUCCCAUGAAUGCUUUGCAUACCAUUCUAUACCAUCUUGUUAAGCUUGAUGCGCUUUGUCACGCACUAUCUUGCCGCACAGACUCAUUCUUACAUGAUGGACACUUUGUGUGCGCUAACCAUUGUAUUUCCGAGUGUCGCUUGUGUUUUCUCUUUUUGCAUGUCUAUCACUCCGGUGACACCUUGGACUACUUGGAUUGCGCCAUGUCUUCAACUUCGUCCUACUACAAGUCCGUCCAUGACAACCGUUUCCAUGGUGAUGAGGAUCAUGAUCCGAGGUCAGAUCUUUCCCAAGGGGGGGGGGAGAUGAUGCGAAGCAUCCCACGUUCAUCCCCAUGUACACUCCGACUACUCUCCGAGCCCCAAGAGGACAUAUGAUGAGACCUCGAGCAUACGCCAUUGGACACAAGGUGAACUCGCUCCCCUCUAAACCUUCACUUUCCACAUGUGAGACAUGGUUGCUACUUCAAGCGUAGACCUUGUGCAUACUCAGGUACACCCGAGGAGACCAUGGAGAACCCAAGGACCAAGGCCGAGCAUGCGCGGAAGCAUGGAAGAGGAGAAGGAAGAAGAGCCAGCUGCUACAGGCUCCGGACAUCCGGCCAGGCCCGGACAUCCGGCCAGGCCCGGACAUCCGGCCCAACGCCUGGAAAUCCGGCCCCCUUCUAUCUAGAGAGCGCCAGAAUCGGCCAAGCCAGCCCGGACAUCCGGCCCCUCGCGAGCCACCGGACAUCCGGCCCCUUCUCCUGGAAAUCCGGCCCCUCCAUCACAGAAUGCAUGUGGAAGAUCCAGGCCAGCCCGGACAUCCGGCCUCCCAGCCCGGACAUACGGCCCGUCACGAAGCCCCGGACAUCCGGCCCCCAGCCCGGACAUCCGGCACCUUCCUGUGCGUAGAGAGCGGGCCAAGGGCCCAUGUAUCCCCCUCUCACUUACCCCUUCGUGGGCUAGCACUAUAUAUACUCCCCCACCUCCUCCUAGCUAGGGUUAGCAAAGGAUUAGAUCAUUUGAGAUAGAGCUUUGCUCAUCCAUACGGAUCUCCUCCUCGUGAGAGACCGCGGCCUCUUCGGAGAAGAUCCACCAUGGAUUCAAGACCCCUUUACGGGAAGAUCCCUCGUGGAUUCAAGACCUCCUCUCGGAGAUGAACUACCGCCGCUUGUAUCGUCCUUUGUUGGAUUUGGACCGUGUAUCUCUUUGUGUUCCUUGGAUCUAACACAUGUGUGAUCAUAUUCAUGUUGGUUGAGUAUUUUCUCUUGCGUUUCCCCGUGAUUUCCCUCGUUCCCCUCCGCGCGUUCUUCGUGUUCCUCGUAGGGAUCCUCUCCAAACGUGAAAGAUCGGCCCCUAGGGUUCCGCCCUAUAUCAGGUGUCUUCCCCCUUCUUCUUUAAUGGAUGAUACACACACUCGUGCGUAUUCGAGAAAAAGAACUAAUACCUGCUAAAUUGUACUAUAAUUUCCAUCAAGAACUGCAACAAAAUAUGUGGACGCACAUGCUUUGUAAAUGCUCUCUAUCGUUCUUAGCAAUCCCUAGUUCCAACACUUGUCAUGAACACUUGAAAAAAUUCAGCAAACAAUACUUGAUUAUCUUAAUGGUAUGCAGAACAAUACAGAUUUAGUUCGACAAACUGACGCAAUCUUGAACUAACCUUCAUAUGUACUUACAUGUAAAGCCUUAUACUAAUCCUGUAUGACAUUACAAUCCUUGACAUGUAAAGGGAAUUUGACGAAUCAUGUCAUCAUCUACUUUUGCAAAUUUUUUUUGCAGGAAGUCUACUUUUGCAAGUUACAAUACUAGUCUAAUGUAUCUUUACAGGCCACACAAGAUUACAAACUAAGUUCGGUGCAAGGCAAGCUAAUCUAGUUUAUGCGUAACAACUUGUAGAACAUAACAAACACAGUUUUAGAAAAUGAUGCAACCAGAUCGAUGUUUGUCAUGUAAAGUGAAUAAGAUGAGUCAUGUGAAUUAUCAAGCUUUGCUGAUAGCGGAAUGAUAUAUGCAACAACAAAGAACUUCGAUGACCUGUCCAAGAAUACACUUGUAAGUAGUUGCACCUAACGCAACCUACGAAAUGUUAGUGACCGAGAAGCAUCCAUGCACUUUUAAGAAAAGAAAUGCAAAGAUGAAAAAAAAGGCGAUGACAUUAUAAAUAGGGCUUCACCAUGAAGACCCUCCAUCACCCCACCAUUCACUCAACUUGAGAACAAACAUUAUCUAACACAAAUCAACCAUGAAGAAAUUCCUCGUCCUUGCCCUCAUUGUCAUCGCGGCGACCACCACGGCCGCCGAACCCUUUACUGCAUUCCGUAUUGCUUCGGAGCCGCAACAUCCAUCAUCUCCAGAGCAGCAACCAACUCUGCAGCCACAAGAACAUCCAGUUCCACAUCAAAAGUUGAACCCUUGCAGGGAUGCCCUCCUACACCAGUGUAGCCCAGUAGCUGAUAUGUCGUUCCUCCGGUCACAAGUGGUGCAACAUAGCAGCUGCUUGGUAAUGUGGGAGCAGUGUUGUCAGCAACUAAAAGCGAUCCCCAAGCAGUCAAGAUGUGAGGCCAUCCACAACGUCGUGCACGCCAUUAUUUUGCAACAGCAAAAACAAUUGGUACAAGGUACUUCAACCCAACCUCAGCAGCAGCAACAACAAGGUCAACAAGAACAUGGUCAGGGUUCUAGCCAGCCACAACACCAACAACAACAACAGCAACUGGAUCAGGGUUGGAUCGUGGCGAUAGGGACAUGGGUGAUUCAGACCGUUCCGGCAAUGUGCGACGUGCAUGUUCCACCAUACUGCUACACCACCAUAUCAUCAUCGAGUGACGUCACUACCGGAAUGGGCGGCUACUGAGAAGAUGAGAGCUCUAGUAUCCGAAAAAUGGACCACCAAUGUUUAGUCAAUGGUCCGAUCCAUAUGUAGCGGUGAAAAAUAAAGUGCCAUGCAUUAUCAUGUGUGGACUAGACUGGCACUAGUUCAAACUUGGGAAUAAAAGGCAAACUAAGUUAUUUUCUGCAUAUAGCGUUAUCCGCGUGUUUCCAUUCGGGCACACGUGGAUAUGUUCAUUCCUAACCACAAUAUUAUGCAUUAACUAUCUUUGUACUCCCUCCGUUUUUACUUACUCCGCGUAUUAGUUUUGACUCAAGUCAAACUUUAUAAAGUUUGACCAAGUUUGUACAAAACAAUAUGAACAUUUACAGUAAUAAUUUUAUAUGAUGUGGAAAUAUAUGCAAUGAUGAAUCCAAUGAUA
rnacentral:lncRNA from 1 species